AGACAAAAGUUUGAAGAGAUAGGAUCUGAAUGCCGCAGGCUCAAAGAGGAGACGAUGAACAUAGCCAAGCAGAGUGAUUACAACCAAAUCAGGAUAAACCUAAUGUUUAGCAUCUUGAAAGCCCGUGAGGACAACAACUUUGCCCAUGCUGAUCACCUUACUGGGCUCCUCCGGUUGGUUGAAUUCCCUUCGCCAUUUCUUUUCUUGAUUCUUGGGAUUCCGGAUUUCAUAAUUAAUCUUGCUAAUGCUAGCUAUUACAAGGAGGGAAACAUAAGUUAACGAACUCAAAAUAAAAGAAUCAAAAUGCACUGUUGAUAAUUAUUUUUCUCUCAAUAAUUGUGUUUCCUAUUCGUUGUGUUGGCAGCAAGGAAAUGGAAAAGCAGGAACAAGGAAAGGCAGGCCUGGUUGGCUGACUAAUGAUCAUGGAAAACGACGAGCAGUUUGCCUUUGCAGUGACUCCUGAUCGUCUUUUCUUAUUAAAAUGAAACCAUCAGUCCUAAAUCUAGAUAUGUAUCGACAUUAGUCUUCCCUUUAUCCUUCUUCCUUUGAUGAAGUAUUCAUUUGAUUAAGGAUUUGCGUUCUCUUUCCGAAUUGAAUGUUUUGAGUUAUAGUACAUACUAUGUGAAUUGCCGGGCGAUGCCACCGAUUGUUAUAUAAACGGUAUAAGCAUUCGGUUGAGUAUAACCUGAGGUAAUCGAAGAAGAAGAUAGGCAGACAUAAUUAAACAAAAUGAAAAAAAAAAAUAAAUUUACUAGAAGUAUUGAGGUUAAGCAAUGCAACCACAAGCUUUAUGUUAGAGAAACGUAAAUUCUUAACUAGCCUGUUUAGCUUUGCAGUAUUCGGUUGUUUUUAUUUAUUUUGAUUUUGUUUUUUAAGAUUUAUUUUUCUUAUUAAUUUUAAAAUAAAUAAAUAAAUCAUUUUUUUUUACCAAAAAAAAGGGUGUUGCUUCAAUAACAAAUAGUGAAAAAGUCUCAAAUACAAAGCCAAAAGUACAUAAUAAAUUAUAAUUAACUUGAAGAUGUCAUUCAAUUAAUUAGAUUUUUAAUUUGUUUUAAAGAGAUUAUUAGUUCGAGUAUUAUAAAUCUAAAAGCUAUUAUAAAUUGAUUGUUAAUUUUAGAGCCUUUGGUAUAUAUAAACCCCCUUAAAUAUUUAUAAUUAUCAAAAUAAUAAUAAAGAAAGAAAGAAAGAGCUACAGACUUUUUGAUCUCAUUUCACUUUGAAUUCCAGUGAGAUUGAUAUUUUCUUUUGAAAAAAAAAACUUGUUUAACUUUGUCUCAGGUGUAGAAAGGUGUUUUCAAUGGGAUUUAUUAGUAAUUAUUAUUUUUAAUAGGGACAAGUUAGUUUGUUUGCGUUUUCAAUAAAAUGUAAUGAUUUAAACACUUUUAAAAGUAAGAAAAAUUAAAACUAGUAGGAAUAGUUUUAUGGUUUUAUAGUAAAAGAAUGAUAUUGCCCUUAAAACAAAUAUGAUAAAACUUGUAUUCAGAGUCAUUUAGAUCUUUUCAAUACAGUUAUUUUGUAAUUAUAUAUUUGGAUUAAAAACAAUUAAAUCUUUAAUUAUAUAUAUAUAAAUAAUUAAUAUAUGUCACAUACAUGUUAGCAAGUGGAAGGCGCUCAUGCUCUUAAGAUGAUGUGUGCCUCCCCUAACAAUGGUUAAAAGUUGUGUCAACAAUGAUGUUUGAAACGAUGGGUCAUUCUCUUUGCGAUGGUGGGAUGCUUGUUUACGAAUGAAGUGUGGUUGAGCUCCUUAUGAACAUUUUUCUUUUCUUGUCUUUUCUCUUUUUUUUAGUCUAGAAAUUGAUGCCAACUCUUUUAAAAAUUUAUUGUGUUCUCUUGUUUGUAUUUUUAUUAAUUUUGAUUAUCAUUUUUUUGAUCAUCAUUUAUUUUUACUUUUAAUGCAUUUUGAUCUUUAAUUGAUUUGCAAUUUCAUCCAUAAGAAUUUUAUUUCAUUUAAUUUUUAUAUGAAAUUUGAUCCUUAUUAUUUUAUUUCUAUUUUUUUUAUAUACUUAUCUAGAUUUUGUUUUUCAAUUUUGCCUCUCAUAAUUUUAUUUUAUUUAAUUUUUUCAUUCAAUUUUAAUCUUUAUUUUUUUAUUGCUAUUUUUUUAAUUUUUUUCAUUUAGCUUUUAUGCUAGAUUUAGUCAUUGUUGUUUCGAUUACUAUUUAUUUUGGUUUUUAAUUUUGGAUGAUUAAGGAUUAUGCUUAGUGAUUUUUUAUUGUUUGCCUUUAAUGAGAUAAUCUUGAUCUUAUGAACCGGGUCACUAUUUCAAGGAUUAAUCCGAUUUAACUUUGGUUUUUUUUUUUUUAAACAAAAUAAUUACUUUUUAAUUUCAUCAUUUGAUUUUAGGUUAUUAGGUCUAAAUUCCCCCCCCCUUUAUGUGGUGUUAUUCCGGUGUUAUAUCUUAGGUUGAGUUUUUUUUGAGAUAACUCAGGUUUUUUUUAAUUUUUUUAAUUUAGUUUUUUUUAUUUAAUUUUUUAAUAUUAAGUUAUUAAACCUUGAAAUUUAUAUUUUGUUCUAUAUAUUUUUUUUAUAAAUUUAACAUGAUCUCGAGGUCAUUUUUUUUUAUAAAAAAAUUAAUUUUUUUAAUCUGGAACUCCCAUCACGGGUCGCAUGGUAGUCCAACUAAUCUGAGUUAAGUUAAAGUUUUUUCAAUUUGUUUUUUUUUUUUUUUUACCAGUCGCACGCACUGUGUAGCGUAAAACUAAAAGUUGUAUCAGAAGAAAUGUGCAGGACAUGUGUAGGUCGGCUAAUGCUGGCCAUAAAUAGCCAUGUCUGUGAAGCUAUGCAGGUGUGCUAGUGGAGACAGAAACACUUAUGCAGAAAAGUGUGACGUAUGUUCCGGUAGUUCCAAAAAGAAUCAGAUAAAUAGUUGAGAAAUUUAAUAUUUUAAACUUGUUUUAUGGAAACAUGAUAUUUCAAAAAUAUAUUUGUUAAAUGACUUCACAAUUUACGAUGACGAGAGAAAAAUAAAAUAAAUACUUUAAUUAUACAUCAAAUCUAUCAUAAAAAAAACUCGACCAUGUGAAUCAAAUAAAAUUAAAGAAGUUCACCAAGUAGAUCACACUCAUUGAAGCUCUAAUUAUAAUAUUACUAGUAGCAUUAUAAAGUUCUGGACAAAAUAAAUCAAAUAUAAACAAUAAAGAUAAUCAAUGAUAAUGAUAAUUGAAGUGGGUCAUAUAUAAUAGGCGGAAAACAUGGUGAAAUCUAGGGUUAAGAUUAAAAAAGAUGAAAGGGAAGCUGAAGAUGAAGAUGAAGUACAACAAUCAGAUUAGCGAGAAGAACAUGCAUGAAAGUUCUGGAUGGAGAAUUAUCGUAUUCUGGAGAUAAUAUAAUUGCACUAGCACCUGCUGUUCUUGCCAGCAUUUAUAGAGAUAUGAAUUUGUUGAAAGGGAAAAUCGCUGAGUCAGCCUUGUUGCGGAUUCCAAAGGGAAUACGUGAUGGUUUAAAAGUUAAGCUCUGGUCAUCAAUGCAAUUAGUUGAGGUUCGGUGAACUGCGGCGGCCGGAGCCUAAUCUGAUUAGGAGUGGGUACCCUAGGUUGGUUCGGUGGAACAAAUUGAAACUGGAAGUUGAGAAUGUUUCGUUGGUUCUAGACUCGGAUAAAGAGAGUUUUAGCUCUGGAAAACUGGGAUUUCCUCAAGUUUUAUGGAGAAAAAGAAAUGAGGGCCGGCGACUGUUGGUUCUAGUUUGAACGACGCUUUAAUGGCAUUUGCUCGACGCGUCAGGAUUUCAAUGCUGCGUGGAGGUGGCUGUUCAGAACAGUAUUUACCGCAUAGGGUUGCAAUGCAAUUCGGAACCGACGAAGAUCUUUCAGGGUUGUGUUGGUCAGUGCUCCAAUUAACAGACCUGAGAUUGCAUAGAGGUUAAAGCUUUUGUUGAAGAGCUUGAACAGAUGAUCACACGAAUAAAAGCAGCAAGAUUAAGACAAAAAUUGUUAACCUAGCUAGCCUUCUUCGUGAGAACGAUUUGCUUGAUUUUAUUUUAUUUGAAUUCAUGGCUUCUCUUCUCCUGUUGGCUAUGCUACUAACAUGGCAGUGGGCAUUGCAGCAGGUUCCUAUAUGGAUAACUCCCACCAUUGACAACAGAUGAGAACAAGUUUAAAAGGAUUAAAGAAAUAAAAAUAUUCAUAUUGUAACCAUGCACUCUGGCAUGAAGUUAUUAUCAUUUAUCACAGUGUGCAGACAAAUGCUGUGUGCUGCUGGACCCAACGCAGAGUCUACUAGGCGUUAUCUGUUCUGUCCACCUAAUUCUGACUAGAUAAGCACUUGAGAGUUUUUUAUUUAUUUUAUCCAGUUGAUUUGUAGUGUUGUUUUGAUAUAAAGUUUUUAAGGAAGAGAUAUCUUUCUUUAAUAUUAAAAUCAAUUUGAUAUUUGUAUUUUUGUUAAUCAUUUUAUUUUUUUAAAAUAUCUUUUAUUUGUUUGUAUAAUAGUUUAAAUAAAAGCAAUAGAAACUACUAGAAUUCAGCAUUAAUUAAAUAUUGUGAUGAUGUUUGAUUUAUAUUGUGAUAACUUUAUAAAUAUCAAAUUCAAACAAAUUAUGAUGACUAAUUUAAAAUUAAUUAAAUAUUAAAAGAGUUUUUUAAUAUUAAAAUGAUGAUAUAUUAAAUCAAUCUAAAAUUUAUGGUUUAAUUUGUAAAACCCGUAAUUUGAAUCAUGAAUUCUAUUUGAAAAAAAAAAAUAAGGUUGUUACGAUGAUAAAGCAUAAACAACAAUAAUAAUUCAAGAUUUUGACUAAAAAUAAAAUUCAUUAUACAUGUGUGUUGAUUAUUGAGUUAUAACCAGUCCAUAUAUGAAAAUGAAUGAAUUUAGCAAAGUUAUUAAACUCAAUCGACCUAGUGGUUGGAACUGGUCUGAGUUUGUUAAAAGAUCAGCCAGUGCAAUGACCAGACAAAACCUGGUCGACCCAUGAUCAGGAUGAGACCCGUCGUUUUUUUUUCAAAUAUGAUUUUUCUUUUAUAACCCUUUUUUUCAUUUUUUUUAGUUGGUUAUUAACACUUUUUAAAGUUCACUAUAUAAAUACAAGAAAAAUAUUUUAUUUUUUUAAUGUGGAAUUUGAAACCCUUUAGUAUAUACUCUAUGUUUCUAAGAAAAAAAUUAUUUUUUUAAUGUGGAAUUUCAAGUCUUUUCAUAUAUAUACUUUAUGUUCAUAAAAAAAAAGUUGUUUUUUCAAUAUGUAAUUUGAAGUUCUUUCGUAUAUAUACUCUAUGUUCACAAGAAAAAUGUUAUGUUUUUUCAAUGUGGGAUAACAAACGUUUUGGUUUAAAUACUUUAACUUAAAAUGAUGAUAUAAUAUCUUUUCAAUGUGAGAUUUGAAGCCUUUUAAUAUAUAUAUAUAUAUAUAUAUAUAUAUAUAUAUAUAUAUAUAUAUAUAUAUAUAUAUCUAUGUUUCUAAGAAAAAAAUUAUUUUUUUAAUGUAGGAUUUGAAACUCUUUUGUGUGUGUGUGUGUGUGUUCUAUUUUCACAAGAAAAAAAUUACGAAUUUUUCAAUGUAAAAUUUAAAACUUUUUAUUAUACUUUAUCUUUACAAAAAAGUAAAUUUAAAUUAAUCCAAUUAACCUGUCUACCUUUAGAGCUGAUUUAAUAAUUUUGGGAUGGAAGGAAUAUUUAAAAUAGUCUUAGAACAAGUCACAUUUGUUUGCUAUCGAUUUGAAAAGAGAAAGUUGCUCUCUCGUAAUGUCUACUUUUAAAAUCAAAAGAAUCCAACAGAAAACGGCAACCAUGACCAUGCCAAAAGGGCUUAAACAAAAGCUCUACAAGAUCAAUCCACGAAAGUUAAACUCAAUUGAAUCCAGAUUUGAAUGUGCUGGGCAAUGAAAGCCCACGAUUAUAUAAAAUAAAAAAAUAAAAUUCAAAGAGAGUACUGGAAUGCUUGACUAUAACUGUAAAACCAAGCCUAGUCCAAUAAAUCUAUGUAAAAAUCCGAUAAUUCAGAACCGAGAUUAAUUGCUAGCCCAGUUGAUGAUCAUUGUUGUAACCCAAUUUUAGAUUCACAAAGAUUUUCUUGAAUAUUAUUUUAUUUCUAUUAUUAUUCAUAAAAAUCCAAAAAAAAUUCAAAAAAAUUUAAAAUUCAAAAAAAUAUUUUUCUCGAGUCAACCGCAGGUCAAACCAUGUCGACCAGGGUAAAAAAAUGAGUUUCGGGCUGUUUCGGGUCAAAAACAUCAUUUGCGACCAAAAUCGGGUUCACCAGGUCAAUACGGGUCAUACCAUGUUGACCAGGGCAAAAAAUGAGUUUCGGGUUGUUUCAGGUCAAAACCGUCAUUUCUGACCAAAAACGAGUUCACCGGGUCAAUACGGGUCAAACCAUGUCGACCAGGGUAAAAAAUGAGUUUCGAACUGUUUCGGGUCAAAACCGUCAUUUCUGACCAAAACCGAGUUCACCGGGUCAAUACAGGUCAAACCAUGUCGACCAGGGUAAAAAAUAAGUUCCGGGCUAUCUCGGGUCAAAACCAUCAUUUUCGACCAAAACCCGGUUCAUCGGGUCGAUACCCAUCAAAUGUUUUUUUUGGUAUUCCAUUAUUUUUUUGCGGUUGAAACGGGAUUUUUCUAAUACUGAUUUGAACUUUUAGUUUUACCCAUGUAAAUAUUUAUUAUUAUAUAUAAUAAAACAAAAUUAUGGUAGUUGCCGACGGUGCAUUAUUUCUUAUUAUAUAUAAUAAAACAGAAUUUAAUGAGUUGUCCCGUGGCUAUAAAUAGCCACGGGAGCAGAGGGCAAAGGGGGAGGAAGAAAAGAAAAAAAAGAAAGAAUCGAUUGAUACUAUUAACAUUUUUUAGUUUUCUUCGCGAGAGUAGGAUAUUAUUUAAAAAAAAAAUAAUUUGAAAAAUACCAAAUAUAUCCCGACUCAUCUCAGCCAUUGAAUUAAUUCAAGAUUUAAUCCUGUUGCGCCACGUCAUCCGGUGCACCGAGCUUUCGGUGCACCGCGCCACACAGGAUCAAAAACCCGGACAAUCUGGGUCGUCCGAUCAACCUGCAGAUCUAGCCAAUCACAGCCAUCCGAUCGUUUCAUCCAAGAUCCAACGGUUAACAUCCUUCAGCGGCACCGGUACACCAUACGCGUCCUCACCGUAGCAAAUCUCAGAGCAUCUCUCUCCUCUCGCCGGCGACUCUCUCUCUCUCCUCCGAUCUCCACUCCGGCCAUCUCAGCCUCCGAACCACCACAGAAAGGUCGCCAAUCCCUGAAAGCAAAACCCCGGUGGUUUUAUCGUUUUCACCGCCUCAUCUGGCCGGAAAAAGGCCGCGAUCGCGCCGGCACCGAAGCUUCAAGUCGUCGAUUCUCCCUCGUCAGCCAUCAACGGCCGUCGAGACCACCACCAACAGAAUCCUCGACCUCAGAUCUACCAGAACCGACCAUCGGUUGGCCAGAAAUCUCGCCGCCACCAACAGUAGCCGCGCGUGAGCCACACGCGCCGCCAGUGGCAUUUUCGUAAAUUUCUGAUCCGAGGGUAUUUCAGUCUUUUACCUAUACUGUGUCACUUAGGUAAUUUUUUUUUAUUUUGUAUAUAAAUUUUCUUGCAUGUUGUAAAACAAAAAAAUAAAAAAAAAAUAACAACGCGGGUCCAAACCCAUCCUAUUAUGUUAUCGUUCGUGGGUCCAAAGCCCAAUUUCAAAUAGUUAUACCCAUUCUCAACGAUAUAAAAUAAUUUUAUUUAUAAACAAAUAUGUUCGUCGACACGUCUCUUUUUUAAAAAGGACCGAUGUCAAAAGUUUAAAUACCAAAUAUGGAUUAUGUCCAUAGUUUUUUUGGUAACUUAGACGUAAAUCUCCUUUUUAGGGUUAAACGUCAAUAUUUUAGACAAGUCUCCUAUUUUUAGGGACUGAUGUCAUUUUUUAACGUGUCUUCAAUUUUUAGGGACCGACGUUAACUAUUUUUUUAAAAAAACAAAAUUGCAAAUAAGCUCAAAAUAUAAUAGCAUUUAAAUCAAAUAAAAAAACACACAAGUAAGGGUAACAUUUCUUUUGAAAGGAUGUUUUAAGGGUGGUGUCUACCUUCCCUUAAUCAUAACUAACCCAAUACCCGAAUCUUUGGAACCAGUGUCUAAUUUGGGAUUUCUAGUUCCCUCAAAUUACUAGAUGGCGACUCCAAUAAAAUUUUCAUUUCCCCCAAUUAAACAAAUCUUUUUUUGUUAAAUAAACAAAAAUGAGCGGAGCUGUCGCCCGACGUCGUGUAUCGACAGAAUGAUAAUGAUAAUUGAAGUGGGUCAUAUAUAAUAAGCGGAAAACAUGGUGAAAUCUAGGGUUAAGAUUAAAAAAGAUGAAAGGGAAGCUGAAGAUGAAGAUGAAGUACAACAAUCAGAUUAGCGAGAAGAACAUGCAUGAAAGUUCUGGAUGGAGAAUUAUCGUAUUCUGGAGGUAAUAUAAUUGCACUAGCACCUGCUGUUCUUGCCAGCAUUUAUAGAGAUAUGAAUUUGUUGAAAGGGAAAAUCGCUGAGUCAGCCUUGUUGCGGAUUCCAAAGGGAAUACGUGAUGGUUUAAAAGUUAAGCUCUGGUCAUCAAUGCAAUUAGUUGAGGUUCGGUGAACUGCGGCGGCCGGAGCCUAAUCUGAUUAGGAGUGGGUACCCUAGGUUGGUUCGGUGGAACAAAUUGAAACUGGAAGUUGAGAAUGUUUCGUUGGUUCUAGACUCGGAUAAAAUUAAAGAAGUUCACCAAGUAGAUCACACUCAUUAAAGCUCUAAUUAUAAUAUUACUAGUAGCAUUAUAAAGUUCUGGACAAAAUAAAUCAAACAUAAACAAUAAAGAUAAUCAAUGAUAAUGAUAAUUGAAGUGGGUCAUAUAUAAUAGGCGGAAAACAUGGUGAAAUCUAGGGUUAAGAUUAAAAAAGAUGAUGGAAGGGAAGAUGAAGGUGAAGAUGAAGAACAACAAUCAGAUUAGCGAGAAGAACAGGCAUCAAAAUUCUGGAUGGAGAAGUUCCAGUUUUCCAGACUGCAACAGCAGAAAUGAUAAGACCACCUGCUAAGAAGGCCAGUAAUCUGUCCUCAAUGCUGUGUGGAGGUGGCUGUUCAGAACAGUAUUUACCGCAUAGGGUUGCAAUGCAAUUCGGAACCGACGAAGAUCUUUCAGGGUUGUGUUGGUCAGUGCUCUAAUUAACAGACCUGAGAUUGCAGAGAGCUUAAAGCUUUUGUUGAAGAGCUUGAGCAGAUGAUCACACGAAUAAAAGCAGCAAGAUUAAAACAAAAAUUGUUAACCUAGCUAGCCUUCUUCGUGAGAAAGAUUUGCUUGAUUUUAUUUUAAUUGAAUUCAUGGCUUCUCUUCUCCUGUUGGCAUUGCAGCAGGUUCCUAUAUGGAUAACUCCCGCCAUUGACAACAGAUGCAGAACAAGGUUAAAAGGAUAAUAGAAAUAAAACUUGAAUUAACUUAAUAGGUUAACUAGUGACUCAAAUGACUUCAAACUUGAAUUAAUCUUGUAUUAAUUAAUCUAGGUUAAGAAAAAAUAAAAAUAACUUGACAUCAUAUUUAGUACAUGUUUGGUAUUGUGAUAUAAAAUGUUUUUUUUUGUAAAUGUCUUUUGUUUACAAAUACAUCAAAAUAAUUUUUUAAAAGAUUUUUUUAUUUUUAUAAUAGUACAUCAAAAUUAUCAGAAAAACACUAAAAAUAUAUCAAUUUGAUGUUUUUAAAUAUAAACACAUAUUUAAAAAAUACCUAAAAACAAAAACUACCGCAUUUCCAUCCGAGCUAUUUAAAAAGCAAAGAGGGAACUUUUGAGAUGAAUAAAAUCAAGAAUUGCAAUUGCUAAAUUUUUUAAUGUGUUUUUGACGUGGAACACAUAAUAAAAGUAUUAUCUAAAAAUAAAUCAAGUGUAUCAAAUGACAUUUAUAACAAAAUCAGACCAUGACUUUUAAUUCAAUAAUUAAAUUUUAAUAAAAAAAACUUCUAUAACAUUUUAAAGGACUUAUUCUUUAUAGAAACAUCGACAAAACAUCAUUAAUGUUUGAUGUAUAGAGGUAUCAACUAUAACUUGAUGUCUUAUGAUGUAGAAAUAAAUAUCUUCUAGGGCACUAUAAAAGUUUUAAAGGUAGCAUAAAGAACCAUAAUAUAGAUAUUUGAUUAGCAAGAGAAUUCCAUAGCAAACUUAAUUGAGGGGAUGGAUCAACUACUAGGAGGAGGCAAAUAAAAAACUUGGAGAAGAGAGAGACGUGUUUAAAAACUUACCUCAAGGUGAACCAAACCCUAGAUCUAUUUCUACAAACUCAUAAAGACAUCAUGUCUAUUUAGAAAGUGAUUUGUACGAUGAACUAAAAACUUUGUCUAUAGCUAAACUUUCAUAGACACUUUUCUAAUUUUGAUGAAAUUCCUUUUGUUGAUAAGAAUUUUUCAAAAAAAAAAAAAAAAGGUUUUUUAGAUUAUUGUCAAAGUUAAAAGCUUACUUUUAUUUGAACAAGAUUUUUUAUUAUCAAAAUAAGGAUUUUCCAUACAUAAAUUUACUUAUUAAGUUGAAGGUUGGUGGUUCAAUCUUGUGGUUGAUGGAGCUUGUAUUGAUAAAUUUGUAAUUUCAUCAUAAAAAACUAUAAAAUAUAUUAAUUUUAGAGUUUGUACAAGAUGAAUAAAAAAAUAUUUUAUUUUGGUCAUAUAAUCACAAUCAAGUUAUUAUUACUUACCUUAUGUUCAACUUUCAACAAUAACACAAAAACAAAACAUGGAGGAGAACUAGCUUAAGGCUAAAAUUAUUUGAGUCAAUAAUAAGAAAUAGUUGAAAAACAAUUCAAUUUCUAUCUUGAACAUACUUAUUGUUCUUACUUUAUUGAUCAAUGUUGUUGGUAAUAGUGAAUUAAUUAUUUUAGCUAUAGUUUAUUUUUAAAGAAGUAGAAUAACCAAAAUUAUCACCAUCCUUGAGGAACAACAUGAAAGCAUAAAUAUAUUGAAAAACCAAAGUAACAUGAAGUAGAGGUAACAUUUCAAAGAACAAUAUGAAGAUAAAGAAUAUGUUGAAAUUAAACCAAUGAAUGAAAAGGUAGAAAAGUUACUAAUUUACUCAGGAAAUUAGAGUUAAAAUUAAAAAAAAAGAAAGAUAGAAAAAUAUUAUCUUCCUCCUGAAAUCACAAGAAAGUUUUGUCUAAAGGAUAAAAAGAAAGAGACUCAAAAAAUUUACUUUGUUAGCAUUUUAGUAAAUGAGGUUCAAUUUAUGAACAUGUUAAUUAUAAUGCUAAGUAUUUUAUGUUUUUUUUGGAAUGAAAGAUUUCAAUUUCUAAUUAUGAAACUAACAAACGAGUUCUUCUCAAGUAAAGAAGCUUGACACGAGAUGUGCAACAAAAGUCUUAACUUAAGAAGAAGUUUGGAUGUGUUAAAUGAUAUUUUUGACAAAAAAAAAUAGUUAUAAUUUUUUAUUCAAUUGUUGAAUCAAAUUAAAAUUUUAGAGAAUGUUCUAAGGCCUUGUUUCAUAAUAGGAAUAUCAAAGCAACAUCAUCCAAGUUUAGGAACAUGCCCACAUUAGAUAAAAAAAAAUAAAAAAAUGACAGGAGAUUUUUUUUAUUUUCCUAGUUGUUUUAGGAUUUUUUUUUUUAUGUAAAGUUUUAGAAUAUUAUUUGAUUCAUAUUUCUAUACCUAAGUUGGUGUUAUCUCUUGUUUAAACAUGUUAAAUAAUCCAAAUAUAUAAAGAAAAAUACAAAAAUAAGAGAGGAAAAGACUAAUAUUUCAUUGAUAUUUUAUAAUCACUAUAAUUUAAAGGAAUAAGUUUGAUUUAAAUACAAAAAAAUUAUAUAUAAACUAAAUUAAACUGAAAAGAAAAUAUUAUUUUACUUUCAAUAAAUAAAACAAAAUAACUUAUAUUUCUUAACAAAACAGUGGAAUUUUUCAUUAAAGAGGAUAUUGAUUAUUAAAAAAUUUAUUUAGAACUUUUAAGUUUUAGAGUUUUCUUUAUAAUUCAGAGAUAUAAUUUUAGGACUUGAAAAAAUUUAGUUUCUUUUUUAUAAAUAGUUUAUGGAUGUAAUUUUUAAUACUUGAGAAACAUUCUUCUCGAGAAGAAAAAAAGGAGAUAAAAAGUUAAGGGAUUGGACUGAUUGUGUUCUGGUGCUGAAGUCUAGAGUUUGGAGGUUCUGGGGAAAGGGUUUUGCUAAGGUUCAAGAGGAAAUGGGCAAAGCAAGGACAAAAGUGAGCAGAGUGCAUGCAGCUGGGAAUCGUGAAAAGGCACAACUUUCCUGGCACACCGGAAAAUCAAUAAUAAAUUAAUACAGGUUAGCUGCUAUCAAUUUGCGAAAUGCUCUUAGUAAUUUGAAACCUUUUUAUUGCAAAAUCGUCCUUGGCCCACAGGAAAUGUAUUUCAGUUUAGUGGUUUCUUGGUGAUUGAAGUGGUAACAAGAAGAAGCAACCGCCGACAACAAGAACACUGCUGCUGCCCUCCACUUUCCUUUUUCCCGCGAAUCCCUUUCGCUGUAUGUAGUGAACUGUUCACAAAGCUUGGACAGGGAGGCACUUGAGAAGCAACAAUGCUACAUGCCUAAUAGCUACUAGGUAAAGGAUGCUCUUACAGACGCCAUUUGAAGAAAAAAAAAGUUAAAGUUUUUUUAAAAACAAUCUCGUAAUCUUUUCAAAAGUUUACCCCUAACUGUGUUUCUUAUUGUAUUUAAGAUAAGAUUUGAUUAAGAAAUCCAUUGAAUUUCAGGCUAAAAGGCUAGAGAAUAGGAGUAUCCUUUUCUCUCUAAUCCUUUAUCCUUUGUGUGAUUGGAAAUGGAUCUGUACUAAUUAGUACCUUGCUAGAACUGACUUCACAGUGUAAACAUCAAGCUCCCAUCUUUUCUGUUCUUUCCAAACAAGAUCAUGACCUUGUGAACCAAAAACAGCAAAAGAGUCUGCCUAAUAUUUCCAAUUUCACAAUUUAAUGGGUCCAGUGACCUCACAGGAUCCUUCUAGCCUUUUCCACGAAUAAAAUUCUAACAAGCCUAUGCGAUUGCUUGUUGUUUGUUAACUGAUCCUAUAUCCACUGAUAAUGGCUAAGCAAGCAAAGAUUUUCACUAUCAGUUUGCUUCAUUCACACAGAAACUCAGCUAAGAACUGACUGAAACAUGAACCAUUGCACAAUGCUGGUACACUUUACAUGUAUCAUUACAGACAUACCAGCUACAAAACAUACAAUUAUAUCUGCAAAGAGACAGGUUGGCUCCUAACAAUUUUUGCUACUUAGUUCGUGCAAAAAGUAACUAAAACAUAAGCCAAAAGAGCUGUAGAACUCUAUAUAUCUACCUCACUCAGCAUGUUAAUUCUAUUUGUAUUAACUACAUUGUGAUAUUGUUGGUCAGACAAACCUUCUUCUGGCUAAAUUUAGCAGCCUUUAGCCCAUCAAUUUCUUUCCUAAGCUUGUCGAUCCGAGCUUCAAGUUCUAAUCCAUCUGUGUGAAUAUCAAAACGACUCCUACUUCCUCUUUCAUCAUCUUUGAGAAAACCUGCACCAUGGAGUACUGGACUAGGGCUAUCUAAUUUGUUUUUGCUGGAGUUUUCCGUGGUUGUGCUUUCUUUUCCACUCCUAGGUUCCUUCUGAAUGCUGCUUUCCUUCAAUUUCAUCUCUGCAUCAACAUUUGUAACAUCAUUGUUUUCUGCAGCAGAAGAUAAUAGAUUAUGUGUAGUAGCCGGCAAAGACUUGCGAUCACCAUAUAUUAUAUGAUCAACACUUUUGAGCUUUUUAUGAGUAAACAACUCCUUCAAUGUUAGAUCAUCCUCCUCAUCAGAGUCCAAGCCUUCAACAUGUUGACAUUUAGGAGGGUAACCAGGAGGAUACAGAGGAUCAUGAUCUGACUUCUUCCCUUUGAAACAUGGAACCGAAAUUUCUGAACCUUUUGGAUUUCCACUUCCAUCUUUCCCACCAAACACUGAUUGCUUCCACCAUUCCAAGUAUCUCAUAGUAACAUCUGGCUUGCAAUGUCUUGAUGGAAUAUAUAGCAUUGCAUUUUUUAUUUGCUUAUCAAAACGCCUCCAGGAAAGUUCUUGAGUUUCAUUUCUUCUCUUUACAGGACCUGGAAGAUCUUGAUCCAUGCCAAACUGCAUUGCCACUCGAUGCGGGCUGUACUGUUCUACACACCCUAUUCCAACUAAUUGACAUGCUCUCAAGCAUCGAGUAAAGGAUUUCAAUUCGUCAUCAGCAUCAACAUCAACAAGCACCCAUUUCUCUUCAUCACCAUAAAUUUUGUAGCACAAACUCUCCACGGCUGUGGCAUAAGGGCGCCACUGGAAACUUCCUUCAGAAUCUAGGGCCAAUCUUACAUUCCUAACGGUUGAACUAUUCACAUUAUGCCAUCUAGCUAAUCUCGGCACUUCCAAGUCAGUCACAUUAGGCUUUGGUUGCAAUUUUGGAAACCUCUCCCAGGCCCAAACCUGAACUAUAUGAAAUGGUGACCAAAUGGUGAGUUCUAACUUUUGAUCAUCAUUGUCAUCCUCAAAAGAAACUAAAUUGGACAAAGCUAGAAUCUUUUUCUUCAACAACCUCAAGUCUCGGUAAAUGCUUGCAAGAAGGGCAGGUCCAAGUGCAAUUUUGAUACCUCUAGCUAGACAAACAGCAAUUGGAAAAACAUGUUUGGGAAUGCUCAUAUUUGGGACACUGGGAAAAACAAACCUCGACAACCAUAGUGACAGAAAAGCCUCGUGCUCGACUUCGCUGUUGUUUUCCAUGAGAUAUUUAAUCCAGGAAGAAUGGUCAACUUUUUUGCUUUUUGACCGCCUCAACAGUUCUCGGAUUUCCAUUAGCUUUUGUUCAGCUUCAUGCAAUUCCUCUGUUUCAAGAGGGGUAAAAACAGGGGACCCCAAAACAGAGUACCCUGCAACCAAAAUAUCUUCCAAGGUGAUUGUUGCUUCACCCCAAGGAAAAAUGAAUGUGUUAGUUUCAAAACACCAUUUCUCUGCUAACCCAAUAAGGAAAUCAUCGUCUCUUCCGAUUUGGUAAAGAGAACUCAUGACUGCUUGAUAGAUUCCAACUUUUCUCCAUGUUGCUUCAUGCAAAGCAGCCAUUUUAUCAACCCAUUCUUUCCACCUCCUUUGUGCAUAUCUCCAACCAUGGAAUGUUAUUCUUAAAGGCCACUUUUUGGGUUCAAAGUUAGAGGGCAAGGAGAAGUUGUAGUGUGAAGGGUGUUUGGGAGUGUUUUCAUCUAUGGAAGAGGUUAUUGAGGGUUUGAUAAAAUGGGCUGUUCUAAGUGUUGGCUGUGCAUCGCCAGAGAGUGAAACCAUAAGUUCCUUUCUCGUUUCAACAAUGGGUCCUUCUGAUUUCUCCAUAGAAAAAAACGGUGAAGUUUCUUGCAGAGAAAGAGAAGGAGAGGUUCGGGCUUAGGGAGAGCCAAAGGUUGCUGACAUGAUUGUUUCGAACUAGCAAAGGAAGUUAAUGUGACGAUACAAUUUCAAGUAUUCAAAGCUUCCUCUAGAAUCUAUACCUUCACUACAUCUCUUCCAAAUAAUGUGUUAAAAAGAAUAAAAAUAAAGGCAGUAGAAAUGUCGAUAUAAAGUCAUGGCUCAUGAUUGCAUAAGGGAAUUAAUUUAAUUUUUGGAUGCGUAAGAAGUGGGGAGAGAACUUUAGAAAAUGGAUAAAAAGAGAUUCUGUUUAUUUUUUCUUUUUAAAAGUUUUUUUUAAAUAAUAUUUUUUAUUUUAAAUAAAAUUUUUAAAUAUUUUUACAUCGUUUCGAAGAAAAAAAGAGAAACAUUCAUUGGGAAGAAAAUAAAAGGAGCUAAAAAGUUUAGGGCUUGGACUCUGUGUUUCGGUGCGAAAGUCAAAGUUUGAGGUUUUUGUGGCAAGGGUUUGGACUGAAGAAAGCAAGGGUGGAAGCAGCUGGUAAUCGUGAAAAGGCAUAACUUUUCUGGCACACCGGAAAAUCAAUAAUAAAUUAAUACAGGUUAGCCCAUUUAUUUGACGUUUGAAGUAAUUUGAAACCUUUUUAUUGCAAAAUCGUCCUUCGCCCAUGGUGUGUACGCCGUUUUUAAAAUUGCAUUUGAGAGUGUUUUAAUUUGAAAAAGUGUUAUGUUAUUGUUUGGAGUUGAGUUUCAACUUGUUUUUAUUGAAGUUUGAAUUUUUUUUAUUUUAAAUUAAUUUUUUAAUAUUUUUUAAUUGUUUUCAAAUAUUGAUGUUAAAAAAAAUUUUAUUUUAAUAUAUUUUUAAAUAAAAAUUACUUAAAAAAACAACCACAAUCACAUUUUUAAAUACCUUCUAAGUGCCUGUUUGAGAAUGUUUCAAUCUGUGUUAUGAGAUUGUUUCAAUAUGUGUUAAAGUGUGUUUCAAAAAUAUAUUUGUCUUAAAAAAUAUUAAAAUUGAUAUUUUUUAAUUGAUAUUUUUUUAAUACUUUUCAAUAAUUUUGAUAUGUUGAUAUUAAAAAUAAAUAUAAAUCUAAAUUGAUAUUUUCAAUGUUUUCUGAUAAUUUUGAUAUAUUAAUAUAAAAAAUGAAAAAAUUAUUUUUAUUUAUUUCUAAAUAAAAAAAACUUUUGAAAAAUAAAUGCACCAUAAUAUCUUAUGUAUACUAAAUUGAUGUUUUUAAAAAUAUUUUUUAAUAAUUUUAAAAUACUGAUAUUAAAAAUAAAAAAAGUUAUUUUAUUAUAUUUGAAAAAAACUCCUAAAAAAUACAGGACAAAAACAUAAAAAUGGAUAGCAGCUUUGUUACAGAAAAUACUGCUCAUCCUUGCAGCACGUACAGUGUAGGAAACAACCAUUUUUCUGAUCCUUACACUGCAGAAGUAAAUAAAAACUUCAGACACUCUCUCCAUAGUUGUUGUCUUUAUUCCUUUUAACAUUUCAGUGUCUAUCAAUUUCUCGAUUCCUAGAACAAAACCUAGCUCUUUGCCUUUCCUUUGUGGAAAACGCCUUGAAGAGUUUCUGCAAUAAUUGGUUUCCUUCAUUCUCCCAGGAAACAAACAAACUUUGGGAUUCUUAUCAAUACAUAAUAGGUCCACUCACCAUUGUGAAAACCUCUUGAAACCCAUGAAUGGAAGAGGUGAAAGAAACCAUGCUCGAUGUUAGAGAAGAGCAAAUGGUGUCGUUCACUGGUGGCAGCAAACCAACUCUAAGAACAGCCCAUUUCCUCAAACCUACUGUGGCCACCAGUACAAGGUCAGUCCCCAAGCCCCCUACAUGUUCUCUAUCUUCUCUACCUUCAACUUUUGAGCCUAAAGAAUGGCCUCUGAAGAUAAACUUCAGUGGUUGGCAGAAGCCUAAACUGAACUGGGCAACAUGGGUUCAUAAGUUGAAAUUCAAGUAUCAGCCUUUAUGGAAGAAGGCUGGAAUUUAUGAAGCCAUCAUGCAUUCUACAUUCAUUGUUGUAAGAGACUAUGAUUUUAUCAUUGGACUUGCAGAGAAAUGGUGUCCUAAAACCAACACAUUUGUAUUUCCUUGGGGAGAAGCAACCAUCACCUUAGAGGACAUGAUCAUUUUGGGAGGGUACUCUGUUUUAGGCUCCCCCGUUUCUUCAUGCUCUGAUUAUGAAAGCAGAGAAUUGAAGGAAAUUGAAGAUAAACUAGCUGAAGCUGGGAGGAAUAUCAGCAGGGGUAAGGUUAUUAAGCCUUGCCAAUCUAAAUGGAUGGAGAAGUUCAUGGACAGCGGGAGUGAAAUCGAGCACGAAGCUUUUCUUUCACUUUGGCUGGCAAGGUAUGUUUUUCGAGAUUCUGAUAUUGUACUCAAGGGCCAUUUUUUUCCAAUAGCAAUUCAAAUGGCAAGAGGGGAACGUAUUGCACUUGCUCCAGCAGUUCUGGCUAGCAUUUAUAGAGACCUGAGUUUGUUGAAAGAAACAAUUGUUUUUACCACCAAGUUAGAGACUUUUGAGGAUGGUGUAUUGGCACUAACAAUUCGGUCACCGUUUCUGUUAGUCCAGAUUUGGGGUUGGGAGAGGUUUCCGAUGUUCCAACCGAAGCCCGUUUUCCUCAAGAAUGGUGAUCCCAGAUGUGCUUUAUGGGAUAGUGUGAAAGGUGUCAAAGUUGAGAAUGCAAGGCUGGCUUUGGAUUCAGCCGGGGAGGCUUUUCGAUGGCGGCCUUAUGCAAACCCAGGAGUAAGAGGUUGGCACUUCCCGGAGUUUUACAGAGAGAAAGGAGAAUGGCUAGACCUGGGAUCUAAUGAAGAUUUGUUGUCAUUUUCCCUAUGCUUGACAGUAUCCAAGAUGGAUGGUCUAGGCUGUUCAGAACUGUAUCUUCCUCAUCGUGCGGCAAUGCAAUUCGGAAUGGAUCAAGAUGUUCCUUCUCCUGUAGCUCGAUCAAAUGAAAGCUGCAAAUGUGCUUCGAAAAAUUACAUUAAGUCAUUUUCCAAUUCCAAAUUCUAUUUUCCACCUCGGUUAUUCGAGUCUGAUGUUACCAUUAGAUACUUGAACUGGUGGAGAGGGUCGGUGCAAGAGGUGACUAAGGAUGUGACUGAAGGUGUUGUGCGAAGGAAACGAAGUUUCCGAAAGAGAUCAAAUCGAGUUCCAUGGGUUUCAACAAAGAAUGAAGGCAAUGAUUUAGAUGUCCCCCCUGGUUUUCCUCCCAAAUCUGGCAGGAUGAAAGAAGGGGAUGUGGCUGAGAAUGAAAAAACAACUUUGGAGGAUAUAUUAAGAGACUGUAGCCUUCAUAACAGUUUAGACAGAAGGGAAGGUACAUCUGUUUAUACUUAUGGUCUCGCUCACAGUCCUUCAAUUGUAAAAACAGGCGGUGCAGGUUUUCGAAAGAUCGAGGCGCUAACACAACCAGAAGGAAAAACCACGCAGGUUAAAGCUGGAAAGGAUGGUUUGCAAAAAGCCUCAGAAGACGCAGAUGUGUUCAUAGCUGAGACUUCUGCUAACAUGGCGAGCACCAGCAAAGAUGCAGAAGAAAGCAACGGCUCUGUCUUUCAGAUCCCAGUAAAUGAACUUGAUGCUCGGGUUGCUAGGCUUGAGAUGGUAAUGGCCAAGAUAAAAGCAGCAAGAUCAUGUUUGUCAAAAACCCCACAGAAGAAUCUGCUCCCCUGAUGAACUAAGCAGUAUGAUUUCAUUUAAGUGCAUGUUUCCUUUGAUGCUUGCUAGGCUCGUAACAAUUGUAAUCCUUAAAUAGGUCUACAUUUCUGUGUAAAUUGCUUGCUUGAAUUACAAACCUUCUCUGGAUGUAUUACCCAGCCUCGAGUGUAAUCAGUGAAAAGUAAAAUCAUGGAAUAUUUUCAGUAUAAAGUGUAAACAGGAUGAUUUUAUGGAAACACAUGAUAGGCACGUUUCGGUAAGAUAGCUAGAUAUUAAAAAAUUAUUAAUUUAAUAUAUUUUCAAAAUAAAUAUUUAAUCUGGCCUUAUAUAUAUAUAUAUAUAUAUAUCAUGUUGUGAUUAGCAUGUGACUAUUUGUUUUUUAAUUAAGUAUUGUUAUGUGUUAGGGACUUGGUAUUGACAAAACAAGGGGCUAGAUAAAGAUAUAUAUCUUUUUAAAUUAACACGGUUUUUUAAAACACUUGAAAAAAAUAAUAUGUUUUGAAAAAUAAUUAGCAAAAAUAAUAUAAUUCGAUACAUGUCGUAAUUGAAAAUUGCCAUAUUUUAAAGUUAUCACUCAAAUAAAAUGUGACAUUUCAAACAAAUUGUUAAAUGGCUUCAUAAAUUACAAUAAAAAAAAAUGAAAGAGAAAAAUAAAGACUUUGAAACACAUCAAAAUUAUGAUUACAAUACCACCAGUAUUAUUAGAAAAAACUCAACAAAAAAAAUUCAAUGACACUAAGAAAAAUCACCAAUGAUGCAAGUGAGCAAUUAUAAUGAGAAAACAAGAUAAAUAAAAAUAAAGAAAGAAAAAAAGAAAAAGACAUGGAGGUACACCGAAACCAUGAUUAUGACACCGUUGGUACCAUUAAAAAGAUUUUGAUUACAAGAAUCUAACAAUACUGAAAAAGGUCACAAAUGGUGAUUAGAAUGGGUCGCACAUAGUGGGUGGCUUACUUGUCUUUGAACGGAAAAUGUGACUCACUUUGGUCAUCUUUGGUGACUCACUCCGGUUAUCUUUGGUAAUAUUUCUUGGUGUUUUUGAAUUCUUCUCAUCAAGAUUUUUUUGAUGGAUCUUGUGUUAUAAUUAAAGCUUUGAUAUGUCUUUAUGAUCAUUUUUUUUUUCUCUGCUCAUUGUAAUUUGUGCAAUUCAUUCAACAAUUUCUUUUUGAAAAUGCUGCAUUUCUGAUCAUAGAUGACUUUAAAUGUCACUUUUUUCGAUCAAGACAUAUAUCAACCAUGUUAUUUUUUAAUUUCUUUUUUCAAGUUGUGUUAUUUUACUAAUUUUUUUUAAAAAAUAUGUUGUGUUUUCCAAUUAUAACAUGUAUUAACUGUGAUAUUUUAUAUAAAAAAAUUCAAACUAUUUUAUUUUACUAUUUAAAAAAAUACUCGUGCUAAUAAGAAAAUUAUGUUAGAUAAAGGGACUUAGUGAGUAUUAGCUUUUGUUUUGCAUUGCAAAAUAUUUUUCAAAGUAUUUUUAAAUUUGUUUUCCUUAAAAAAGAUUAAAUUAAUUUUUUAAAAAAAUGUUUUUAGAUAAUUUUGAUAUGUUGAUAUUUAAAAUAAAUUAAAAAAAAUCUAUGAUAAAUUAUUUUGAUAUAUUUUAAAUUAAAAAACAUUUUUAAAAAACAUUUUACAUCCCAAUACUUUACAAACACUUAAUUUAUAAGGUAAUUAAUGUUCGCACCCGCACAAUUCUCUUUGUGGAGUGAUAAAAUCUAUUAUACUAAAUUAUAUAUCUCUUAAAUUGUAUGUAAAGUAACGAAUACAGUUACUGAGUUACAAAAUGGUUUUCUCAAUAUUAUAUUAACAAGUCCCAUGUUUCAGUUACGAAGCAUAUCUACCCAUUUCUGGUGCUUCUCUUCUAUAAUUAACUUUUUUCAAGGAAAACAUGGUGAAAUCUAGGGUUAAGAAUAAAAAAAGAAGAUGGAAGGGAAGAUGAAGUACAACAAUCAGAUUAGCGAGAAGAGCAAGCAUCAAAAUUCUGGAUGGAGAAUUAUCGUAUUGUAAUGAGAAGUUCCAGUUUUCCAGACUGCAGCUGUAGAAAUGACAAGGACACCUGCUAAGAAGGCCAGUAAUCUGUAGUGAAUGAGGAAAUUCAUGGAUAGUGGCAGCGAGAUUUAGCAUGAAGCGUUUCAAGGUAUAUUCUCCCAUAUACUUAUGAUUCCAUCAGGAAGCUUGUUUUCUCUAUUGUAAUUCAUGUCGCUAGAGGCAAUAGAAUUGCACUUGCACCUGCACCUGCUGUUCUUGCCUGCAUUUACAGAGAUAUAUAUGACGUUGUUGAAAGGGAAAUCGCAGAGUCAACCUUGUUGGGGAUUCCAAAGGGAAAACAUGAUGGUUUAACAGUUAAGCUUUGGUCAUCAACGCAAUCAGUUCAGGUUUGGGUUUGGAAGAGGUUCAAUGAACUGCAGCCGAAGCCUAAUCUGAUGAAGAGUGGGUGCCCUAGGUUGGCUCAGUACUGGGACAAAUUGAAACAGAAAGUUGAGAGUGUUUCGUUGGUUUUAAUCUUUGAGGAUUUCAAUGCAAUUCGGAAGUGAUGAAGAUCUCUCAGGUUGCAUGGGCUGCUGCUGACUGCAGAUGACAUUUAUUCCCACUUGACGUGUGAUGACCCAACACGCAGUCUACGCGGCGCUGUUUGUUCAGCCGAACCAAAACCUGAACUGAAAUAUAAAUAUAUUUUUUUAAUUUUUUAAUAUAUAUAUAUAUAUAUAUAUAAAAAGAAAUUAAUUUGAAGGAAAUAUUUUUUUUAUAAAUACUUUUAAAUUGUAAGUAAAAACAAAUGCUCUAAAAAUAAUUGGGGUCAUUGUAAACAAAUAAUGUUGUUUGAUUUUUAUAUUUUUUAAAUAUUUUUAUUUUGUAAUAUUGAAAAAUAUAUUAAUGCAUUCGAGUUUUGCAGUGUAAUCCAUUAAAUACACAACUUGAUCAUUAACUUCAUUUAUUCAACCUUCUUCUGUUUGCUCUCCUAUUGAAGCGAAAUGAAAAGCAAGAAGCUACUGGAUUUAGGGUUUGUUUGGGAAUGCAAUUAAAACUAUGUUUUUUAUAUAAAAAAAAAUUCAUUUUUUUAAAUUAUUUUCAUGUUCUGAUAUAAAAAAUAAUUUUUAAAAAAUAAAAAAUAUUAUUUUAAUAUAUUGUUAAGCAAAAAAUACUUUAAACAACAAUUGCUACCAGACUCCCAAACAUAUCUAUUGAUUACAACAAACAUACAAUCAAAGCUUUUCAUUUUGUUAAAUAUUUCUAUGCACUACAAUGUAUUCAUGUUUUCAAGAAAUAUAUAUAUACAAAAGGAAGUAAGAAAACCUCGUCUACUUAAACUCCUAUUCUAGGUAAGAUAAUAAUCUGUACAAAUAGAUUUCAUUACAAUCUUGGAAUCCAUACAUAUCUUACCAGCUAAUACACAAUCUUGUUAGCUAACACUCUCCCGCAAAUUGGUGCAUAGAUGUCUAUCAUGCCUAACUUGCCAAUCAUACUAUAAAAAUCCUUGUUUGAUACUGCCUUAGUGAGGAUAUCAAUUAUAUGACUUGUAGAUUUAACAAACAGAAAACAUAUAAUUUUUUUAUAUCUAACUUCUCUUUGAUAAAAUGACGGUUUACUUCAACAUGUUUAGUUCGAUCAUGUUAAACAUGAUUGUGUGCAAAUCUGAAUUGCUACGUUAUUAUCACAUUACAAAUUGAUAGAAUCUAUAUACUUGAUCUCUAAAUCCUUCAAAACACUCUUGAUCCAUAACAACACAUAUAUUCCCUAAAUCAUUCCUUGAAAUUCUACUUCUACACUAUAUUUUGCUAUAACUUUCUAUUUUUUACUUCUCCAAGUAAUCAAAUUCCCUUCCAUAAAGGUCGAAUAACCAGACAUAAACCUCCUAGGUGUUUGAUUUCUUGCCCAGUCUGCAUCAAUAUAGCCUUUAAUAUUUGAGACACCAUUCUUCAAGUAUAAUUAACCUUUGUUAGGCGCACCUUCAAGAUACUUAAGAUCAUGUAGACUGCAUCCAUAUGCUUCUCAUUUGAUGCAUGCAUAAAUUGGCUCACGAUACCUAUAAUAUAUGUUAUAUCAAAUCUAGUAUGGGUUAGGUAAAUUAACUUAUCCAUAAGUCUUUGAUACCGACCCAUAUCUGUAGGGAGUUAAUCUGGAAAGAUCCCAAGUCGAUGAUUCGUUUGUAUUGGUGUUUCAAUAGGUUUGCAAGCUAGUAUCUCAAUCUCACUUAGAAGAUCCAAUAUGUAUUUAUGCUGUGAAAGGGAAAUUCCUUGUUUGGACCUUACUACUUCAAUGCUAAGAAAAUACCUUAGUUUUCCCAAAUCUUUCAUUUUGAAUUCUAUAGACAAGUACUCUCACAAUGUCCUCAUUUCUUUAGGAUCAUUACCUAUCAAAAUCAUGCCAUCUAUAUGCACAAUCAAUAUCGUUACCCUUCCAUCUUUAUGUUUUACAAAUAACGUAUGAUCUAUAUUGCUCUAUUGAUAACUAAUUGCUUUCAUUGCCAAAGUAAACCUCUCAAACCAUGCGCGAGGAGAUUGCUUUAAACCAUAUAGAGAUCUAUUUAGGUUGCACAUUCUGCCUUCGUGUUUGGAACUUUGUUUUAUUCCAAGCAGAGGUUCUAUGUACACCUCUUCUUCUAGAUCACCAUUCAAGAAAACAUUUUUUUAUGUUGAAUUGUUGUAGGGGCUAAUCUCAAUUUGCAGUAAUGGAUAUGAGAAUACAGAUGGUGGUGAGCUUGGCUAGUGGUGCAAAGGUCUCUUGGUAGUCGAUACCAUAUUUCUAGGCAUACCCUUUGGCCACGAGUCUCGCUUUAUAUCUAUCAAUGCUUCCAUCCGCUUUAAGUAUAACAAUGUAUACCCAUCUACACACAAUUGCAUUUUUUUUUGCUGAUAACACAACAAGUUCCUAAGUGUAGUUCUUCUACAACGCUUCCAUCUCUUCAUUCAUAGCCUUUUUUCACCUUGAAUCUGCCAAUAUAUCCUGCAAAUUAUUAGGAAUAGACACUUUGCAUAAUUGAUUAAUGAUUAGUGCAUAAGAUUCUAAAAGUCCAUGAAAAGAGACAUAGUUAUUGAUAGGAUAUUUAACAUUGGUUUUAAUGUCCAGCUUAUAUUGUUUCUUUGUAACACCUUUAUGAGGUCUUUGUGAAUACUUGGGAGUGGGUUGAGAUGUAUCCUUAGUGGUGGGAUUAUCUAGGAUAUUUUAAGCAGAAGACUCUCUAGUUGAUGGUACGAGUAAGUCACUCAUCGCAGUUUCUUCCUCACUGAGGUUCGUAGCUUUUGUGUCAUCAGCACACAAUUCAAUCAUCUCAGCUUCUUCCCCAUCAUGGUUUACAACUUCUGUGUCACCAACAUAAUCCCUACAAAGGUAAUUGUGCAAUGAUAAAUUCCUCUCGUUUGGAAUAGUUUAAGUACCAGUGAACAAAGUAGCAUUAUGCUUAUUACUACUCUCUUUUUUUUCAAAUGCCACUAGCUAUAUAAAAACACCACCUCACUUUUAUCAAAAAUAAUAUUGCAAAGCUUACCCUUUUCAUACACAUUCUCCCCCUGAAGAGGAGAGCCUAAAUCGUUUACUAAAUACUAAGGAUUCAUUUCACGAAAGGAGACAUCAAGAGAUACAUGUAACUCGUGAGUUUGAGGGUAAUAACAUCUGUACCCUUUCUGAAAAUCAGGGUAACUAAUAAAUACACAAUGUUGGGCAUAGGGAUCAAGCUUGCUACGCAAGACUUUGAGUAUGUGAACAUACAUUGUAUAACCAAAGGUUUUAGGUUCCAAGUUUGGUUGAUGGGGUAUGUAAAAGAAGGUUUGUAAUUUUUAGUAUAGGGUCUAGAAAUCAAUCACCCAGGAAGGCACUGUAUUGAUAAUGUAGACAACAGACUUGGCAGCCUCUUCGCAAUAGAAAGGAGGCAUAUUCAUUCCAAAAAAAAUGCACGUACCACCUCCAUGAUCUACCUAUUUUUCCUCUUCACAAAGCCAUUUUAUUGAGGUGUGUAGGUGUAAGAAGUAUGAUGUCUAAUUCCUUAUUGUCAAAGAUAAUCACCAAGCGAGUUCUCAAGAAAUUCCAUGGAAUUGUCAUAUUGCCAUACCUGAAUUUGUUUUUGAAAUUGAGUUUUCUCCAUGUUGUAAAAUUCCUAAAAAAUAGUACUAGCAUCACUUAUCUUAGGUAAUAAGGAUACUCACGUCAUACGAGUGCAUUCAUUAAUAAAGGUAAUAAAAUAACAAGUUUUAGCCAUAGAUGGGAUUACUGCAAAUCCCCAAAUAUCAAAGUGAAUAACCAGAAAGGGUUUAGAGCUUUUGUUGAAAGAAGGGAAGUAAGGUUUACAAUGGCUUUUUGUCAAUUCACAAAUGUCACAUUGAAAAUCCAAAAUAUGCAAUUCUAUAAACAAAUUAUGUUUUAAUUUCUGAAGCUAACUAAAGGAAAGAGGCCUUAGCCUCUUAAGCUAGAGCUACACCUUAGACAACUUCCUAUCACCUUUCGUCACAAAACAUGCCUUAAUGUACUGCCAUUUGUUAGUUGUUGUCAAUUUCAAGUAGUAGAGGUUGCCCCAUUAAUUUAACAUCACAACCAAGAGUCUUUUGGGUCAAAAUAUCCUGAAAAACACAAUAAAAAGACCAAAAAAGUAACAAUGUAAUUUAGUGCUAAAGUGAUUUGGCCUACAUAUAACAAAUUACAUUCAAGACUAUGAACAACCAAUAUUGUAUUAAGAGUUAUGGCAGUAGUUAGAGCAAUGGAGCCCUUUCUGGUAAUAAGGGAGAUAUCAUCAUUGACUAUAGAUAUGACUUGUUGGGAUGAUGAACGAAGAUUUUGUAAUUUACUAGAGUCUUUAAUCAAAUGAUCGUAUGCACCGGUAUCAAUAAUCCAAGUAUUAUCCAUAGUAAUAGCAGAAAGAACACUAGCCUUAACAAUAUUACCUGGCUGAGUUAAAUUAGUUAAAUUAACAGUAGGCAUGGAAGUCCCCUCCUAAAUUAGAUGGCUUUCACCUGAUUUCGCCAUUACAGUUUUUCUAGUAAUGUUCUUCCGUGAUUUUUUUCAAAAAUCCUACCAUUCAGGAUAUCCAAUAAGCUCAUAGCAACGCAGCUUUGAAUGACUAGAUUCACCACAGUGGAUACAAACAUAGUUAUUUGGCUUUCCUGAAUCUUGACUAUUUUUCCCUUUGGCAGAACUAGAAGCUAUUCCUCGCUGGUUUUGAUUAGCUAUCAUGGUUGUAUUUUCAAAGACCGGCCGAGAAACUCCAAUAACUUGUCAUUGUUGUGACUCUCUUCUCACACAUGCGUAGGCUGCUUCUAGGUCCAGUUUUGGUUCCUUUCAAAGAAUUUCCCCAUGGAUUUGAUCAUAUUUAGAAUCAAGACCGCUUAAAAAAAAUGUACUCACAAUCUAAUCAUCACCGCAUGAAGUUGUACAAUCCCUUCAAUAGAUUCUUCUUAGAAUGUGCUGCGAUGAUCGAUUUCCUGAAAGAUUGCAACAAGUUCAUUAUAAUACAUGGAUAAAGGCCUAACAUUCUGAGUGGUUAAAAAUGACUUUUGAUUCAGUUCGAACAAUUAUGUUUCAUCAGAUCCAUUGUAGAAGGUCCUUGACACUGCCUCAUAUAUUUUCCUUGCUAUAACAAGACGAAUGAAUCUCUGCAUUAGGUGGGGCCUCAUUGAUUCGAUGAGCCAACUCUUUACUUUAUGAUUUUUGAUAAUCCAUGUAUCAUAGUUCAGAUCAUUAGGUGCAAGUUUCACCGCUAUCACAGUUAGAUACCCAACCUUGUUGCGGUCCCAAUAUGCAUCUCUAUUAACUGCGACCAUAACAUAUAGUUGGUUUCAUUGAGAAUAAUAUUGACAGGAGAGCCGGAGGUUUCUUGUUGAACGAUAAUUGGGUUUGACAAAGGAUUGCGUGGAGUGGCUGGAACAAUUGGAUCUCGCUCUUGUUCUGCCAUUGUGAUUUUGUUUGUAGGAGGAAGUCCCUGGAAUACAAAGGUCAAGGGAGAAUGCAGGGAAGAAUAGUAAAAAAAAAAAAAAAGUUUUUCAAGCCUGAGCUCUGAUAUCAUGUUGAUUACGACAUUCAACCGAAGCUUUUCAUUCUGUAAAUAUUUCUGCGCACUACAAUGUAUUCAUCUUUUCAGGAAAUAUAUAUAUAAAGGAAGUAAAACGUCCUAGUAUGCCUAAACUCCUAUUCAGGGUAAGACUAUCUGUACAAGGAAACAACUACAAUCUUGGAAUCCAUACGUCUCGACAGCUAAUACACAAUCUUGCCAGCUACCACUAUCAAAAUGGUAGACCCGUGAUAUUUGCUGGAGAGAAACAAUGAGGCCCUUCUUGGCUCUCUCCAAUCUAUGCCCUUCUUGGCUCUCUCCAAAAUGGCGCCGUUUGUUCAGCCGAACCAAAAGCUGAAGUUAAUUAUAAAUAAUAUUUUUUUUAUUUUUUAAAAUAUAAAUAUAAAUAUUCAACUUUUGCAGCUUAACCCCGUUAAAUACGCAACCUUAUCAUUAAAUUCAUUUAUUCAACCUUCUUACAUUUGCUGUCCAUGUGCUCUCCUGUUGAAGCGGAAUGAAAACCUAAAAGCUCCAAAAUUUAAGGGGUUGUGUUUGAAAAUAUAAUUAAAUCAUGUUUUUUAAAAGUUUUAAAAAUUAUUUUUUAUAUAUAUUUUCAGAUUGUUUUGAUAUUAAUAUCAAAAAUAAUUUUUUAAAAUAAAAAACACUUUAAACAUCAAAAUUUUAAACUCCCAUACAUGUCAAAAUGGUAGACCCAUAAUAUUUGCUGGAGAGAAACAAUGAGGACAUUCUUUGCUCUCCCCAAUCUAUGCCCGAAGGUCGAUGUGCAUGUGAUGUGUCUUCCCACCAUGUGAUGUGUCCUUAAUAAUUUGAUUAAUUGCUGUUAAUCUUUGAUGUCUUUAUUCACGAUUUUUCCACAAUAAGAUACUGUGUCGAUGGUCCUGCCAUGUUCUAAUUUAAUAGCAUAUAAAAAUAAAAAUCAAUACUUGUAAAACUUAAAUACCAACUAGAGUGUUUAUUUAAGUAUUAUAAGUUUUUAUAAAAAAAAAACAAAAUAUGGCUAAUUAAUAUAAAAACCAAAUAAAUAUUGAAUAUUAAAAUUAAAAAAAAAAAAAAAAAAUUGAGGUUGUUCAUUGUUUAUAUGAUGAUCAAGCACCAUAAUAUGCUUCAAUCCUAAAGAGAGUAAUAUAUAAUUCUUGAUUGGGUAUUUUUUUUUUUUUAAAAAAAAAAAAAACACUAAUAAUAACAUCUUUAACUGAAAGGACACAAUAUGCGUGUUGCGCGAGCUCUGGUUGUUAAAAGCCUGGCAGUGUCAUUAUUUGUGAGAAACCGUUUCAAAUCAUAGAAAUCAAAACAAGCAUUUAUGGCGUUAUCGUGCGAUAUCGAAAAGAUACGCGCGAGAGAUCUACAAAGCUCGAGCGGAAGACUUGAUGACUUUGUGGAUUCAUUUAUACAGAUCUGUAAACGGUAUUGUUAAGAGCCCUAGUCAUUGUAUACCCAACCUUUCAAUUUCAAUAGAAAGGAGGAAGUCAGUCAAUACGGGUGUCUGCAACCAUGGAUUCGAUCAAGCGUUUAGCCCCGAGCCCCUGUGUUUCCAAGUCCAAACACAGGAAACAAUAUUGGGUACGAAACAAAUCUAGUUAUAUUUCUAUGUUUUUCUUAUAAAGAUUAUUCUUAAUGCUUGUUUCUUGACUUCUUGUUGCUAUAUAUCAUGUCAUUAUCCCCAGAAAUUAAAAAUUAUUAUUUUUCUUAUACAUGUUAAGAAGAACAGAGAGAGGAGAGAAACUAUAAAACGAUUGGAAACAGAUAUGAUCGAGAUCGGUGAGGGACAACAACGCAUCAGAGAAGGGCAACGAGAAAUAAGACAAAAGUUUGAAGAGAUAGGAUCUGAAUGCCGCAGGCUCAAAGAGGAGACGAUGAACAUAGCCAAGCAGAGUGAUUACAACCAAGUCAGGAUAAACCUAAUGUUUAGCAUCUUGAAAGCCCGUGAAGACAACAACUUUGCCCAUGCUGAUCACCUUACUGGGCUCCUCCGGUUGGUUAAAUUCCCUUCGCCAUUUCUUUUCUUAAUUCUUGGGAUUUCGGAUUUCAUAAUUAAUCUUGCUAAUGCUAGCUAUUACAAGGAGAGAAACAUAAGUUAACGAACUCAAAAUAAAAGAAUCAAAAUGCACCCUUGAUAAUUAAUCUUCUCUCAAUAAUUGUGUUUCCUAUUCGUUGUGUUGGCAGCAAGGAAAUGGAAAAGCAGGAACAAGGAAAGGCAGGCCUGGUUGGCUGACUCAUGAUCAUGGAAAACGACGAGCAGUUUGCCUUUGCAGUGACUCCUGAUCGUCUUUUCUUAUUAAAAUGAAAUCAUCAGUCCUAAAUCUAGAUAUGUAUCGACAUUAGUCUUCCCUUGAUAUCCUUCUUCCUUUGAUGAAGUAUUCAUUUGAUUAAGGAUUUGCGUUCUCUUUCCGAAUUGAAUGUUUUGAGUUAUAGUACAUACCAUGUGAAUUGCCGGGCGAUGCCACCGAUUGUUAUAUAAACGGUAUAAGCAUUCGGUUGAGUAUAAUCUGAGGUAAUCGAAGAAGAACAUAGGCCGACAUAAUUAAACAAAAUGAGAAAAAAAAUAAAAAUUACUAGAAGUAUUGAGGUUAAGCAAUGCAAUCACAAGCUUUAUGUUAGAGAAACGUAAAGUCUUAACUAGCCUGUUUAGCUUUGCAGUAUUCAGUUGUUUUUAUUUAUUUUGAUUUUGUUUUUUAAGAAUUAUUUUUCAUAUUAAUUUUAAAAUAAAUAAAUAAAUAAAUCAUUUUUUUUUACCAAAAAAGGGUGUGGCUUCAAUAACAAAUAGUGAAAAAGUCUCAAAUACAAAGCAACAAGUACAUAAUAAAUUACCUGAUUGUUAAUCAAGGUAUACAUAAAUUCACUCGAAUAUUUAUAAUUAUUAAAAUAAUAAUAAUAAAGAAAGAAAGAGCUCCAGACUUUUUGACCGUGCAUUCUCAUUUCACUUUGAAUUCCAGUGAGAUUGAUAAUUUCUUUUGGAAAAAAAAACUUGUUUAACUUUGUCUCAGGUGUAGAAAGGUGUUUUCAAUGGGAUUUAUUAGUAAUUAUUAUUUUUAAUAGGGACAACUUAGUUUGUUUGCGUUUUAAAUAAAGUGUAAUGAUUUAAACACUUUUAAAAGUAAGAAAAAUUAAAACUAGUAGGAAUAGUUUUAUGGUUUUAUAGUAAAAGAAUGAUAUUGCCCUUAAAAGAAAAUGAUAAAACUUGUAUUCAGAGUCAUUUAGAUCUUUUCAAUACAGUUAUUUUGUAAUUAUAUAUUUGAAUUAAAAACAAUUAAAUCUUUAAUUAUAUUUAUAUAAAUAAUUAAUAUAUGUCACAUACAUUUUAGCAAGUGAAAGGCGUUCAUGCUCUUAAGAUGAUGUUUGCCUCCCCUAACAAUGGUUAAAAGUUGUGUAAACAAUGAUGUUUGAAACGAUGGGUCAUUCUCUUUGCGAUGGUGGGAUGCUUGUUUACGAAUGAAGUGUGGUUGAGCUCCUUAUAAACAUUUUUCUUUUCCUGUUUUUUCUUCCUCUUUUAGUCUAGAAAUUGAUGCCAACUCUUUUAAAAAUUUAUUGUGUUCUCUAGUUUGUAUUUUUAUUAAUUUUGAUUAUCAUUUGUUUUUGCUUUUAAUGCAUUUUGAUCUUUAAUUGAUUUGCAAUUUCAUCCAUAAGAAUUUUGUUUCAUUUAAUUUUUAUAUGAAAUUUGAUCUUUAUUAUUUUAUUUCUAUUUUUUUUGUUUUUAUACUUAUCUAGAUUUUUUUUUUCAAUUUUACCUCUCAUUAUUUUAUUUUAUUUAAUUUUUGCAUUCAAUUUUAAUCUUUAUUUUUUUAUUGUUAUUUUUUUUAUUUUCUUAAUUUUUUUCAUUUAGCUUUUAUGCUAGAUUUAGUCAUUGUUGUUUCGAUUACUAUUUAUUUUGGUUUUUAAUUUUGGAUGAUUAAGGAUUAUGCUUAGUGAUUUUUUAUUGUUUGCUUUUAAUGAGAUAAUCUCGAUCUUAUGAACCGGGUCACUAUUUCAAGGAUUAAUCCGAUUUAACUUUGAUUUUUUAUUCCUUUUUUUUAAAACAAAAUAAUUACUUUUUAAUUUCAUCAUUUGGUUUUAGGUUAUUAGGUCUAAAUUCCCCCCAUUUAUGUGGUGUUAUUUCGGUGUUAUAUCUUAGGUUGAGUUUUUUUCGAGAUAACUCUGGUUUUUUUUUUUUUAAUUUAGUUUUUCUAAUUUAAUUUUUUAAUAUUAAAUUAUUGAACCUUACAAAUUGUAUUUUGUUCAUUAUUUUUUUUUUUUAUAAGUUUAACAUGAUCUCGAGGUCAUUGUCUUUUUUUUAAAUUAAUUUUUUUAAUCUGGAACUCCCAUCACGGGUCGCAUGGUAGUCCAACUAAUCUGAGUUAAGUUAAAGUUUUUUCAAUUUUUUUUUAUUUUUUUUUACCAGUCGCACGCACUGUGUAGCGUAAAACUAAAAGUUGUAUCAGAAGAAAUGUGCAGGACAUGUGUAGGUCGGCUAAUGCUGGCCAUAAAUAGCCAUGUCUGUGAAGCUAUGCAGGUGUGCUAGUGGAGACAGAAACACUUAUGCAGAAAAGUGUGACGUAUGUUCCGGUAGUUCCAAAAAGAAUCAGAUAAAUAGUUGAGAAAUUUAAUAUUUUAAAGUUGUUUUAUGGGAAACAUGAUAUUUCAAAAAUAUAUUUGUUAAAUGACUUCACAAUUUACGAUGACGAGAGAAAAAUAAAAUAAAUACUUUAAUUAUACAUCAAAUCUAUCAUAAAAAAAACUCGACCAUGUGAAUCUAAUAAAAUUAAAGAAGUUCACCAAGUAGAUCACACUCAUUGAAGCUCUAAUUAUAAUAUCACUAGCAGCAUUAUAAAGUUCUGGACAAAAUAAAUCAAAUAUAAACAAUAAAGAUAAUCAAGGAUAAUGAUAAUUGAAGUGGGUCAUAUAUAAUAGGCGGAAAACAUGGUGAAAUCUAGGGUUAAGAUUAAAAAAGAUGAUGGAAGGGAAGAUGAAGGUGAAGAUGAAGAACAACAAUCAGAUUAGCGAGAAGAACAGGCAUCAAAAUUCUGGAUGGAGAAGUUCCAGUUUUCCAGACUGCAACAGUAGAAAUGAUAAGACCACCUGCUAAGAAGGCCAGUAAUCUGUCGUGAAUGAAGAAAUUCAUGGAUGGUAGCAGCGAGAUUUAGCAUGAAGCAUUUAACUUGUUUUCUCUAUUGUAAUUCAUGUCGCUAGAGGUAAUAGAAUUGCACUUGUCUUGCCAGCAUUUAUAGAGAUAUGAAUCUGUUGAAAGGGAAAUUAAAUCGUAGAGUCAACCUUGUUGCGGAUUCCAAAGGGAAACCAUGAUGGUUUAACAGUUAAGCUUUGGUCAUCAAUGCAAUUGGUUCAGGUUGGGGUUUGGAAGAGGUUCGGUGAACUGCGGCGGCCGGAGCCUAAUCUGAUUAGGAGUGGGUACCCUAGGUUGGUUCGGUGGAACAAAUUGAAACUGGAAGUUGAGAAUGUUUCGUUGGUUCUAGACUCGGAUAAAGAGAGUUUUAGCUCUGGAAAACUGGGAUUUCCUCAAGUUUUAUGGAGAAAAAGAAAUGUGGGCCGGCGACUGUUGGUUCUAGUUUGAACGACGAUUUAAUGGCAUUUGCUCGACGCGUCAGGAUUUCAAUGCUGUGUGGAGUUGGCUGUUCAGAACAGUAUUUACCUCAUAGGGUUGCAAUGCAAUUCGGAACCGACGAAGAUCUUUCAGGGUUGUGUUGGUCAAUGCUCUAAUUAACAGACCUGAGAUUGCAGAGAGCUUAAAGCUUUUGUUGAAGAGCUUGAGCAGAUGAUCACACGAAUAAAAACAGCAAGAUUAAGACAAAAUUGUUAACCUAGCUAGCCUUCUUCGUGAGAACGAUUUGCUUGAUUUUAUUUUAUUUGAAUUCAUGGCUUCUCUUCUCUGUUGGCUAUGCUACUAACAUGGCAGUAGCAUUGCAGCAGGUUCCUAAUAUGGAUAACUCCCGCCAUUGACAACAGAUGCAGAACAAGGUUAAAAGGAUAAAAGAAAUAAAUAUAUUCAUAUGUAACCAUGCACUAUGGCAUGAAGUUAUUAUCACAGUGUGCAGACAAAUGCCGUGUGCUGCUGGACCCAACGAGAGUCUACUAGGCGUUAUCUGUUCUGCCCACCCAAUCCUGACUAGAUAAGCACUUGAGAGUUUUUUUUUAUUUUAUCCAGUUGAUUUGAAGUGUUGUUUUGAUAUAAAUUUUGUAAAGAAGAGAUAUUUUUGUUAAGACCAAUUUGAUAUUUGUAUUUUUGUUUAAUAAUUUUAUCUUUUAAAAAUAUCUUUUAUUUGUUUAUAUAAAAGUUUAAAUAAAAGCAAUAGAAACUAGUAGAAUUCAACAUUAAUUAAAUAUUAUGAUGAUGUUUGAUUCAUGUUGUGAUAACUUUAUAAAUAUUAAAUUCAAAUAAAUUAUGAUGACUAAUUUAAAAUUAAUUAAUUAUUAAAAGAGUUUUUUUAAUAUUAAAAUGAUGAUAUAUUAAAUCAACCUAAACUUUACAGUUUAAUUUGUAAAACCUUGACUUGAAUCAUGAACUCCACUUGACAAAUUAAAAAAAAAAACAUUAAGGUUGUUACGACGAUAAAGCACAAACAACAAUAAUAAUUCAAGAUUUUGACUAAAAGUAGAAUCCAUUAUACAUGUGUGUUGAUUAUUGAGUUAUAACCCGUCCGUAUAUGAAAAGGAAUGAAUUUAGCAAAGUUAUUAAACUCGGUCGACCUAAUGGUUGGACUGGUCUGGGUUUGUUAAAAGACCAGUCAAUGCAAUGACCCGACAAAACCUGGUCGACCCAUGACCCGGAUGAGACCCAAUAUUUUUUUUUUCAAACGUGGUUUUUUUUUAUAACCUUCUUUUUUAUAUUUUUUUUAGUUGGUUAUUAACACUUUUUAAAGUUCACUAUAUAAAUACUAAAAAUAUAUUUUAUUUUUUCAAUGUAGAAUUUGAAACCCUUUAGUAUAUACUCUAUGUUCCCAAGAAAUUUUUUUUUUUUUCAAUGUGGGAUUUCAAGCCCUUUCAUAUAUAUACUUUAUGUUCAUAAGAAAAAAGUUAUGUUUUUUCAAAGUGAGAUUUGAAACCAUAUAGCAUAUAUACUCUGUUUCCAAGAAAAAACGUUGUUUUUUUAAAUAUGUAAUUUGAAGUUCCUUCGUAUAUAUACUCCAUGUUCAUAAGAAAAAUGUUAUGUUUUUUCAAUGUGAGAUAACAAACGUUUUGGUUUAAAUACUUCAACUUAAAAGUAUGACAUAAUAUAUUUUUAAUGUGAGAUUUAAAGCCCUUUAAUAUAUAUAUAUAUAUAAUAUAUAUAUAUAUAUAUAUAUAUAUAUAUAUAUACACCUAUAUUCCUAAAAAAAAAAAUUAUUUUUUCAAUGUAGGAUUUAAAGUCCUUUUGUAUAUAUAUUUUAUUUUCACAAGAAAAAUGUUAUGUAUUUUUCAAUGUAAGAUUUUAAAUUUUUUAUUAUACUUUAUCUUUAUAAAUUUUUUUUUUAAAUUAAUCCAAUUAACCUGUCUACCUUUAGAGCUGAUUUAAUAAUUUUGGGAUGGAAGGAAUAUUUAAAAUAGUCUUAGAACAAGUCACAUUUGUUUGCUACCCGAUUUGAAAAGAGAAAGUUGCUCUCCCGUAAUGUCUACUUUUAAAAUCAAAAGAAUCCAACAGAAAACGGCAACCAUGACCAUGCCAAAAGGGCUUAAACAAAAGCUCUACAAGAUCAAUCCACGAAAGUUAAACUCCAUUGAAUCAAGAUUUGAAUGUGCUGGGCAAUGAAAAGCCCACGAUUAUAUAAAAUAAAAAAAUAAAAUUCAAAGAGAGUACUGGAAUGCUUGACUAUAACUGUAAAACCAAGCCUAGUCCAAUAAAUCUAUGUAAAAAUCCGAUAAUUCAGAACCUAGAUUAAUUGCUAUCAUGAUUUAUGACCUAACCAAUUUAGUUACAUUAAUGUUGACCAUGAUUUAGUCUAGAUUUAUCCUAGUCAAAAGAGAAAAGAAAUUCCAUAAAAUCUUAACAUGAUAAUCGGGGUCAUUUUCUUCGAGCAAGCAACGAAUCUCCAUAAAAUCUUAAACAUAAUUAGUGCAUAGAUUACCAAAUAUAUAUAUAUAUAUAUAUAUAUAUAUAUAUAUAUAUUGUACCAGAUGAAACAAAACAAUUCUCAGUACGUGGCGUUGUUAUACCUGAGAAUGAUCUAAAAAAUCAGGUCAUAGAUUUCUAGCCUAUACACUGAUUUUAUUAAAAGAAUGAAGAAAGAAAUGGAAGUAAAUAUAAACAAAUUUCUAAUACGAACGAAUAAGGCAAGACCAACAAUGUCAGGAUCCUUGAUCAAACACAGAGCAUUCUUAAUAAAGUAUAACAAGAAUUUAAAUGAUGAAAAUAAAGUCUUACUUAAAUUUGUAAUGCAAAUCAAUACACGAGAUAUUGAUUAUAGAGGAGAGUGGAUAUGGGUUAAAGGUACGAGUUACAAGGGAGAAUAAAAUUUUCUCAGGGAAAAUGAUUGUCUGCCUUCUGAGGAUUUAGAAGUCCCCUUUUAUAAAUGAGUUGACACGGAAGAGGCCAAAAUGUCUUGUUGGGAAAGCUUGGAGAUUUCGUUAGAACCCAUGUGAACCCAUGUUGUAUUGCUUUCCAUGAUUGGGUGACGACAAAAUGAAAAAUGCCUAUGUUUUUUGUGGGACUUUCAUUUGUUGUCUUCUUGCCACCGACACUGGAUUUGUUUGUUUGUAAUAGCAGGUGAUAUUUGUAAUAAAAAACCUAAAACUAAUGGGCUUAAAAUUAAAAAGGACUCAAAACAGUUGAGUCGAAAAUAUAUGGGCUCUAAACAGAUGAGCCUGAGAAAGCCUAAAAUACUCUUUUUUUUAUUUUAUUUUAAUGUCGCUUGAUAGGCGGUAGGAUACCAAAACAGUCAUCUUCAUUAUCGUCUCCAAGGGAAAUGGUAAGAGAUAUCGAUCCAGAUGAGCUGGAUUGGGACAAGACCGUUUUCGGGUCUUGGCUUUGUAUAAUGCUUUGGACUAUUUGUAGGUAUUCUUCUUUAGUUUUAGUAGGCAAUGAAAGUUGUCGUUUGAGACUUUCGGGCUAGAAACUUUGAUUGAGGAUGAUGAUCAAUGAUGAGAGCUAUUUGAUGUUUUUGUAACCAUUCCGUAACAACUAAUUUGGAACUUUUGGAUUCAGCUGCAAAAGAAUCCUACCAUUUGAUUUUGAACUUGCGAACAAGUACUAGAUGUCCGAUUUGUAGAUUAUAAUCAUAAAACCAUGAAUAUACCCAUGGCAUAAAAACUUUUAUACAGAAAAUGAGAAGGGAAGAGAACUUCCUUUCAUAAGGAGCUAGUUAAAAUUUAUUUUUGAAAUGGAGGUAACUAUUUUCAACUAGAGGAUGGUCUUUGAGGUAGUCAACAUGACAACCAUAGUAGUCCCACCAUUUGAGGAACCAGAGUGGGAGGUUUGUAGUAUUCAUGUCAUUAUGGAAGUAGAAAAACCAAGAAUGACUAUGGUUUGGAUUUUGUAGUAGGAAGGCAUUGAACUAUGCCUGUUGGUAAUCCUAGUACGUAUAGGAAGUAUUGAAGUCCUAGGGGUUUGUACGGAAGUGUAUGAGGAAGGAGAGAUGUUGAUGUAAGGGUUGUCCCCAAUCUUUAGGGUGAAUGACUUUGUGAAUGAUACAUGUAGAAUAUGGCGGUUCAGUGUGAUCAGAAUGAAGUUUGAAGUGUUUGAACUUGACAAAAUUGGUAAUUUCAAGGAUUGCGGCAUAAUAGGUGGUUUGGCUAAAUUCCAGGGUUUGUAGUACCAAUUUGAAUGGAAAAUUUUGGAAGCAACAAUGGAAGGGUUUUCAUGUUAAAAUCCUUCUUCCAUAGUUAAAAUAUUUUGGAAAGUAGUUUUGAAAAUAUAUUUGGAUUUGGUGUUUGGAAAACUGGUUUAUUGUAAAGAAAAGAGGGGUUUUGAAGCAGAAAUGCCUCCUUGAGGUUUUGAAAAUGAUUUGGAAAUAGAUACGGAGUCGCUGGAGGCCUAUUGAGACACUUUUUAUAAUGUUAGGAGUAAUUCUGGUGAUUUGGAUAUAGUGUCAACCCAAUGUUGAACUGCGUAUGUUUGUACAUAUGGUGGUUUUAUAGUUUCUUCUUCUUCAAUAACUGCCUCAUACCAGGAUUUGAUGGGUUUGACAGCUAAGAUAGCUGAAGACAUGAGUUUUGAAAAAGGCUUGGGGCUCUCUGAUUUUGUAGGCUGGGUUUGAGGGGCUUUCCCCUUGUUUUUGGCCUUUGCUUUAGGAGGCAUCAAUACCUAUUUUGAAGGAAUUCUCAGGUUAGGAAAUCAGAAUGGAAUUUGAAUCUCCUUUAAUGUAGACAAUAUCGAAAUAAAAAAUGCUUAAAAUAGCUUGCCAUCUGGCAAAAAUCUGUUUUAAAGCAAGAUUUUGGACAUCUUUUUGUAGAAUUUUUUUUUUGCAGAUUUGCAAUUAACACGUAAAAGAAAUUUUUGAUUUAAUAAAUCACUUUGAAAUUUUGUAAUACAGAAAACAAUUGAAAGGAUCUUUUUUUAUAGUAGAGUAAUUUUUCUGGCAAUCAUUCUAGUGGGCGGAUGUGUAUUGGAGGAUUUGUUCUUUAAGAAUCCCACCAUAUCCUAGGUCAGAGACAUCGGUCUCGACAAUCUUAGGAGCUAACGGGUUAGCUAAAUGGAGGAGAGAAAUAGUUUGGACCUCUUACUUAAUCUGUUUGACUAGGUCGGUAUGGAUGUCGGACCAAGAAAUGAGGUUUGUUUUUAACGUGUCAUGUAAAGGUUUGGCUAGACCGCUAAUAUUGGGAUAGUAGUCUAGAACAUAAUUAAGACUGCCUAAAAACCUUUGCAAUUGGGUUUUAUCGGUGAUCUUAUUAGGAAAUUUAUUUGUAAAGGUUAGAGACUUUUUUAUUGGUGUUACAGUGCCUUGGCAAAUAUAAUGCCCUAGAAAACGGACACGAUUUGGAAGAGAGAAAAUUUUGUUUUAGAAACAAUUAAACCAUUUUUUUUUGUAGUAUGAAAGGAAGUAUGUAGAUGUUUGAAAUGUUGAUCUAUGGAAUGUGAAAAAAUAAUCACAUCGUCAAUGUAAACAAUGCAGAACUUUGAAUGUGCAUUGAAGAUGUCAUCCAUGAUGCGUUGAAAUUCAGAUGGUGCAUUUUUUAGGCCAAAGGGCAUAACAAUCCAUUUGUAUUGGCCUAAAGGAACUAUAAAAGCAGUUUUGUAUCUAUCUUUGGGAUCAAUCUGUAUUUGCCAAAAUCCGGAUUUCAUAUCGAACUUAGAAAAUAUGAAUGCAGAGUGCAAUUUUUGUAACAUAUCUUUUUUGUUGGGGAUUAGAUAUCUGAUCCAUUUGAGAGCAGAAUUUAAAGGUUUGUAAUUGAUCACAAGUCUUGGUAUGCCUCUUUCGAUUUCAGAGUUUUUAUUCACAUAAAAGGCUGCACACAACCAGGGUGAUCGAGACUUUUGGAUAAGACCUUUAGACUCGCAAUCGCGGAUUUCAAGUAUGCAAUGCUGUUCUAAAUCAACAUUUAUUUGGAUAGGUCUUGCUUUUGUAGUUAUAAGAUUUUUUGAAAAAGUAUCUUCAUAUGAAAGAUCAACGAUGUGUUGUUUUCUUUUCUAGAAAGCAUUAGGUAAGUCUGAACAGAUUUGUUGUUCAAUCUUAUUUUGUAAAUCAAUGAUUUUCUUUUGUAAAUCAGAGUUUUGUAAUUGUUUGUUUAUACGACCAAAAAAAAAAAGGUUUUGUAAAUCAUGUAAAUGGAAUUGUUUUCCAUGAAUCAGUGCAUUGAUAUGAUAAGUAUGUAUGGAGCAUGCUUUAAUCAAAUUUAAAUUUCUAGUCUUAGAUUUCUCUAAGAAUGGGAGAACAAGUUUGAUGCUAUUGAUUUUGGAAGUAAUACAAUUAUGAUGUGCUUGAUAUGGAGUGAUCAUGUCGAUGAAUGGAGUGCCAAGAAUGAUAGUAUGAUUAAUAUCUUUUGUAACAACAAAGAAUGUUUUAAGAGAAAUACCUUUGUUGAAAACAGAGGUUGAGUUUUGCCUGCAAUAUGUAACUUUGAAUUAUUAGCAGCAAAGAGUUUUUCAGAGGUAUUUUGUAAAAAUUAUUUUGGAGCCACACCUUCUUUGAUGCAGUUCAAAUAUGCACUUGUGUCAAAUAAGACAAUAGUGUCAAGUUUGAAAUCUCUUGAGAAAAUGAGAGUAAUUCUAGUUAAAUAUUUUUUUGAAGAUAUUUGUGUUAAUACGUUAAGGAAAUCAUUUAGAACAUGCUCAAUAUUUGUAAGUGUAUGUGGCAAUGCAUGAGAUUCAAUGGUUUGAUCUUCUAUAUCAGACUCAGUAUCAAACUAGCUUUCAAUUAUGGAUAGGAGAUGUUGUAGUAUGGCAGAGUCUUUUUGUUGGGCUUGGUUGAGGGUUUGUAAUUCGGAUUUGAGGGUUUUGAUCCUAGAAUGUAAUUCUGAAAUGGUGACUGUGGUUUUGAAUUUCUUUUUGUUAAGGAUCUUUGUAAGGUCAUAGGUACUGGUACUAGUAGAGGGUAGUAUAGAGCGAUUUAGAGGGUUAGAUGAAAGGUAAUCUGGUUGGUUGAAAUCUUUCAAUAACUUAUCUAAGUAGGUUUUUUGAAGUUGAGGAUCAUCAAGUCUUUUGAUAACCUCAAGAAUGAAUUUCUAGUCUUGGGUUAAGACGUUAAUUUGUUUGGAAUUUGUAGAGGCAUAUGAAGUAGCACUAGUAGUUGCUAUUUUAUCGAUUUGAAAUUCUUCUUCAGAAGUGUCUGAAGGAGAGUGGUCAAUGUCUGUGACUUCAAUGUAAAGAUUUUAUAUUUGGUUGAUGGUAUCUUCAUUUAUUUUGAGCUUACAAAGUUUGGUAUUGACCUUGCAGAAACGAGAUAUAUGUCCUUUCUGGUUACAUUUGUAACAAAUAAUGUUUUUAAAAUUAAAUGUUGGUUUGGAUUUUGACUGAAAAUGUCCGUGGGGCUUGGUAAAUUUAUAGAGCUUUUUGUAGUAAGGUUGAUUUAAUUUGGAACAAAACUGUUUUCAUAGUCGACAAGCUCCUCUCUUUAUCCAUUCAGUCCUGAAAAGUAACUAAGACAAUUUCAGUUAUAUUUUCAUGUUCCAAUUAAACACUUUUUAUUUUUUUAUUCUCAAAGAAAAAUAUAUUUUUUUAUUAAAUAUAUAAAGAUCCAAUCAUGAUUUUAUAAUAAGAAUAAGAGAUAUUUUAGUUGGAAAUGAAUCUAAAUGUUAGCUAGAUAAAUGUUUUGUAUGAAUCCUGUAGACCAUUCUUACGAGGAUCGUGAGAGGAGGGCUACAAUUCGUAGAAAAGAAACUGCAAUUCCUUGAGGUCAUCCUGCACUUGUAGAAAAAAUGUAGAAAAUAGAAUUUGAAACAGAAAGUUGAGAAUGUUUCCGUUGGUUCUAGACUCGGGAAAGAGAGAGUUUUAGCUCUGGAGAACUGGGAUUUCGUCAAGUUUUAUGGACCUGUUUUUGGUCAAUGCUCUAAUUAACAGACCUGAGAUUGCAUAGAGCUUAAAGCUUUUCUUGAGCAGAUGAUCACACGAAUAAAAACAGCAAGAUUAGGACUAAAAUUGUUAACCUAGCCUUCUCGUGAGAAUGAUUUGGUUGAUUUUGUUUGCUUUGCUAGUUAUGUUAACAACUCAAGCUUGGCUUUGACAUAUGAAGCAGAUGAAAGUGUUUGGGCUUUAAGCUUUUCAUGACCACCCGGCCGGAGAUUGAAUUCCUGGCUUCUCUUCUUCUGUUGGCUCUGCUACUAACAUGGUAGUAGAGCUUUCGACUGUCAGGCAUGGCGUCAGUAUCGUCAGUAUCGUCACUACUAACAUGGUAGUAGAGCUUCCUUGAAGUUGAAUAUGACUCCUCGGAAGCUCUUCGAUGCCAGUCUUCACAUCGUAAUGUAUUCGCUUCUAACUUAUUUGGGGUCUUUUCAGAAUGGAUCUUGAGAAUGUUCCUCCUCCUGUUCUUCGGUAUCUUUUGGACGCUGAUAGAAUAGGUAUUGCAGCAGGUUCCUUCAUAGAUCAUAACUCCCACCAUUCACAACAGAUGCAGAAGAAGGUUAAAAGGAGAAAAGAAAUAAGUAUGGUAACCAUUGCAGCAGCAUGGCAUGAAGAGGUGUGCUGGACCCAACGCACAGUCUACUAGGCGUUAUCUUUUCUGACAAGCCAAGCAGUCGAGAUUUUAUUCGAUUUUAUCCUGUUGAUUUGAAGUGUGCGAUUUGAUCGAGAAAAAAACUGAAAAGUAUAUUAAAAAUAAAUAAUAAUUAAAAAAAUCGAAUGGGAUAGGGAUAAGGAAUCGCGGCGAUAAACAAACAGAGGAGGCAAGAUAAUAGAUAUGUAAAACCUUCCCCUUCCACCAACAGGGCAUUCCAACAGCCUUCUCGUGCAAACAGUCGAAAAUGCUAGAAAAGAGAAAGAAUAAAAGUGGAUUCAACCUCAGCCAAACUCGUACCUGAAGAUAGAAGAAAGUGAAUUAUUCACGAGUAUACAUAAUAGUAUUUGCUUCCGUAAUCUUGCCACCAAUGUAUGGAAUCGAUUAAAUUAAUUAAAAUUUUUUAAAAAAUAAACCGAUUUGGUUCGGUGGAACAAAUUGAAACAUGAAGUUGAAAAUGUUUCAUUGAAUAUGACUCCUUGGAAGCUCUUCGAUGCCAGUCUUCACAUCUUCAUAUUCAGGCUCUUCUUGGCUCGAGGAGACCAUGCAAAUUCCUUCAUUAAUUAAUUACGGUGAAGGUAAUCAAUGUAUUCGCUUCUAACUUGUUUCGGGUCUUUUCAGAACAAUUCAAUGGAUCUUCAGAACGUUCCUCCAAUUCUUCGGUAUCUUUUGCAGCAGGUUCCCUCAUGGAUCAUAACUCCCACCAUUCUCAACAGAUGCAGAAGAAGGUUAAAAGGAUAAAAGAAAUAAAGGUUAAAAGGAUAGUAACCAUUGCAGCAGCAUGGCAUGAAAAAGCUUAUCACAGUGUGCAGACAAAUGCCGUGUGCUGGACCCAACACACGGUCUGCUAGGCGUUAUCUGUUCUGCCCACCAAUUCUUACAAGAUCAGCACUUGAGGUUUAUUUGCUUUAUCUUUAUCUUUAUCUUUAUCUAUCUUUAUCAGUUUAACAAUUUUAUUUUUUUAAUUAUAUAAUAAUAUUAUAAAAUUAAACUAAAUAUUAUGAGAUGUUUGAUUGAAACUAAACAACUUUAUAAAAUAAUUCUUGAAUGGAUAAUCUGAAAACACCAAAAAUAAUUCAAGAUUUUUACUGAAACUAGGGCCCGUUAUGGAUGUUGUUGGUUAUUAGGCUAGAUAUGUUAUGUCCAUAACAAAUGAAUCUGAUCUAAAUAUUUAAAAGAAUUAUUAAAAAAAAUAAACAGUGUAUAUAUAUAUAUAUAUAUAUAUAGAUAUAGAGGCCCAUAGAAGAUCAGCCUGAUUAGGUUUCUAGCGUUAUCGUGCGUUAGUUAAAAAUAAAUCUGAUCAAAUACACAAUUUUGUCAACUAACACUCCUCCUUAAGUUAGUGCAUAAAUAUCUAUUAUGCCUAACUUGUCAAUCAUACUCUAAAAAUUCUUAUUUAAUAUUGUGUUAGUGAGGAUAUCAGCUAUAUGACUUGCAGAUUUAACAAACAAAAAACAUAUAAUUUUUUUAUUAUCUAAAUUCUCUUUGAUGAAAUGACGAUCUACUUCAACAUGUUUAGUUCGAUCAUGUUGAACAUGAUUAUGUGUAAUCUGCUUAUUAUCACAUUACAAAUUGAUAGGAUCUGUAUACUUGAUCUCCAAAUCCUUGAAAACACUCUUGAUCCAUAACAACACAUAUUCCCUAAACCAUUUCUUGAAAUUCUACUUCUACACUAGAUCAUGCUACAACUUUCUAUUUUUUACUUCUCUAAGUAAUCAAAUUCCCUUCCACAAAGGUCAGAUAACCAAACAUAUACCUUCUUAGUGUUUGAUCUCCUGCCCAAUCUGUAUCAGUAUAGCCUUUAAUAUUUGAGACACAAUUCUUUGAGUACUAUAAACCUUUGUCAGGCGCACCUUCAAGAUAUCUCAAGAUUAUGUAAACUGCAUCCAUAUGCAUAAAUUGGCUCACAAUACAUAUAAUAUAAAUUAUAUCAAAACUAUUGUGGGUUAGGUAAAUUAACUUACCCACAAGUUUUUGAUACCGACCCAUAUCUAUAGGGACUUGAUCUGGAAAGAUCCCAAGUUGACGAUUCAUUUGUAUUGGUGUUUCAAUAGGUUUGCAAGCUAGCAUCUCAAUCUCACUUAGAAGAUUUAAUACGUAUUUAUAUUGUGAAUGGGAAAUUCCUUGUUUGGACCUUACUACUUCAAUGCCAAGAAAAUACCUUAGUUGUCCCAAAUCUUUCAUUUUGAAUUCUACAAACAAGUACUCUCGUAGUGUCCUCAUUUCUUUAGGAUCAUUACCUAUCAAAAUCAUGUCAUCUGCAUACAUAAUGAAUGUCGUUACCCUUCCAUCUUUAUGUUUUACAAAUAAUGUAUGAUCUAUAUUGCUCUAUUCAUAACCAGCUGCUUUCAUUGCCAAAGUAAACCUCCCAAACCAAGCACGAGGAGAUUGCUUUAAACCAUACAGAGAUCUCUUUAGUUUGCACACUCUGCCUUCGUGUUUGGAACUUUGUUUUAUUCCAGGCAUAAGUUCUAUUUACACCUCUUCUUCUAGAUCACCGUUCAAGAAAGCAUUUUUUACGUUGAAUUGUUGUAGGGGCUAAUCUCAAUUUGCAGCAAUGGAUAUGAGAAUAUAGAUGGUGGUGAUCUUGGUUACUGGUACAAAGGUCUCUUGGUAGUCGAUACCAUAUUUAUGGGCAUACUCUUUGGCCACGAGUCUCGCUUUAUAUCUAUCUAUGCUUCCAUCCGCUUUAAGUUUAACAAUGUAUACCCAUCAACACACAAUCACCUUUUUUUUCUGUUGAUAACACAACAAGUUCCCAAGUGGAGUUCUUUUGUAAGGCUUCCAUCUCUUCAUUCAUGGCCUUUUUUCACCUUGAAUCUGCCAAUACAUCCUACACAUUAUUAGGAAUAUAUACUUUGGAUAAUUGAUUAAUGAUUAGUGCAUAAGAUUCCAAAAGUCCAUGAAAAGAGACAUAGUUAUUGAUAGGAUAUUUAACAUUGGUUUUACUAUACAGCUCGUAUUGUUUCUUUGUAACACCUUUAUUAGGUCUUUGUGAAUACCUAGGAGUGGGUUGAGAUGUAUCCUUAGUGGUGGGAUUAUCUAGGAUAUUUUGGGCAGAAAAAUCUAUGGUUGAUGGUGCGAGUAAGUCACUCAUCACAGUUUCUUCCUUAUUAAGGUUUGUAGCUUCUGUGUCACCAGCACACAAUUCGGUCAUCUCAACUUCUUCCCCAUCAUGGUUUACAACAUCUAUGUCACCAACAUAAUCCCCACAAAGAUCACUGUCCAAUGAUAAAUUCCUCUUGUUUGGAAUAGUUUAAGUAUUAGUGAACGAAGUAGCAUUAUACUCGUUAUUAUUCAUCCUUUUUUUCAAAUGCCACUAGCUACAUAAAAACACCAUCAUCCUCACUUUUAUCAAAAACAAUAUUGCAAAGCUCACCUUUUUCAUACACAUUCCCCCCUGAAGAGGAGAGCCUAAGUCGCUUGUUAAAUAAUAAGGAUUCAUUUCACGAAAGGAGACAUCAAGAGAUAUAUGUAGCUUAUGAGUUUGAGGGCAGUAACAUCUGUAUCCUUUCUGAAAAUUAGAGUAACUAACAAAUACACAAUAUUGUACAACCAAAGGUUUUAGGUUCGAAGUUUGGUUGAUGGGGUGUGUAAAAGAAGGUUUGUAAUUUUUAGUAUGGGGUCUGGAAAUCAAUCACCCAGGAAGGCACUAUAUUGAUAAUGUAGACAGUAGACUUAAUAGCCUCUCCAUAAUAGAAGGGAGGCAUAUUCAUUCCAAAAAAAGAUGCACGUACCACCUCCAUGAUCUGCCUAUUUUUCCUCUUCGCAAAUCCAUUUUAUUGAGGUGUGCAGGUGCAAGAAGUAUGAUGUCUAAUUCCCUGUUUUCGAAGAUAAUCACCAAGCAAGUUCUCAAGAAAUUCCAUGGAAUUGUCAUAUUGCCAUACCUAAAUCUAUUUGUGAAAUUGAGUUUUCACCAUGUUGUAAAAUUCCUAAAAAGUAGUACUUGCAUCACUUAUCUUAUGUAAUAAGGAUACUCACGUCAUACGAGUGCAUUCAUCAAUAAAGGUAAUAAAAUAACGAGUUUUAGCCAUAAAUGGGAUGACUAUAAAUCCCCAAGUAUCAAAGUGAAUAACCAUAAGGGUUCAGAGCUUUUGUUGAAAGAGGGAAAAUAUGGUUUACUAUGGCUCUUUACCAAUUCACAAAUGUCACACUGAAAAUCCAAAAUAUGCAAUUCUGUAAACAAAUUAGGUUUUAAUUUCUUAAGGUAACUAAAGGAAAGAUGCCCUAGUCUCUUAUGCUAGAGCCACACCUUAAACAGCUUCCUAUCACCCAUCAUCACAAAACAUGCCUUAAUGUACUGCCAUAUGCUAGUUGUUGUCAAUUUCAAGUAGUAGACACCACAACCAAGAGUCUUUCGGGUCAAAAUAUCUAGAAAAACACAAUAAAAAGGCAAAAAAGUUAUAGUGCAAUUUAGUACUAAAGUGAUUUGGCUUACAGAUAACAAAUUCCAUUCAAGACUAGGAACAACCAAUACUAUAUCAAAAGUUAUGGCAGUAGUUAGAGCAAUGGAGCCCUUUCUUGUAAUAGGGGAGAUAUCAUCAUUGAUUGUAGAUAUGACUUGUUAGGAUGAUGAGCGAAGAUUUUGUAAUUUACUAGAGUCUCUAAUCAUAUAAUCGGAUGUACUAGUAUCAAUAAUCCAACUAUUAUCCAUAGUAAUAGCAGAAAGAACACUAGCCUUACCAACACUACCUGGCUGAGUUAAAUUAGGAGGAGGCAUUGAAGUCCCCUCCUGAAUUAGAAGGCUUUCACCUGAUUUAGCUAUUGCAGCUUUCCUAGUAAUGUUCUUUCAUGGUUUUUUUUGAAAAAUCCCACCAGGAUAUCUAAUAAGCUCAUAGCAAUGCAACGUUGAAUGGCUAGAUUCACCACAGUGGGUACAAACAUAGUUAUUUGGCUUUCAUUAACCUUGACUAUUUUUUUCUUUGGUAGAACUAGAACCUAUCCCUCGCUGGUUUCGGUUAACUAUCAUGACUGUAUUUUUAGAGACCGGUCGAGAAACUCCAAUAACUUGUCGAUGUUGUGAGUCUCUUCUCCCACAUGCGUAGGCUGCUUCCAGGUCCAGUUUUGGUUCCUUUCCAAGAAUAUCCCCACGGAUUUGAUCAUUUUCAGAAUCAAGACCGCUUAAAAAAAAUGUACUCACAAUCUCAUCAGCACCGCAUGAAGUUGUACAAUCCCUUCAAUAGAUUCUUAUUUGGAUGUGCUGCAAUAUCGAUUUCUGAAAGAUUGCAACAAGUUCAUUAUAAUAUAUGGGUAAAGGCCUACCAUUUUGAGUGGUUGAAAAGGACUUGUAAUUCAUUUCGACCAAUUGUGUUUCAUCAAAUCCAUUGUAGAAUCUCUGCAUCUAGUGGGGGCUCAUUGAUUCGAUGAGCCAGCUCUUUACUUUAUGAUUUUCGAUAAUCCAUGUAUCAUAGUUCGGAUCGUUAGGUGCAAGUUUCACUGUUGUCCCAAUUAGAUACCCAACCUUGUUGCGGGUCCCAAUAUGCAUCUCUAUCAACUGCAGCCAUAACAUAUAGUUACCAUAUACUGACGGGAAACUUGUUGAAUGAUAAUUGGGUUUGACAAAGGAUUGUGUGGAGUGGCUGGAACAAUUGGAUUUCAUUCUUGUUCUGCUAUUGUGAUUUUGUUUGUAGGAGGAAGUCCCUGGAAUACAAAGGUCAAGGGAGAAUGCAGGGAAGAAUAGUUAAAAAAAAAAAAAAAGUUUUUCAAGCCUGAGCUCUGAUAUCAUGUUGAUUACGACAUUCAACCGAAGCUUUUCAUUCUGUAAAUAUUUCUGCGCGCUACAAUGUAUUCAUCUUUUCAGGAAAUAUAUAUAUAAAGGAAGUAAAACGUCCUAGUAUGCCUAAACUCCUAUUCAGGGUAAGACUAUCUGUACAAGGAAACAACUACAAUCUUGGAAUCCAUACGUCUCGACAGCUAAUACACAAUCUUGCCAGCUACCACUAUCAAAAUGGUAGACCCGUGAUAUUUGCUGGAGAGAAACAAUGAGGCCCUUCUUGGCUCUCUCCAAUCUAUGCCCGAAGGUCGAUGUGCAUGUGAUGUGUCUUCCCACAUGAUGAUCCUGACAGAGCAAGGCCUAACACUUUUCCAGUGUCCUAAAUAGUUUGAUUAACGUGUCUUCCCAAUUUUUAUUUUUUUUAAAAAAAAACAAUAAUAAUAAUCAAAAUAUUAACUGAAAAGAGGACACAAAAUGCGUGUUGCUUGAGAUCUGGUGGUUAAAAGCGUGGCAGUCUAUUAUUUAUGAGAAACUGUUUUAAAUCAUAGAAAUUAUAACAACAUUUUCUGGCGUUAUCGUGCGAUAUCGAAAAGAUACGCGCGAAGAGAUCUACAAAGCUCGAGCGGAAGACUUGAUGACUUUGUAGAUUCAUUUAUACAGAUCCGUAUAAAUGAACGGUAUUGUUAAGAGCCGAUGUUAUUGUAAACACAACCUUUCACUAUCAAUAGAGAGGCGGAAGUCAGUCAAUACGGGUGUCUGCAACUAUGGAUUCGAUCAAGACUUUGGCCCCGAGCCGCCGUGUUUCCAAGUCCAAACACAGGAAACAAUAUAAGGUACGAACCAAAUCUAGUUAUAUUUCUAUGUUUUUCUUAUAAAGAUUAUUCUCAAUGCUUGUUUCUUGACUUGUUGUUGCUAUAUAUCAUGUCAUUAUCCCCAGAAAUUAAAAAUUAUUAUUUUUCUUAUACAUGUUAAGAAGAACAGAGAGAGGAGGGAAACUAUAGAACGAUUGAAAACAGAUAUGAUCGAGAUCGGUGAGGGACAACAACGCAUCAGAGAAGGGCAGCGAGAAAUAAGACAAAAGUUUGAAGAGAUAGGAUCUGAAUGCCGCAGCCUCAAAGAGGAGACGAUGAACAUUGCCAAGCAGAGUGAUUACAACCAAGUCAGGAUCAACCUAAUGCUUAGCAUCUUGAAAGCCCGUGAAGACAACAACUUUGCCCAUGCUGAUCACCUCACUGGGCUCCUCCGGUUGGUUAAAUUCCCUUCGCCAUUUCUUUUCUUAAUUCUUGGGAUAUUGGAUUCGAUAAUUAAUCUUGCUAAUGCUAGCUAUUACAAGGAGGGAAACAUAAGCUAACGAACUCAAAAUAAAAGAAUCAAAAUGCACUGUUGAUAAGUAAUCUUCUCUCAAUCAUUGUGUUUCCUAUUCGUUGUGUUGCCAGCGAGGAAAUGGAAAAGCAGGAACAAGGAAAGGCAGGCCUGGUUGGCUGACCAAUGAUCAUGGAAAACAAGGAGCAGUUUGCCUUUGCAGUGACUCCUGAUCGUCUUUUCUUAUUAAAAUGAAAUCAUCAGUCCUAAAUCGAGAUAUGUAUUGACAUUAGUCUUCCCUUGAUAUCCUUCUUCCUUUGAUGAAGUAUUCAUUUGAUUAAGGAUUUGCGUUCUGUGAUCCUAGUUGAAUGUUCUGAGUUAUAGUAUAUAUACUAGGUGAAUUGCCGGGCGAUGCCGCCGGUUGUUAUAUAAACGGUAUAAGCAUUCGGUUGAGUAUAACCUGAGGUAAUCGAAGAAGAAGAAGAUAGGCAGACAUAAUUAAACAAAAUGAAAAAAAAUACCAGAACUAUUGAGGUUAAACAAUGCAACCACAUGCUCUCUGUUAGAGAAACACAAAGUCUUAACUAGCCUGUUUAGCUUUGCAGUAUUCGGUUGUUUUUUUUAUUUGGAUUUUUAAAAUUUAUUUUUUAUAUUAAUAUAUUAAUUUAAAAAUAAAAAAAAAUUAUUACAAAAAUUAUUUUUUUAGAAAACAACAGUGUGGCAUCAAUAACAAACAGUCUCGAAAAGUCUCAAAUAUAAAGCCACGUGUGCAUAAUAAAUUGUAAUUAAUUUGGAAUUUAUUUUCUAAAUAUUACUAAUUUAAAUGUUAUAAAUCUCAAAGUAAUUUAUCUGAUUUUUAAUUUUAUAGUUUUGAAAAAUUAAUCAAAAUAUAAAUAAGUUGGUCUAGACAUUUAUGAUUAUAUAUAAAAAAAAACAAGAAGAAAAGAAAAAAUUAAAGAGCUCCAGACUUUUUGACCGUGCAUUCUCAUUUCACUUUGAAUUCCAGUGAAAUUAUUAUUUUCCUUUGGAAAAAAGAACUUGUUUAACUUUGUCUCAGGUGUAGAGAGGUGUUUUCAAUGGGAUUUAUUAGCUAUCAUUAUUUUUAAUAGGGAGAAGUUAGUUUGUUUGCGUUUUAAAUAAAGUGUAAUGAUUUAAACACUUUUAAAAGUAAAGAAAAAAAACUAGUAGAAAUAGUUUUAUGGUUUUAUAGUAAAAGAAUCAUACUAUCAUUAAAAAAAUAUAUUAUAAAACUUGCAUUUAAAAAUAUUUAGGUCUUUUCAUCUUUUCAACACGGUUAUUUUGUAAUUAUAUAUUUGGAUUAAAAACAAUUAAAUCUUUAAUCAUAUAUAAAAAAAAAAUUAAAUGGUUGAUGUGUGUCUCACAUGCGUUAAUAAGCGGAAAGUGCUUAUGCUCUUCGGGUUAUAUGUGUCUACCCUAUCAAUAGUUAAAAGUUUGUGUCAAUGACAAUGUUUGAAACGGUGGGUCAUCCUCUUUGUAGUGGUGGGAUGCUUGUUCAUGAAUGAAUUGCGGUUGAACUUCUUAUAAACAUUUUUUUUUCUCGCUCUCUCCUAGUUUAGAAAUUGACACCAACUCUUUUAAAAAUCUAUUAUCUAUUGUGUUCUUUAAUUUGUGUUUUUAUUAUUUUUUAUCCUUAUUUUAUUUAUUUUCAAUUGUUUUUACUUUUAAUGCAUUUUAAUCUUUAAUUGUUUUGCAAUUUCAUCCAUAUGAAUUUUAUUUUAUUUAAUUUUUAUAUCAAAUUUGAUUUUUUUUUUGUUUUUAUACUUUUCUAGAUUUAUUUUUCAAUUUUACCUCUCAUUAUUUUAUUUUUGUAUUCAAUUUUAAUCCUUAUUUUUUAUUGCUAUUUUUUGUUAUUUUCUUAAUUUUUUUCAUUUUUAAUUUUAGUCCCUCAUUGUUUGUUUGUUUGUUUCAUUUAGCUUUUAUGCUAGAUUUAGUCAUUGUUGUUUUGAUUGUUAUUUAUUUAGGCUUUUAAUUUUGGAUAAUUAAUGAUUUUGCUUAGUGAUUUUUUAUUGUUUUUUUUAUGAGGUAAUCUCGAUUUUAUGAACCAGGUCAUCAUUUUCGAGGAUUAAUCUGAUUUAACUUUUAUCUUUUCAUUUCUUAAAAAAAAAAAACCAAAAUGAUUAUUUUUUAAUUUCAUCAUUUUAUUUUAGGUUAUCAGGUCUAGAGUGUUUUUUUUUUUUUGCUUUCCUUUAUGUGGUGUUAUUCCGGUGUUAUAUCUUAGGUUAAGUUUUUUUCGAGUUAACCCAGGUUCAUUCAAGUUUUUUUUUUUUUGAAUCUUUUUCAAUUUAGUUUUUCCGAAUUUAAUCUCUUAAUAUUAAGUCAUUGAGUCUUGAAUUUUUGUUUUUCAAUGAAUUUAACAUGUUCUCAAAUCUUGAAUCUCAAAAUUUUCUUUUUUCUAUUUUUUAUAUUUUUUGAAAUUAAUUUUUUUAUCUCAUUAUUUAAAGUUAUGUUAUUAGACAUUCAAUUUUGUAAUAUUUUUUAUUUUUUUAUUGUAAAUUAUCAUGGAUAGUUAGUUAGUCAAAUUAACUUAGGUUAACAAAGUUUUUUUUUAAUAUUUUUUAUUUCACUAUCAUCUCGAGGUCAUUGUUUUUAAAAAAUUAUUUUUUUUAAUCUUGAUCUGGGUCGCAUGGUAGUCCAACUAAUCUGAGUUAAGUUAAAGUUUUUCUCAAUGUUUUUAUAAAUAAUUUGUUUUUUAAUUUUACCAGGCUCACAACAGUGUAGCGUAAAACUAAAAGUUGUAUCAUAAGAAGGUUGAGGACAUUUGUAGGUCGGCUAAUGCUGGCCAUAAAUAGCCAUGUAUGUGAAGCUAUGCAGGUGUGCUAGUGGACACAAAAACACUUAUGCAGAAAAGUGUGCUGAAUGUUCUGGUAGUUCCAAAAAGAAUCACAUAAAUAGUUGUGAAAUUUAAUAUUUUAAAGUUGUUUUAUGGGAAACAUGAUAUUUCAAAAAUAUAUUUGUUAAAUGACUUCACAAUUUACGAUGACGAGAGAAAAAUAAAAUAAAUACUUUAAUUAUACAUCAAAUCUAUCAUCAAAAUAACUCGACGAUGUGAAUCUAAUAAAAUUAAAGAAGUUCACCAAGUAGAUCACACUCAUUGAAGCUCUAAUUAUAAUAUCACUAGUAGCAUUAUAAAGUUCUGGACAAAAUAAAUCAAAUAUAAACAAUAAAGAUAAUCAAUGAUAAUGAUAAUUGAAGUGGGUCAUAUAUAAUAGGCGGAAAACAUGGUGAAAUCUAGGGUUAAGAUUAAAAAAGAUGAUGGAAGGGAAGAUGAAGGUGAAGAUGGAGAACAAUAAUCAGAUUAGCGAGAAGAACAGGUAUCAAAAUUCUGGAUGGAGAAGUUCCAGUUUUCCAGACUGCAACAGUAGAAAUGAUAAGAACACCUGCUAAGAAGGCCAGUAAUCUGUCGUGAAUGAAGAAAUUCAUGGAUGGUAGCAGCGAGAUUUAGCAUGAAGCAUUUAACUUGUUUUCUCUAUUGUAAUUCAUGUCGCUAGAGGUAAUAGAAUUGCACUUGUCUUGCCAGCAUUUAUAGAGAUAUGAAUCUGUUGAAAGGGAAAUUAAAUCGUAGAGUCAACCUUGUUGCGGAUUCCAAAGGGAAACCAUGAUGGUUUAACAGUUAAGCUUUGGUCAUCAAUGCAAUUGGUUCAGGUUGGGGUUUGGAAGAGGUUCGGUGAACUGCGGCGGCCGGAGCCUAAUCUGAUUAGGAGUGGGUACCCUAGGUUGGUUCGGUGGAACAAAUUGAAACUGGAAGUUGAGAAUGUUUCGUUGGUUCUAGACUCGGAUAAAGAGAGUUUUAGCUCUGGAAAACUGGGAUUUCCUCAAGUUUUAUGGAGAAAAAGAAAGGUGGGCCGGCGACUGUUGGUUCUAGUUUGAAAGACGAUUUAAUGGCAUUUGCUCGAGGCGUCAACGCUGUGUGGAGUUGGCUGUUCAGAACAGUAUUUACCUCAUAGGGUUGCAAUGCAAUUCGGAACCGACGAAGAUCUUUCAGGGUUGUGUUGGUCAAUGCUCUAAUUAACAGACCUGAGAUUGCAGAGAGCUUAAAGCUUUUGUUGAGAGCUUGAGCAGAUGAUCACACGAAUAAAAACAGCAAGAUUAAGACAAAAAUUGUUAACCUAGCUAGCCUUCUUCGUGAGAACGAUUUGCUUGAUUUUAUUUUAUUUGAAUUCAUGGCUUCUCUUCUCCUGUUGGCUAUGCUACUAACAUGGCAGGAGGCAUUGCAGCAGGUCCUAGAUGGAUAACUCCCGCCAUUAACAACAGAUGCAGAACAAGGUUAAAAGGAUAAUAGAAAUAAAUAUAUUCAUAAAGUAACCAUGCACUAUGGCAUGAAGUUAUUAUCACAGUGUGCAGACAAAUGCCGUGUGCUGCUGUACCCAACGCAGAGCCUACUAGGCGUUAUCUGUUCUGCCCACCCAAUCCUGACUAGAUAAGCACUUGAGAGUUUUUUUUCUUAUUUUAUGAAGUUGAUUUGAAGUGUUGAUUUGAUAUAAAAAUUUUAAGGAGAGAUAUUUUCCUUCAAAUAUUAAGACCAAUUUGAAAUUUGUAGAUUAACUUACAAAUUUUUAAUAAUUUUUAUUAAAAAUUAUCUUUUAUUUAUUUAUAUAAUAGUUUAAAUAAAAGCAAUAGAAACUAGUAGAAUUCAGCAUUAAUUAAAUUGAUUUAGAUUUAGAUAACUUUAUAAAUAUCAAAUCCAAAUAAAUUAUAACUAAUUUAAAAUCAAUCAAAUAUUAAAAGAAUUUUUUAAUAUUAAAACAAUGAUAUAUUAAAUCAAUCUAAAACUUUACACUUUAAUUUGUAAAACCCGUAACUUGAACCAUGAACUCCACUUGAAAAAUUAAAAAAAAUUAAAUUAUUAUGAUCAUCAAGCACAAACAACAAUAAUAAUUCAGGAUUUUUACUGAAAGUAGAAUCCAUCAUACAUGUUGUUGAUUAUUGAGUUAUAAUCGGUCCGUACAUGAAAAGGAAUGAAUUUAGAGUUAUUAAACUCUGUCGACCGGUGGAUGGACUGAUCUGGGUUUGUUAAAAGACCAACCGGUGCAAUGAUCCGGCAAAACCCAGUCAACCUGUAAGAUUCCACAUCGGGGGGUGAGGGGUGUGUUGCUGGCCUUAUAAGUGGUACUGGUUGCCGACUUGUUAUACGCGUUUUGGGACGUCAGGCUUAGAAUUAGGCUCGCGUCACCAGGAACAAAACCGUGAGGGCGGUAAGGCCUAAAGCGGACAAUAUAUGACAAGUUGGGCCGGGCCGUUACACGACCCGUGACCCAGAUAAAACCCGAAUUUUUUUUUUUAAAAUGUGGUUUUUCUUCUACACUCCCUUUUUUAUUUUUAUUUUAGUUGGUUAUUAACACUUUUUAAAGUUCACUAUAUAAAUACUAGAAAUAUAUAUUUUUUUUUCAAUGUGGGAUUGAAACCCUUUAGAAUAUACUUUAUGUUUCCAAGAAAAAAGUUAUUUUUUUAAUGUAAGAUUUCAAGCCCUUUCAUAUAUAUACUUUAUGAUCAUAAGAAAAAAGUUGUGUUUUUUUAAAGUGAGAUAUAAAACCCUUUAGUACAUAUACUCUAUGUUCCUAAGAAAAAAGUUUUUUCAAUAUGUGAUUUGAAGCCUUUUCGUAUAUAUACUCUAUAUUCACAAGAAAAAUAUUAUGUUUUUUCAAUGCGGGAUAAUAAGUUUUUUGGUUUAAAUAUUUCAACUUAAAAGGAUGACAUAAUAUAUUUUCAAUGUGAGAUUUGAAACUCUUUAAUAUAUAUAUAUAUACACACCUAUGUUUCCAAAAAAAAAAUUAUUUUUUUAAUGUGGGAUUUGAAGUCUUUUCAUAUAUAUAUCAUAUCGUCACAAAAAAAAAUUAUAUGUUUUUUAAUGUAAGCUUUAAAAAUUUUAUUAUACUUUACAAUCUUCCAAAAAAAAAAAAGUUUUGGAUUAAUCCAAUUAACCUGUCUACCUUUGUAGCUGAUUUAAUAACUUUGGGAUGUAAGGAAUAUCUAAAAUAGUCUUAGAACAACUCACAUUUGUUUGCUAUCGAUUUGAAAAGUGAAAGUUGCUCUCUCGUAAUGUCUGCUUUUAAAAUCAAAAGAAUCUAACAUUAAAUGCGGGGUAUUGUUGCCGUUGCAUAUUUUUAUUUUCUGUUUUAUAAAACUAAAAACAGUUUUUUUCAUAAUUUUCAGGUUUUUUCAUUUUGUUUUAAUGACCCCAGUUAACGUGUUUGAGCGUAAUUGUGUUUGAUUUUGAAAAUUUUUUUUACUCAGAAAGUAUGUUAUUUUUAAAAAAAUUAUUUUUAAAAUCAACACAUCAAAAUGAUUUGAAAACAUUAAAAACAUAUUAAUUUAAAAAAAAAAUUAAAUUUUUAAAAAUACUUAUACAGUGCCAAACAUGUUAUCACCACCUUUAUUUUCCCAUAUUUAGAAGUUAUUUAAAAAACAGAAACCAAAGAUACAAAACGGCAACCAUGACCAUGCCAGGGCUAAACAAAAGCUCUACAAGACCAAUCCACGAGAGUUAAACUCCAUUUAAUCAAGAUUUGAAUGUGCUGGGCAAUGAAAGCCCACGAUUAUAUAAAAUAAUAAAAAAAAAAAAAUCAAAGAGUGGAAUGCUUGACUAUAACUGUAAAACCAAGCCUAGUCCAAUAAAUCCAUGUAAAAAUCCGAUAAUUCAGAACCUAGAUUAAUUUGCUCAAUGAUCAUGAUUUAUGACCUAAUCAAUUUAAUUACAUUAAAGCUGAACAUGAUUUAGUCAAGAUUUAUCCUAGUUAAAAGAAAAAAAAAUUCCAUAAAAUCUUAACCUGAGAAUCGAGGUCAUUUUCUUCGAGCAAGCAACGAAUCUCAAACAAAAAAAAAAAAUACACUAGGUGAAAUCAUCAGCCCUCAACCUAGAUAUGUGUUGGAAUUCGUCUUCCCUUAAUAUCCUUCUUCCUUUGAUGAAGUUUUCAUUUGAUUAAGGAUUUGUGUUCUCUGUUCCAAGUUGAAUGUUUUGAGUGACAAUACAUACUAGGUGAAUUGCCAGGUGAUGCCGCCGGUUGUUAUAUAAACACGAUGUAAGCAUUCGGUUGAGUAUAACCGGCGGUACUCGAAGAAGAAGACACGCAGACAAAUUAAACAAAAUGAAAAAAAUAAUACCAGAAGUAUUGAGGUUAAACAAUGCAACCACGUGAUUUAUGUUAGAGAAACGUAAAGUGUUAACUAGCUUGUUUAGAUUUGCAGUAUUCGGUUGUUUUUUUUUAUUUUUAUUUAAUUUAUUUUUAAUAUUAAUUAUUAAUUUUAAAAUAAAAAAAUUAAUUAAAAAAUCAUUUUUUUUACUAAAAAAUAGUGUGGCUUCAAUAACAAACAGUUUGGAAAAGUCUCAAAUACAAAGCCACACGUGCAUAACAAAUCGUAAUUAACUUGAAGGUGUCAAGAUCUGAACUCUGAGCUUUGGGAGGUUAGUAGGAAUGUCGAGGGCAUUUGGAGGCAGAAAUCCCGCCAAAACUGGUGCAAAAUGGGGAUAAAAACACUCGGUUCUUCCAUCUUUCGACAAGCUUGAGGAAUGGUCGGAACCACAUUAGCAAGAUUGAGCAGAAUGGCAGAUUUUUUAGACUCUCCCAAAUGACAUCAAAGAGGGGUGCUGUCAACUUCUUCUCAAGUCUGUUUGCCAAGCCACAAUGAAGAGAAUUGAAAUGGGAGACUCAAGGUUUCUCUAAAUUUCAGAGAAAGUUCAGUUUGGUUAGAAAGACUACCUUCAUUGGAGGAAGUGAAGCAAGCCGUAUGGGAUUGUGAUGGUUCAAAAGCCCCGGUCCUGACGGGUUCACCUUCUCCUUCUAUAAAAAGGAAUGGAAUCUUAUCAGCCCUGACAUCUUUGUGAUGGUCACAGAAUUUUUCAGAACAGGUAAAUUACCAAAGGGGAUCGGCUCGUCCUUCGUGACUUUGAUCCAAAGACCAAGAGGCCGAGCACUUUCUCCCAAUUUCGACCAAUUAGUUUGAUUCAUGGGUUAUAUAAAAUAGUGGCAAAGCUCUUGUCCACUAGGCUCCGAAGCAUUCUACCAGAUGUGAUAAGUGUAAACCAGUCUGCUUUCAUUGCGGGCGUCAGAUUCUAGAUGGGUUCAUGAUAGCAAACGAGGUUGUCCAUAGUAUUCGUAGCAAAAGGACCACGGGUUUUUGCUAAAGGUAGAUUUUCAUAAAGCCUUCGACUCGAUUUUAUGGGAGCAUAUCGAUUCUACCAUGGGUUAUAUGGGUUUUGGAUCUCACUGGAGGAAACUGAUCUUUGAAUGCAUGUCCACUUCUAAAUUGGCCAUCCUGAUUAAUGGCUCACCAAGCAGAGAAUUCAGUAUGGAGAGGGGUCUCAGGCAAGGGGACCCCCUCUCUCCUUUCCUUUUUGACAUAGCAGUUCAGGGGUAACAGUUCUAUUCAACAGGGCAUCAGAUUCAGGUUACUUUAAAGGUUUGCAGACUUCGCAAGGACAUCACAUAACCCAUUUGCAAUAUGCAGAUGACACUCUUAUUUUCCUGCCAAUGAUUAUACCUCUCUACUGCAUGUCAAGAGGAUCCUCCGCUGGUUUGAGAUCAUUUCAGGACUGAAAGUUAAUUUCUAUAAAAGCUCACUUAUAGGAAUUAAUUUGGAUAACGAAUACACUUCAGGUCUGGCUAACACAAUUUUGUCGCAGUGACUCCUUUCCCAGUCAGAUACCUUGGGUUGCCUCUUGGUGCUAACCCAAAUAGGCUCUCCACUUGGAAACCGGUAUUGUCCACAAUCAGAGCAAAGUUAAGCAAAUGGAAAGGGAAGUUUUUGAGCAUGGCCGGAAGGAUAUGUCUUAUUAAAUCUGUCUUAAACUCUCUACCUCUAUACUAUAUGUCGGUCUUUACUAUGCCAAAGGGCAUUGCAAAAGCAAUAUCCUCAAUCACCGUUUUUUCUCUGGAAGGGCUCCUCAAAUUCACAUGGUAUUUGUAAGGUUGCUUGGCAUAAGGUAAUUAAGAGUAAGCCACUUGGAGGUCUCGGGCUUGGUUCUAUUCACAGUAAAAAUCUGGCUCUGAUGUUUAAAUGGCUUUGGAACCUUGACAAAGGAGUGGCAGGAGGUUGGCAAGAACUCAUCUUACGAAAGUACCGGCCACAUUUUACAAAUGGCCUUCCUGUGUUUGCAGGUUCUUUAUCUCCAACUUGGCGUGGCAUGGUAUCUGCAAUUUCCUUAAAUCACAGCAUAGCCGCUCCCAUCCAAUCCAAUGUUGGGUUUAAGGUGGGUGAUGGGAGAAACAUCAGGUUUUGGUCUGAUUCUUGGCUAGGCUAUGCAGCCCCUCUCCAGUUCAUGUUCCCUAGGCUCUACAACCUCUCCCUGCAGCAAUCUUUAAGCGUUGCAGAAGUUCAUAACCCAACAGAUAACUCAAUCAAUCUUUCUUGGAGAAGACCCCUUCGAUCCCGAGAACUCUGCAUGUGUGAAAGCUUGAUAGCAGAAGUGGAACGUGGCCUAGUCUUCUCUGAUGGUGAAGACAACAAGAUUUGGAAACACCAUAGCUCCAACAAUUACACAGUCUCCUCUGGGUGCCAUCUCUUUGACGGUUUAAAUGUUUCAGGACAUCUUCACUCCCCUGCUUUGCUUUGGAAAGGGUUUGCGCCUCCAAAAAUAGAUGUGUUCAUAUGGCUUCUUUUCAAUGGCAGUGUCUGCACAAAGGGUUUCUUAGCUGAGAGGAGAAUCAUCAAUUAUGAGGAAGCUCUUUGUCCUUUCUGCUGCAAGGAGAUUGAGACUAUACAUCAUCUCUUCCAUCUUUGUCCAAAAUCAUGGUCUCUUUGGGGCAGACUAUUUAGUUGGUUUGGGUGUGUAGGUUGUCUGCCAAAAGACCAUAUGAUAACCUUCAGGAAUGGUCCAACAUGGUAAAAAGGAAAAUUUCAGCGUCAGGCAAUUACCCUUCUCUGUAAAGGAUUAUACUGGUCAAUUUGGAUAGCGCGCAACCACAUGAUCUUUGACAACAAAACUCCAGACUGGGAUGUGAUUUUUGACCUCACCUUUCAUCAGUUAGCCUUUUGGUUGAAGUCCUUUGUUAAAAAUUUCAGCUAUAUAAGCUCUGAUCUUUAUAGGAAUCCUGAAUGUAUCAUGAACUGGACUAACUAGUCAGGUCUAUAGAUUCCUUGUUUUCUUAAUGUUUUUUUAAUUCCCCAUGUAAUCUUCCUUAGCAGCCCUCAUCUCUUUAAUGGGGACGUAUUAUUUAUAAUAUUCUCGAUUACUAUAUAUAUAAAAAAAACUUGAAGGUGUCACCCAAUUAAUUAGAUUUUUAGUUUGCUUUCGAGAUAUUAGUAGUUCGAGUUCUGUAAAUCUUAAAAUUACUAGAGGUUUAUUUGGUUGUUACCUUCAGAGCCUGAACCUCUAGAAAUUAGUCGAGUUACACGUAAACUGACUUUUAUUUUUAAUUUAGUCUCUCAUUGUUUUUUUCAUUUAACUUUUAUGCUAGAUUUAGUCAUUGUUGUUUCGAUUGCUAUUUAUUUUAUUUUUAAAUUUUGGAUGAUUAAGGAUUAUGCUUAGUGAUUUUUUAUUAUUUGCCUUUAAUGAUAUAAUCUCGAUCUAAUGAACCGGGUUACUAUUUCGAGGAUUAAUUCGAUUUCACUUUGGUUUUUUAUUUAUUUUUUUAAACAAAAUAAUUACUUUUUAAUUUCAUCAUUUGAUUUUAGGUUAUUAGGUCUAAAUUUUUUUUUUCUCCUUUAUGUGGUGUUAUUCUGGUGUUAUAUCUUAGGUUGAGUGUUUUUCGAGAUAACUCAGGUUUUUUUUAAUUUAGUUUAUUUAGUUUAUUUUAUUUAAUUUUUUAAUAUUAAAUUAUUGAACCUUAAAAUUUAUAUUUUGUUUUGUAUUUUUUUUAUAAGUUUAACAUGAUCUUAAUGUCGUUGUUUAUUUUUUAAAUUAAUUUUUUUAAUCUGGAACUCCCAUCAUGGGUCGCAUGGUAGUCCAACUAAUCUGAGUUAAGUUAAAGUUUUUUCAAAUUUUUUUUUUUUACCAGUCGCACUGUGUAGCGUAAAACUAAAAGUUGUAUCAGAAGAAAUGUGUAGGACAUGUGUAGGUCGGCUAAUGCUGGCCAUAAAUAGCCAUGUCUGUGAAGCUAUGCAGGUGUGCUAGUGGAGACAGAAACACUUAUGCAGAAAAGUGUGACGUAUGUUCCGGUAGUUCCAAAAAGAAUCAGAUAAAUAGUUGAGAAAUUUAAUAUUUUAAAGUUGUUUUAUGGGAAACAUGAUAUUUCAAAAAUAUAUUUGUUAAAUGACUUCACAAUUUACGAUGACGAGAGAAAAAUAAAAUAAAUACUUUAAUUAUACAACAAAUCUAUCAUAAAAAAAACUCGACCAUGUGAAUCAAAUAAAAUUAAAGAAGUUCACCAAGUAGAUCACACUCAUUGAAGCUCUAAUUAUAAUAUCACUAGCAGCAUUAUAAAGUUCUGGACAAAAUAAAUCAAAUAUAAACAAUAAAGAUAAUCAAUGAUAAUGAUAAUUGAAAUGGGUCAUAUAUAAUAGGCGGAAAACAUGGUGAAAUCUAGGGUUAAGAUUAAAAAAGAUGAUGGAAGGGAAGAUGAAGGUGAAGAUGAAGAACAAUAAUCAGAUUAGCGAGAAGAACAGGUAUCAAAAUUCUGGAUGGAGAAGUUCCAGUUUUCCAGACUGCAACAGUAGAAAUGAUAAGAACACCUGCUAAGAAGGCCAGUAAUCUGUCGUGAAUGAAGAAAUUCAUGGAUGGUAGCAGCGAGAUUUAGCAUGAAGCAUUUAACUUGUUUUCUCUAUUGUAAUUCAUGUCGCUAGAGGUAAUAGAAUUGCACUUGUCUUGCCAGCAUUUAUAGAGAUAUGAAUCUGUUGAAAGGGAAAUUAAAUCGUAGAGUCAACCUUGUUGCGGAUUCCAAAGGGAAACCAUGAUGGUUUAACAGUUAAGCUUUGGUCAUCAAUGCAAUUGGUUCAGGUUGGGGUUUGGAAGAGGUUCGGUGAACUGCGGCGGCCGGAGCCUAAUCUGAUUAGGAGUGGGUACCCUAGGUUGGUUCGGUGGAACAAAUUGAAACUGGAAGUUGAGAAUGUUUCGUUGGUUCUAGACUCGGAUAAAGAGAGUUUUAGCUCUGGAAAACUGGGAUUUCCUCAAGUUUUAUGGAGAAAAAGAAAGGUGGGCCGGCGACUGUUGGUUCUAGUUUGAAAGACGAUUUAAUGGCAUUUGCUCGAGGCGUCAACGCUGUGUGGAGUUGGCUGUUCAGAACAGUAUUUACCUCAUAGGGUUGCAAUGCAAUUCGGAACCGACGAAGAUCUUUCAGGGUUGUGUUGGUCAAUGCUCUAAUUAACAGACCUACGAUUGCAUAGAGCUUAAAGCUUUUCUUGAGCAGAUGGUCACACGAAUAAAAACAGCAAGAUUAAGACAAAAAUUGUUCACCUAGCUAGCCUUCUUCGUGAGAACGAUUUGCUUGAUUUUAUUUUAUUUGAAUUCAUGGCUUCUCUUCUCCUGUUGGCAUUGCAGCAGGUUCCUAUAUGGAUAACUCCCGCCAUUGACAACAGAUGCAGAACAAGGUUAAAAGGAUAAAAGAAAUAAAUAUAUUCAUAUAGUAACCAUGCACUAUGGCAUGAAGUUAUUAGCAUUUAUCACAGUGUGCAGACAAAUGCCGUGUGCUGCUGGACCCAAUGCAGAGUCUACUAGGCGUUAUCUGUUCUGCCCAUCCAAUCCUUACCAGAUAAGCACUUGAGAGUUUUUUUUUUUAUUCUAUCCCGUUGAUUUGAAGUGUUGUUUUGAUAUAAAUUUUUUAAGGAAGAGAUAUUUUUCUUUAAUAUUAAUACCAAUUUGAUAUUUGUAUUUUUGUUUAAUAAUUUUAUUUUUUAAAAAUAUCUUUUAUUUGUUUAUAUAAUAAUUUAAAUAAAAGCAAUAGAAACUAGUAGAAUUCAGCAUUAAUUAAAUAUUGUGAUGAUGUUUGAUUCAUGUUGUGAUAACUUUAUAAAUAUUAAAUUAAAACAAAUUAUGAUGACUAAUUUAAAAUUAAUUAAUUAUUAAAAGAGUUUUUUAAUAUUAAAACGAUGAUAUAUUAAAUCAAUCUAAAUUUUACGGUUUAAUUUAUAAAACCCAUAACUUGAAUCAUGAACUCUACUUGAAAAAUUAAAAAAAACAUUAAGGUUGUUAUGAUGAUAAAGCACAAACAACAAUUAUAAUUCAAGAUUUUGACUAAAAGUGGAAUCCAUUAUACAUGAGUAUUGAUUAUUGAGCUAUAACCAGUCCGUAUAUGAAAAGGAAUGAAUUUAGCAAAGUUAUUAAACUCGGUCGACCUAGUGGCUGGACUGGUCUGGGUUUGUUAAAAGACAAAUCAGUGCAAUGACCCGGCAAAACCUGGUCAACCCAUGACCUGGAUGAGACUCGACAUUUUUUUUUUUCAAAUGUGGUUUUUCUUUUAUAACUUUUUUUUUCAUAUUUUUUUAGUUGGUUAUUAACACUUUUUAUAGUUCACUAUAUAAAUACUAGAAAAAUAUUUUAUUUUUUCAAUGUGGAAUUUGAAACCCUUUAGUAUAUACUCUAUGUUCCCAAGAAAAAAAAUUAUUUUUUUAAUGUGGGAUUUCAAGCCCUUUCAUAUAUAUAUAUUUUAUGUUCAUAAGAAAAAAAUUAUGUUUUUUCAAAGUGAGAUUUGAAACCAUUUAGCAUAUACACUCUAUAUUUCUAAGAAAAAAGUUGUUUUUUCAAUAUGUAAUUUGAAGUUCUUUCGUAUAUAUACUCCAUGUUCACAAGAAAAAUGUUAUGUCUUUUCAAUAUGGGAUAACAAACGUUUUGGUUUAAAUACUUCAACUUAAAAGGAUGACAUAAUAUCUUUUCAAUGUGAGAUUUGAAGCCCUUUAAUAUAUAUACCUAUGUUCCUAAGAAAAAAAAUUAUUUUUUCAAUGUAGGAUUUGAAGUCCUUUUGUAUAUAUGCUCUAUUUUCACAAGAAAAAAGUUAUGUAUUUUUCAAUGUAAGAUUUGAAACUUUUUAUUAUACUUUAUCUUUACAAAAAAAUAAAUUUAAAUUAAUCCAAUUAACCUGUCUACCUUUAGAGCUGAUUUAAUAAUUUUGGGAUGGAAGGAAUAUUUAAAAUAGUCUUAGAACAAGUCACAUUUGUUUGCUAUCGAUUUGAAAAGAGAAAGUUGCUCUCUCGUAAUGUCUAGUUUUAAAAUCAAAAGAAUCCAACAGAAAACGGCAACCAUGACCAUGCCAAAAGGGCUUAAACAAAAGCUCUACAGGAUCAAUCCACGAAAGUUAAACUCCAUUGAAUCAAGAUUUGAAUGUGCUGGGCAAUGAAAGCCCACAAUUAUAUAAAAUAAAAAAAUAAAAUUCAAAAAGAGUACUGGAAUGCUUGACUAUAACUGUAAAACCAAGCCAAGUCCAAUAAAUCUAUGUAAAAAUGUGAUAAUUCAGAACCUAGAUUAAUUGCUAGCUCAGUUGAUGAUCACGAUUUAUGACCUAACCAAUUUAAUUACAUUAAUGCUUACCAUGAUUUAGUCAAGAUUUAUCCUAGUCAAAAGAAAAAAGAAAUUCCAUAAAAUCUUAACCUGAUAAUCGGGGUCAUUUUCUUCGAGCAAGCAACGAAUCUCCAUAAAAUUUUAAACAUAAUUAGUGUAUAGAUUAAUUGGAAUCUUACCAAACAUAUAUAUAUAGAUCCUUCUAGCAUUUUGUCUUUAUUUGUAGUCUCCCUGCAUUUUGUAGUAGCAUGUCAUAUAUAUAUAUAUAUAUAUAUAUAAUUUGUACCAGAUGAAACAAAACAAUUCUCAAUACGUGGUGUUAUUAUACUUGAGAAUGAUUUAAAAGAUUGGGUCACAGGUUUCCAGCCUAUAUACUGAUUUUAUUAAAAGAACGAAGAAAUAAAUGCAAGUAAAUGUAAACAGAUUUCUGAUGCGAAUGAACAAGGCAAGACCAAUAAUGUCAGGAUCCUUGAUCAAACACAGAGCAUACUUAAUAAAGUAUAACAAGAAUUUAAAUGAUGAAAAUAAAAUGUUACUUAAAUUUGUAAUGUAAAUCAAUACAAGAGAUAUUGAUUAUAGAGGAGAGUGGAUAUGGGUUACAGGUAUGAGUUACAAGGGAGAAUAAAAUUUUCUCAGGGAAAAUGAUAGUCUGCCUUCUGAGGAUUUAAAAGUCCCCUUUUAUAGACGAGUUGACAUGGAAGAGGCCAAAAUGUGUUGUUGGGAAAGCUUGGAGAUUCCGUCAGAACCCAUGUGAACCCAUGUGGUAUUGCCUACCAUGAUUGGGUGAAGACAAAAUAAAAAAUGCCCAUGUUUUUUGUGGGACUUUCAUCUGUUGUCUUCUUGUCAUCGACACUGGAUUUGUUUGUUUGUAGUAGCAUGUGAUAUUUGUAAGAAAAAGCCUAAACCAAAUGGGCUUAAAGUUAAAAAGGACUCAAAACAGUUGAGUCGAAAAGAUAUGGGCUCUAAAGAGAUGAGCCUGAGAAAGCCUGAAAUACUCCUUUUUUUUAAUGUCGCUUGAUAGGUGGUAGGAUACCAAAACAGUCAUCUUCAUUAUCAUCUCCAAGGAAAAUGGUAGGAGAUAUCGAUCCAGAUGAGCUGGAUUGAGACAAGACCGUUUUCGGGUCUUGGCUUUGUAUAAUGCUUUGGACUAUUUGUGUGUAUUCUUCUUCAGUUCUAGUAGAGGCAAGAAGAGCUGUUGUUUGAGCCUUUCGGGCUAGAAACUUUGAUUGAGGAUGAUGAUCAAUGAUGGGAGCUGUUUGAUGUUUUUGUAACCAUUCCGUAACAGCUAAUUUGGAACUUUUGGAUUCAGUUGCAAAAGAAUCCCACCAUUUGAUUUUGAACUUGCGAACAAGUACUGGAUGUUCGUUUUGUAGAUUAUAAUCAUAAAACCAUGAACAUACCCAUGGCACAAAAAAAUUUGUAUAGAAAAUGAGAAGGGAAGAGAACUUCCUUUCAUAAGGAGCUAGUUAAAAUUUAUUUUUGAAAUGGAGGUAACCGUUUUCAACUAGAGGAUGGUCUUUGAGGUAGUCAACAUGACAACCAUAGUAGUCCCACCAUUGGAGGAACCAGAGUGGGAGGUUUGUAGUAUUCAUGUCAUUAUGGAAGUAGAAAAGCCAAGAAUGACUAUGGUUUGGAUUUUGUGGUAGGAAGGCAUUGAACCAUGCAUGUUGGUAAUCCCAGUACGUAUAGGAAAUAUUGAAGUCCUGGGGUUUGUACGGAAAUGUAUGGGGAAUGAGAGAGGUUGAUGUAAGGGUUGUCCCCAAUCUUUAGGGUGAAUGACUUUGUGAAUGAUACAUGUAGAAUAUGCCGGUUCUGUGUGAUCAGAAUGAAGUUUGAAGUAUUUGAACUUGACAGAAUUGGUAAUUUCAAGUAUUGUAGCAUAAUAGGAUUAUGGUUUGUCUAAAUUCCAGGGUUUGUAGUACCAAUGUGAAGGGAAAAUUUUGGAAGCAGUAAUGGAAGGGUUUUCAUGAUAAAAUCCUUCUUCCAUAGUUAAAAUAUUUUGGAAAGUAGUUUUGAAAAUAUAUUUGGAUUUGGUUUUGGGAAACUGGUUUGUUGUAAAGAAAGGAGGGGUUUUGAAGCAAAAAGGCCUCCUUGAGGUUUUGAAAAUGAUUUGGAAAUGCUACCUGUUUGAGAUAUAGAGUCAGUGGAGGCCUGUUGAGACACUUUUUGUAAUGCCAAGAGUAAUUUUGGUGAUUUGGAUAUAGUGUCAACCCAAUAUUGAACUGCGUCUGUUUGUACAUGUGGUGGUUUUAUAGUUUCUUCUUCUUCAAUAACUAUCUCAUACCAGGAUUUGAUGGGUUUGACAGCUAAGAUAAUUGAAGACAUGAGUUUUGUAGAAGGCUUGGGGCUCUCUGAUUUUAUAAGUUGGGUUUGAGGGGCUUUCCCCUUGUCUUUGGCCUUUGCUUUAGGAGGCAUCAAUACCUGUUUUGAAGGAAUUCUCGGGUUAGGAAAUCAGAAUGGAAUUUGAAUCUCCUUUAAUGUAGACAAUAUCGAAAUAAAAAAUACUUAAAAUAGCUUGCCAUCUAGCAAAAAUCUGUUUUGAAGCAAGAUUUUGGACAUCUUUUUGUAGAACUUUUUUUGCAAAUUUGCAGUCAACACGUGAAAGAAAUUUUUGAUUUAAUAAAUCACUUUGAAAUUUUGUAAUACAAAGAACAAUUGAAAGGAUCUUAUUUUUUAUAGUAGAGUAAUUUUUAUGGCAAUCAUUCCAGUUGGCGGAUGUGUAUUGGGGGAUUUGUUCUUUGUCAUCUUGUACUUGUUUAAGAAUCCCACCAUAUCUUAGGUUAGAGGCAUUGGUCUCGACAAUUUCAGGAGCUAACGGGUUAGCUAAAUGGAGGAGAGGAAUAGUUUGGACCUUUUUCUUAAUCUGUUUGACUAGGUCGGUAUGGAGAUCGAACUAAGGAAUGAGGUUUGUUCGUAACCUGUCAUGUAAAGGUUUGGCUAGACCGCUAAUACUUGGAUAGUAGUUUAGAACAUAAUUAAGACUGGUUAAAAACCUUUGCAAUUGGGUUUUAUCGGUGAUCUUAUCAGGAAAUUUAUUUAUAAGGGUUAGAGACCUUUCUAUUGGUGUUACAGUACCUUGGAAAAUAUAAUGGCCUAGGAAAUGGACACGAGUUUGGAAGAGAGAAAAUUUUGUUUUAGAAACAACUAACCAUUUUGUUUUGCAGUAUGAAAGGAAGUAUGUAGAUGUUUGAAAUGUUGAUCUAUAAAAUGUAAAAAAAUAAGCACAUUGUCAAUGUAAACAAUGCAGAACUUUGAAUGUGCAUUGAAGAUGUUAUUCAUGAUGUGUUGAAAUUCAGAUGAUGUAUUUUUUUAGGCCAAAUGGCAUGACAUUCCAUUUGUAUUGGCCAAAAGGAACUGUAAAAGCAGUUUUGUAUCUAUCUUUGGGAUCAAUCUGGAUUUGCCAAAAUCCAGAUUUCAUAUCGAACUUAGAAAAUAUGAAUGCAGAGUGCAAUUUUUGUAACAAAUCUUUUUUGUUGGGGAUUAGAUAUCUGAUCCAUUUGAGAGCAGAAUUUAAAAGUUUGUAAUUGAUCACAAGUCUUGGUGUGCCUUUUUCGAUUUCAGAGUUUUUAUUCACAUAAAAGGCUGCACACAACCAGGGUGAUCGAGACUUUUGGAUAAGACCUUUUGACUCGCGAUCGUGGAUUUCAAGUCUGCAAUGUUGUUCUAAAUUAACAUUCAUUUGGAUAGGUCUUGCUUUUGUAGGUAUAAGUUUUUUUGAAAAAAUAUCUUCAUAUGGAAGAUCAAAGAUGUGUUGUUUUCUUUUUCAAAAAGCAUUAGGUAAGUCUGAACAGAUUUGUUGUUCAAUCUUAUUUUGUAAAUCAAGGAUUUUCUUUUUUAAAUCAGAGUUUUGUAAUUCUUUGUUUAUACGACAAAAAGAAACACGGUUUUGCAAAUCAUGGAAAUGGAAUUGUUUUCCAUGAAUCUGUGCAUUGAUAUGAUAAGUAUGUAUGGAGCAUGCUCUAAUCAAAUUUAAAUUUCUAGUCUUAGAUUUCUCUAAGAAUGGGAAAACAAGUUUGAUGCUAUUGAUUUUGGAAGUAAUACAAUUAUGAUGUGCCUGAUAUGGAGUGAUCUUGUGAAUGAAUAGAGUGCCAAGAAUGAUGGUAUGAUUAAUAAGUUUUUGUAACAACAAAGAAUGUUUUAAGAGAAAUGCCUUUGUUGAAAACAUAGGCUUGAGUUUUGCCUGUAAUAUGUAAUUUUAAAUUAUUAGCAGCAGAGAGUUGUUCAAAGGUAUUUUGUAAAAAUCAUUUUGGAGCCACGCCUUCUUUGAUGCAUUUCAAAUAUGCACCUGUGUCAAAUAAGGUAAUAGUGUCAAGUUUGAAAUCUUAUAAGAAAAUGAGAGUAAUUCUAAUUAAAUAUUUUUUGGAAGAUAUUUGUGUUAAUACGUUAAGGAAAUCAUCUAGAAUAUGCUCAAUAUUUGUAAGUGCAUGUGGCAAUGCAUGAGAUUCGAUGGUUUAAUCUUCUGUAUCAGACUUAGUAUCAGACUAGCUUUCAAUUCUGGACAGGAGAUGUUGUAAUAUGGCAGUCUUUUUGUUGGGCUUGUUUGAGGGUUUGUAAUUCGGAUUUGAGGGUUUUGAUCUCAGAAUGUAAUUCUGGAAUGGUGACAGUGGUUUUGGAUUUCUUUUUGUUAAGGAUCUUUGUAAGGUCAUAUGUACUAGUGCUGGUAGAGGGUAAUAUAGAGCGGUUUGGAGGGUUUGAUGGAAAGUGCUCUGGUUGGUUGAAAUCUUUCAAUAACUUAUCUAAGUAGGUUUUUUGAAGUUGAGGAUCAUCAAGUCUUUUGAUAACCUCAAGAAUGAAUUUCUGGUCUUGGGUUAAGAUGUUAAUUUGUUUGAAAUUUAUAGAGGCAUCUGAAGUAGCCCUGGUAGUUGCUAUUUUAUCGAUUUGAAAUUCUUCUUCAGAAGUGUCUGAAGGAGAGUGGUAUUUGGUCAGUGGCUUCAAUGUAAAGAUUUUGUAUUUGGUUGAUAAUAUCUUCAUCUAUUUGGAACUCAUGAAGUUUGGUAUUAACUUUGCAGAAACAAGAUGUAUGUCCUUUCUGGUUACAUUUGUAACAAAUAAUGUUUUUAAGGUCAAAUUUUGAUUUGGGUUUUGACUGGAAAGGUCUACAGGGUUUGGUAAAUUUAUAGGACUUUUUAUAGUAAGGUUGAUCUGGUUUGGAAUAAAACUAUUUUCAUCGGUCGACAAGCUCCUCUCUUUAUCCACUCAGUCUUGAAAAGUAUCUAAGCUAAAUUCAGUUAUAUUUUCAUGUUCCAAUUAAAUAUUUUAUUAUUAUUAUUAUUAUUCCCAAAGGAAAAUGUUUUUCUUUUUAUCAAGCAUGUGUAUCCAAUCAUGAUUUUAUAAGAAAAAUAAGAAUAAGAGAUCUUUUAGAUAGAGCUGGACAUAAAUGUUGGCUAGGUAAAUGUUUUGUUUGAAUCCUGUAGACCAUUCCUAUGAGGAUGGUGAGAGGAGGGCUCCAAUUCGUAGAAAAAAAACGAUUCCUUGAGGUUAUCCUGCACAUGGAGAAAAAAAGUAGAAAAUAGAAUUUGAAACAGAAAGUUGAGAAUGUUUCCGUUGGUUCUAGACUCGGGAAAAGAGAGUUUUAGCUCUGGAGAACUGGGAUUUCCUCAAGUUUUAUGGAGAAAUCCCAGUUUUUGGUCAAUGCUCUCAUUAACAGACCUGAGAUUGCAUAGAGCUUAAAGCUUUUCUUGAGCAGAUGAUCACACGAAUAAAAACAGCAAGAUUAGGACUAAAAUUGUUAACCUAGCCUUCUUCGUGAGAAUGAUUUGGAUGAUUUUGUUUGCUUUGCUAGUUAUGUUAGCAACUCAAGCUUGGCUUUGACAAAUGAAGCAGAUGAAAGUGUUUGGGCUUUAAGCUUUUCAUGACCACCCCGCCGGAGAUUGAAUUCAUGGCUUCUCUUCUUCUGUUGGCUCUGCUACUAACAUGGUAGUAGAGCUUUCGACUGUCAGGCAUGGCGUCAGUACCGCAAAGAGAGGCUGCCCCCCCCUUGAAGUUGAAUAUGACUCAUCGGAAGCUCUUCGAUGCCAGUCUUCACAUCAAAAUUGCUAGUUUAACUCAUCAAAAUUGUUAUUUGUAUCUCUAACAGUUUAAUAUUUUUAUUUAUUUUUAUUUAAUUAGAUAAUAAUAAAAAUGAAAAUUUAUAAAAUUAAAUAUUUGAUUGAAAGUGUAAUAACUUUAUAAAAUAAUAAAUUAUAAUAACAAAAAAAAAUUGCUAUGAUGAAGAGUCACCAUAAUAUUUUUCAAUUCUAAAGAGAGCAGUAUAUAAUUCUUGAAGGGACAGUAUGAAAACGACAAUAAUAAUUAAAGAUUUUUGUGAAAAUUAAAUUUAUUAUAUAUGCUGUUGGUUCUGUUUUAUUUAUAAAAAAAAUAUAUUUAAAUAUUUAAAGGAGUUAUUUGAAAAAAAAAUAUAGGCCCACGAGGGGUGGGCUGGUUUAAAUUUCUGGCGUUAUCGUACGAUUACACGCGAAAAUCUACCAAGCUCGGGCGGACGGAAGAUUUGAUGUUGAUUACAGAUCCGACCCUGUAUAAAUUAACUUCUAUCGUGAAGAGCCCUAGUCAUUGUAAACACAACUUUCAAUUUCAAUAGAAAGGAGGAAGUCAGUCAAUACGGGUGUCUGCAGCUAUGGAUUCGAUCAAGCCUUUAGCCCCGAGCCGCCGCGUUUCCAAGUCCAAACACAGGAAACAAUGGGUACGAAUCAAAUCUAGUUAUAUUUCUAUGUUUUUCUUAAAAAAAAGAUUAUUCUUAAUGCUUGUUUCUUGACUGGUUGUUGCUGUAUAUCAUGUCAUUAUCCCCAGAAAUUAAAAAUAAUAGUUGUUCUUAUACAUGUUUAGAAGAACAGAGAGAGGAGGGAAACAAUGGAACGAUUGAAAACAGAUAUGAUCGAGAUCGGUGAGGGACAACAACGCAUCAGAGAAGGGCAACGAGAAAUAAGACAAAAGUUUGAAGAGAUAGGAUCUGAAUGCCGCAGGCUCAAAGAGGAGACGAUGAACAUUGCCAAGCAGAGUGAUUACAACCAAAUCAAGAUAAACCUAAUGUUUAGCAUCUUGAAAGCCCGUGAGGACAACAACUUUGCCCAUGCUGAUCACCUUACUGGGCUCCUCCGGUUGGUUAAAUUCUCUUCGCCAUUUCUUUUCUUAAUUCUUGGGAUUCCGGAUUUCAUAAUUAAUCUUGCUAAUGCUAGCUAUUACUAGCAGGGAAACAUAAGUUAACGAACUCAAAAUAAAAGAAUCAAAAUGCACUGUUGAUAAUUAUUUUUCUCUCCAUUGUUCGUUGUGUUGCCAGCGAGGAAAUGGAAAAGAAGGAACAAGGAAAGGCAGGCCCAGUUGGCUGACUAAUGAUCAUGGAGAACAACGAGCAGUUUGCCUUUGCAGUCACUCCUGAUCGUCUUUUCUUAUUAAAAUGAAACCAUCAAAUUUAUUCAAGUUUUUUUAAUUUGAAUUUUUUUAAUUUAAUUCUUUAUGAGAUUUGUGUUUUUUUUUUUUUUUCAUUCCUUUCUGUGAGUUUAACAAGAUCUUAAAUCUUGGGUCAUUAAUGUUAUGUGAGAAAUGCCUAGAACAUGUGUAGGUCGGCUAAUGCUGCCUACAAAUAGCAAUGUUUCUGAAUCUACGCAGGUGUGCUAGUGGAGACAAAAACACCUAUUCUGAAAAGAGUGCAGUAUGUUCUGGUAGUUUUAAAAAGAAUCAGAUAAAUAGUUGAGAAAUUUAAUAUUUUAAAGUUGUUUUUAUGGGAAACAUGAUAUUUCAAAAAUAUAUUUUUUAAAUGACUUCACAAUUUACACGUGAGAGAAAAAUAGAAGAAAGAGAAAAUAAAGAUUUUAAAUAUAAACCAAAACUUUCGUUACUCGAUAUCAUAAUUUUUUUUUUUACAAUCUAAUAAUAUUAAAAAAAGUUAUAAUUACAUCAAGUAAGCAAUUAUAAUUAAAGAUAGAAAAAAAAAUUUCUAAAAUUUUCAAAAGUGAUAAGUGACUUACUUGUUUUUGAAUAAAAAAUGUAAUCCAUUUCAAUUACUAUUGAUAUUGAUGAUAUUUUUUUAUGUUAAUAAAUUCAUUUAAUCAAAACCUUUUUUAGGACCUGAGAAUAUUAUAAUCAAAGAUUCAGUAUGUCUCUGACGUUUUUGUUCUCUUUUUCUCUUUUUCCUCAUUGUUAUUUGUGCAACACAUUUAAUUUGUUUUUUGAAAUGUUAUAUUUUUUCUAGAACAAUAAAUGUCAAUUGUGAUAUAUAUAUAUAAACUUUGUUAUUUCAUCAAUUAUCUUUCAAGUCAUGUUAUUUUAUUAUUUUUUUACUAUGACAUGCAUUAAAUGUGCUAUUUCAUUAAGAGUUCUUUUUUUUUUCUUUUCAAAAUGUGUUAUUUUACUAUUUGUUUUUUUUAUUAAAAAAAACUAUGUUAAUUAGUGAGUGUUUGUUUUCUACCAUCUAUAUUUUAAAUUGCUUUUCAUACAAAAAAAACAUUCAAUUAAUGCUUUUCAACUAGAAUUAAUAAAUGCUUUUCAAUGAGAACUAUAACAUGUAUCAAAUGUGCUAUUUCAUUAAUAGUUUAAUUUUUUCAAAAUCUGUUAUUUUGCUAUAUAUUUUUUAAAAAAAUUACGUUAAUUAGCUAGUGAGUGUUUGUUUUUGCAUUUCAAUUUAUUUUUUAAAUUGCUUUUCAUAAAAAAAAAGCAUUAAAUUAAUACUUUUAAAUGUUUUUGGAUAGUUUUAUAUAUUGAUAUAAAUAAUAAAUAAAUAAAAUUAUUUUAAAAUAUUUUCAAUUAAAAAACACUGCACAACAUAAUACCAAAUACACAAUUAAUUUAUAUCAUAAUUAAUGUUCGCAUCCGCCCAAUUCUCUUUGUGGACAAAUAAAAUCUAUUCUAUUAAUGCAUGUAAAGUUAAUGAAUAUACAGUUACAAAAUGGUUUUCUCAGAAUUAUAAAAACAUGCCCCACGGUUCAAUUAUAAAGCAUGUCGACUUUUCUGGCGCUGCUCUUCGACAAUCAACGUUUUUGAAGGAAAACUUGGUGAAAUCUAGGGUUAAGAUUAAAAAAGAUGGACGGGAAGAUUAAGAUGAAGAUGAUGAUGAAGUACAACAAUCAGAUUAGCGAGAAGAACAAGCAUGAAAGUUCUGGAUGGAGAAAUUAAUAUCGUAAUUUAAUAAGAAGUUCCAGUUUUCCAGACUGCAACAGUAGAAAUGACAAGAACACCUGCUAAGAAGGCCAGUAAUCUGUCGUGAAUUGAGGAAAUUCAUGGAUAGUGGCAGCGAGAUUUAGCAUGAAGCGUUUAGCUUGUUUUCUCUAUUGUAAUUCAUGUCGCUAGAGGUAAUAGAAUUGCACUUGUCUUGCCAGCAUUUAUAGAGAUAUGACUUUGUUGAAAGGGAAAAUCGCUGAGUCAACAUUGUUGGGGACUCCAAAGGGAAUACAUGAUGGUUUAACAGUUAAUCUUUGGUCAUCAAUGCAAUUAGUUCAGGUUUGGGUUUGGAAGAUGUUCGAUGAACAGCAGCGGCCCGAGCCUAAUCUGAUGAAGAGUGGGUACCCUAGGUUGGCUCGGUGGAACAAUGAAACAGAAAGUUGAGAAUGUUUCGUUGGGUUUAGACUCGGAUAAAGAGAGUUUUAGCUCUGGAAAACUGGGAUUUCCUCAAGUUUUAUGGAAAAAAACAAAUGUGGGCGACUGUUGGUUCUAGUUUGAAUGACGAAUUAAUGGCAUUUGUUCGAUGCGUCUGGGUUUCAAUGUUCUGUGGAGUUGGCUGUUCAGAACAGUAUUUACCGCAUAGGGUUGCAAUGCAAUUCGGAACCGACGAAGAUCUUUCAGGGUUGUGUUGGUCAGUGCUCUAAUUAACAGACCUGAGAUUGCAGAGAGCUUAAAGCUUUUGUUGAAGAGCUUGAGCAGAUGAUCACACGAAUAAAAGCAGCAAGAUUAAGACUAAAAUUGUUAACCUAGCUAGCCUUCUUCGUGAGAAUGAUUUGCUUGAUUUUAUGUUAUUUGAAUUCAUGGGUUCUCUGCUGCUGUUGGCUAUGCUACUAACAUGGCAGUAAGCAUUGCAGCAGGUUCCUAAUUAAUGGAUAACUCCCACCAUUUACAACAGAUGCAGAACAAGGUUAAAAGGAUAAUAGAAAUAAAUAUAUUCAUAAAGUAACCCAGUGUGCAGACAAAUGCCGUGUGCUGCUGGACCCAACGCAGAGCCUACUAGGUGUUAUCUGUUCUGCCCACCCAAUCCUGACUAGAUAAGCACUUGAGAGUUUUUUUUCUUAUUUUAUGAAGUUGAUUUGAAGUGUUGAUUUGAUAUAAAAAAAUUUAAGGAAGAGAUAUUUUCCUUUAAUAUUAAGACCAAUUUGAUAUUUGUAGUUUAUCCUACUAAACAUAGGAUUUGUAUUUUUAUUUAAUAAUUUUAUUUUUAAAAAUUAUUUUUUAUUUGUUUAUAUAAUAGUUUAAAUAAAAGCAAUGAAAACUAGCAGAAUUCAGCAUUUAUUAAAUUGAUUCAGAUAACUUUAUAAAUAUCAAAUCCAAGCAUGAUAACUAAUUUAAAAUCAAUUAAAUAUUAAAAGAGUUUUUUUAAUAUUAAAACAAUGAUAUAUUAAAUCAUCCUAAACUUUACGGUUUAAUUUGUAAAACUCAUAAUUUAAACCAUGAACUCCACUUGAAAAAUUAAAGUUGUUACAAUCAUCAAGGACAAACAACAAUAAUAAUUCAGGAUUUUUACUGAAAGUAGAAUCCAUCAUACAUGUUGUUGAUUAUUGAGUUAUAAUCGGUCCGUACAUGAAAAUGAAUGAAUUUAGUACAGUUAUUAAACUCAGUCGACCCGGUGGAUAGAUUGGUCUGGGUUUGUUAAAAGACUAGUCGGUGCAAUAAUCCAGCAAAACCCAGUCGAUCCAUGACCUGGAUAAAACCCGAUAUUUUUUUUUUCAAAUAUAAUUUUUCUUCUAUACUCCUUUUUGUUUAUUUAUUUUUAGUUGGUUAUUAACACUUUUUAAAGUUCACUAUAUAAAUACUAGAAAAAUAUUUUAUUUUUUCAAUGUAGGAUUGAAACCUUUUAUAAUAUACUCUAUGUUCCUAAUAAAAAAGUUAUAUUUUUAAUGUAAGAUUUCAAGCCUUUUCAUAUAUAUACUUUAUGUUCAUUAGAAAAAAAAAGUAAUGUUUUUUCAAAGUGAGAUUUAAAAUCCUUUAGUAUAUAUACUUUAUGUUCCCAAGAAAAAAGUUGUUUUUUCAAUAUGUGAUUUGAAGUCAUUUCGUAUGUAUACUUUAUAUUCACAAGAAAAAUAUUAUGUAUUUUCAAUGCUAGUAACAAGUUUUUUGGUUUAAAUACUUCAACUUAAAAGGAUGACAUAAUAUAUUUUCAAUAUGAGAUUUGAAACUCUUUAAUAUACAUACCUAUAUUUCCAAGAAAAAAAAUAUUUUUUUAAUUUUGAAGUUUUUUCAUAUAUAUAUUCUAUCUUCACAACAAAAAAAUUAUGUGUUUUUUAAUGUGAGAUUUGAAAAUUUUAUUAUACUCUAUGAUCUUCCCAGAAAAAAAAUGUUUUGGAUUAAUCUAAUUAACCUGUCUACCUUCGGAGCUGAUUUAAUAACUUUGGGAUGGAAGGAAUAUCUAAAAUAGUCUUAGAGCAACUCACAUUUGUUUGCUAUCGAUUUGAAAGGAGAAAGUUGCUCUCUUGUAAUGUCUGCUUUUAAAAUCAAAAGAAUCUAACAUUAAAUGUGGGGUAUUGUUGCCGUUUCAUAUUUUUAUUUUCUGUUUUCUAAAAAUAAAAACAUUUUUUUUUUCAUAAUUUUCAGUUUUUUUCAUUUUGUUUUAAUGACUCAAGUUAGAGUAUUUGAGUUUUCAAAAUGUAUUUUAUUCAGAAAAAUAUGUAAAUAAUAUAUUUUUUUAUUUUUUAAAAAAUAUUUUUAACAUCAACCCAUCAAAAUAAUUUGAAAACAUUAAAAAUAUAUUAAUUUAAAAUUAAAAAAAAAUAAUUCUUUUUAAAAAACUUUUAAAACACACUGACAAACAUGUUAUCACCACCUUUAUUUUCCCAUAUUUAGAAGUUAUUUUCAAAAACAGAAACCCAAGAUACAAAACGGCAACCAUGACCAUGCCAGGGCUUAAACAAAAGCUCUACAAGACCAAUCCACGAGAGUUAAACUCCAUUUAAUCAAGAUUUGAAUGUGCUGGGCAAUGAAAGCCCACGAUUAUAUAUAUAUAUAUAAAAAAAAAAAAUCAAAGAGAGUGGAAUGCUUGACUAUAACUGGAAAACCAAGCCUAGUCCAAUAAAUCCAUGUAAAAAUCCGAUAAUUCAGAACCUAGAUUAAUUGCUAGCUCAGUUGAUGAUCAUGAUUUAUGACCUAAUCAAUUUAAUUACAUUAAUGCUGACCAUGAUUUAGUCAAGAUUUAUCCUAGUUAAAAGAAAAAAGAAAUUCCAUAAAAUCUUAACCUGAUAAUCGAGGUCAUUUUCUUCGAGCAAGCAACGAAUCUCAAACAAAGAAAAAAAAAAACACUAGGUGAAAUCAUCAGUCCUCAACCUAGAUAUGUGGUGGCAUUCGUCUUCCCUUAAUAUCCUUCUUCCUUUGAUGAAGUUUUCAUUUGAUUAAGGAUUUACGUUCUCUGUUCCGAGUUGAAUGUUUUGAGUGACAGUACAUACUAGGUGAAUUGCCCGGCGAUGCCACCGGUUGUUAUAUAAACACGAUGUAAGCAUUCGGUUGAGUAUAACCGGCGGUAAUCGAAGAAGAAGACAGGUAGACAGAAUUAAACAAAAUGAAACAAAAAAAUACCAGAAGUAUUGAGGUUAAACAAUGCAACCACAUGCUUUAUGUUAGAGAAACGUAAAGUCUUAACUAGCUUGUUUAGAUUUGCAGUAUUCGGUUGUUUUUUUAUUUUAAAUUUAUUUUUAAUAUUAACAUAUUAAUUUUAAAAUAAAAAAAUUAAUUAAAAAAUCAUUUUUUUACCAAAAAAUAGUGUGGCUUUAAUAACAAACAGUCUGGAAAAAUCUCAAAUACAAAGCCAUAUGUGCAUAUAAUAAAUAGUAAUUAAUUUGAGGGUAUUAUUAAAUUAAUCAGGUUCUUAGUUUGCUUUCAAAAGGUUAUUAGUUCAAGUUCUGUAAAUUUUAAAAUUAUUAGAGGUUUAUUUGGUCGUUACUUUUAGGACCUGGAUUUCUAGGAAUUAGUUUUAAAAUUUUUAGGAAUUAGUCAAGUUACACAAAAACUACUCGAAUAUUCAUAAUUAUUAAAAUAAUAAUAAUAUAAUAAUAAUAAUAAUAAUAAUAAUAAAUAAAUAAAGAAAAAAAGAGCUCCAGACUUUUUGACCGUGCAUUCUCAUUUCACUUUGAAUUCUAGUGAAAUUGUUAUUUUCUUUUGGAAAACCAAAAAUUGUUUAACUUUGUCUCAGGUGUAGAAAGGUGUUUUCAAUGGGAUAGGGACAAGUUAGUAACAGAUCAAUUCAGAUCAUUAUGAAUAUUCGAGUGUUAGUUUUUGCAAUAUGUAUUUUAAAUUGCUUUUCAUAAAAAAAUAAUAUUAAAUUAAUAUUUUUAAAUGUUUUUGGAUGGUUUUAUAUAUUGAUAUAAAUAAUAAAUAAAAAAUUAUUAAAUUUUUUUUAAUUAAAAAACACUAUACAACAAAACACCAUAUACACAAUUAAUUUAUAUCAUAAUUAAUAUUCGCAUCCGCCCAAUUCUAUGUGGACAGAUAAAAUCUAUUUUAUUAAUGCAUGUAAAGGUAAUCAAUACAGUUACAAAAUGGUUUUCUCAGUAUUCUCAAAACGAGUCCCAUGGUUCAAUUGUAAAGCAUAUCUACUUUUCUGGCGCUGCUCUUCGACAAUCAACGUUUUUCAAGGAAAAAUGGUGAAAUCUAGGGUUAAGAUUAAAAAUGAAGAUGGAAGGGAAGAUAAGGAUGAAGAUGAAGAUGAAGCACAACAAUCAGAUUAGCGAGAAGAACAAGCAUGAAAGUUCUGGACGGAGAAAUUAAUAUCGUAUUGUAAUGAGAAGUUCCAGUUUUCCAGACUGCAACAGUAGAAACGACAAGGACACCUGCUACGAAGGCCAGUAAUCUGUCGUGAAUGACGAAAUUCAUGGAUAUUGGCAGCGAGAUUUGGCAUGAAGCGUUUAGCUUGUUUUCUCUUAUUGUAAUUCAUGUCGCUAGAGGUAAUAGAAUUGCACUUGCACCUGCUGUUCUUGCCAGCAUUUAUAGAGAUAUGACUUUGUUGAAAGGGAAAAUCGCAGAGUCAACCUUGUUGCGGAUUCCAAAGGGAAAACAUGAUGGUUUAACAGUUGAGCUUUGGUCAUCAAUGCAAUUAGUUCAGGUUGGGGUUUGGAAGAGGUUCGGUGAACUGCGGUGGCCGGAGCCUAAUCUUAUGAGGAGUGGCUACCCUAGGUUGGCUCGGUGGAACAUUGAAACAGAAAGUUGAGAAUGUUUCGUUGGGUCUAGACUCGGAUAAAGAGAGUUUUAGCUCUGGAGAACUGGGAUUUCCUCAAGUUUUAUGGAGAAAUCCCAGUUUUUGGUCAAUGCUCUAAUUAACAGACCUGAGAUUGCAUAGAGCUUAAAGCUUUUCUUGAGCAGAUGAUCACACGAAUAAAAACAGCAAGAUUAGGACUAAAAUUGGUAACCUAGCCUUCUUCGUGAGAAUGAUUUGGUUGAUUUUCUUUGCUUUGCUAGCUAUGUUAAUUAGCAACUCAAGCUUGGCUUUGACAAAUGAAGCAGAUGAAAGUGUUUGGGCUUUAAGCUUUUCAUGACCAACCACUUUUGGCCGGAGAUUGAAUUCAUGGCUUCUCUUCUUCUGUUGGCUCUGCUACUAACAUGGUAGUAGAGCUUUCGACUGUCAGGCAUGGCGUCACUACCGCCAAAGAGAGGCUGCCCCCCCUUGAAGUUGAAUAUGACUCAUCGGAAGCUCUUCGAUGCCAGUCCUCACAUCUUAAUGUACAGUCAAAUGAGGUGUGCUGGACCCAACGCACAGUCUACUAGGCUUUAUCUGUUCUGCCCACCAAUUCUGACAAGACAAGCAUUUGAGAUUUUAAUCGAUUUUAUCCUGUUGAUUUGAAGUGUGUGAUUUGAUAUAAAAAAAUAUGAAGCAGAAAUAUUUUUGUUUAAUAUUAAGGACUUGAUUUGAAAUUUCUAGUUUAACUCGCCAAUAUCUCUAACAGUUUAAUGAUUUUAUUUUUUAUUUAAUUAGAUAAUAAUAAAAGUAAAAAUUUAUAAAAUUAAAUAUUUAAUUGAAAGGGUGAUAACUUUAUAAAAUAAUAAAUUAUAAUAAUAAAAAAAUAAGAUUGCUAUGAUGAAGAGUCGCCAUAAUAUUUUUCAAAUCUAAAGAGAGCAAUAUAUAAUUCUUGAAGGGCUAAUAUGAAAACAACGAUAAUAAUUAAUGAUUUUUAUGAAAAUUAAAUUUAUUAUAUAUGCUAUUGGUUAUUGGAAAAGACCUAUUGUACCUAUAAAAAAUAUAUUUAAAUAUUUAAAUAUUUAAAGGAGUUAUUUGAAAAAAAUAUAUAGGCCCACGAGGGGUGGGCUGGUUUAAAUUUCUGGCGUUAUCGUGCGAUUACACGCGAAAAUCUACCUAGCUCGAGCGGACAAAAGACGUGAUAUUGAUUAUUGAUUACAGAUCUGAAUCCUCUGUAUAAAUUAACUGCUAUUGUGAAGAGCCCUAGUCAUUAUAAACACAACUUUCACUUUCAAUAGAAAGGAAGUCAGUCAAUACGGGUGUUUGCAGCUAUGGAUUCGAUCAAGCCUUUAGCCCCGAGCCGCCGCGUUUCCAAGUCCAAACACAGGAAACAAUGGGUACGAAUCAAAUCUAGUUAUAUUUCUAUGUUUUUCUUAAAAAAAGAUUAUUCUUAAUGCUUGUUUCUUGACUGGUUGUUGCUAUAUAUCAUGUCAUUAUCCCCAGAAAUUAAAAAUAAUAGCUGUUCUUAUAUAUAUAUAUAUUAAGAAGAACAGAGAGAGGAGGGAAACGAUGGAACGAUUGAAAACAGAUAUGGUAGAGAUCGGCGAGGGACAAAAACGCAUAAGAGAAGGGCAACGAGAAAUAAGACAAAAGUUUGAAGAGAUAGAAUCUGAAUGCCGCAGCCUCAAAGAGGAGACGAUGAACAUAGCCAAGCAGAGUGAUUACAACCAAAUCAGGAUAAACCUAAUGUUUAGCAUCUUGAAAGCCCGUGAGGACAACAACUUUGCCCAUGCUGAUCACCUUACUGGGCUCCUCCGGUUGGUUAAAUUCCCUUCGCCAUUUCUUUUCUUAAUUCUUGGGAUUUCGGAUUUCAUAAUUAAUCUUGCUAAUAUUGCUAGCUAUUACAAGGAGGGAAACAUAAGUUAACGAACUCAAAAUAAAAGAAUCAAAAUGCACUGUUGAUAAUUAUUUUUCUCUCCAUCAUUGUUCGUUGUGUUGCCAGCGAGGAAAUGGAAAAGAAGGAACAAGGAAAGGCAGGCCCGGUUGGCUGACUAAUGAUCAUGGAGAACAACGAGCAGUUUGCCUUAGCAGUGACUCCUGAUCGUCUUUUCUUAUUAAAAUGAAACCAUCAGUCCUAAAUCUAGAUGUGUUGACAUUAGUCUGCCCUUAAUAUCCUUCUUCCUUCGAUGAAGUUUUCAUUUGAUAAAGGAUUUGUGUUCUCUGUUCCGAAUUGAAUGUUUUGAGUUGCAUUACAUUCUAGGUGAAUUGCCCGGGCGAUGCCGCCGAAUAAAAACAGAAAGAUUAAGACUAAAAUUGUUAACCUAGCUAGCCUUCUUCGUUAUAAUGAUUUGCUUGAUUUUAUGUUAUUUGAAUUCACGGGUUCUCUUCUGCUGUUGGCUAUGCUACUAACAUGGCAGUAAGCAUUGCAGCAGGUUCCUAAUUAAUGGAUAACUCCCACCAUUUACAACAGAUGCAGAACAAGGUUAAAAGGAUAAAAGAAAUAAAUAUAUUCAUAUUGUAACCAUGCACUCUGGCAUGAAGUUAUUGUCACAGCGUGCAGACAAAUGCUGUGUGCUGCUUCACCCAACGCAGAGUCUACUAGGCAUUAUCAGUUCUGCUCACUCUAGGGUGUUCAAAAUAACCGAUUAACUAAGAAAACCGACAAAAUCAAAGAGAAAACCGACAAAAUCAAAGAAAAAUUAACUAAAAAAACCAAAUCUAAAUUAAAAACCGAUUAAACAGAUUUAAAAAACCAUAAAUAUUAACAGGUCCGGUCCGGCUUCUGUUUUGACCCAAAAAUCAGGCCAAACCGAACCGGACCCAUUAAACAAUUAAAAAAAAAAGACAGUAUAAAUAGUUAAAUUAACCUAAUCCCUCCCUAACAUCUCAGUUCUCAGUUCUCAGUUCUCUUACAAAGUCGUCUCCUUCCUUCCCACUUCCAAUAGAAACCCAAUCUUUCUCAAUAAUUAAUUCACAAUCUUCCUUUCCUAGAAACCUUAUUUAUUUAAGCAACAACAACAAGGUAAAUUCCAUCUUCUUUGAUUCUUUGUUUCAUGGGUUUGAAAGUAUAUUCUAAGUCUAUUCCAUCUUCAUCUUCAUCUUCAUAUUUUCCAGAAACCGUCUCCAUCUUCAUCUUUCCCAGAAACCAUCUCCAUCUUUCAGGCAUCUUCAUUUUAGCAACGACAACAAGGUAAAUUUCAUCUUCAUCUUUGAUUCUUUGUUUAGUGGGUUUGAAAGUUUAUUUUAAGUCUAUUCCAUCUUCAUCUUCAUCUUUCCCAGAUACCGUCUCCAUCUUUCAGGCUUCAUCGUUUAAUUCCAUCUGUUGACUGUUGAAAGGUAAAUUUAUGUUACAUACUUCUUUAGAUUUCACAUAAUCUGUUGAGUGUUGAUUGCUGCUUUACUGCUACCCUUGUGAUUUUAAGCUUAAAUUCAUAUCUUGUUUUGUUUUGUUGAUGUUUUGUUUAGUUAACAGAAGCAAUACAUGCUUUCCAUUUUGUUGACUGUUGCAUUUCCUCUUCCAGAUGUAAAUAUACGUUUCAAUUUCAUGCUAAAUUAUUAGUCUUUUGUUUACUGUUGAUAAAAGCUCCAUAUUUUCCUUUGUUGAACAUUCUACUACUAUACCAUUCUGUAUUGCUUGCAUUCUGUGGGGAUUUGGAUGUUAUUUUAGAUUGUGCAUAUUAGAUUCAGUGACUAAUGAGUCAAUUGCUUGCUUAAUUCCAAUCUUGGUAAUGUUGUCAUUGGCUUGUUACGUGUCUUUUCUCUAUGUAUUGUUGCUUGUAACAUUUUCUAGAAAUAUACAUGACAAGCACUGGCACCAUAUAUUGUUAUAUUUAUCAGUGAAUUCUAUACAUGUCCCAAGAAAAAACUGCAAGAGGUUUGUAGAUGUUAUUCUUCAUUUGUGAUAGUUUGUAAACAUGCUAUACCUAAGUAGCAUAACAUUUUUUGAAUUACUCCGGAGAAACAACUGAAUCCAUUUAUGAUUUUUUGCUUAACAUAUAAAUGAUUGUUACUCAAACUUAACAUGAGUGGGUUUAUUCCAAGUAUCUUUUGUUUACUGCAAUGUAUUGCAAAAUAUAUCAUAGGCUUUUUUUCUUGCUUUUGUAUUAACUAGCAGAAUAGUAGGCAAGGCAAUCUUAGGCUAUUUCUGCAUGUAUUGCAUCUGCAUGUUUGCAAAUGUAUCAUAGGCUUUUUUCUUACUUUUGCAUUAACUGGCAGAAUAGUAGGCAAGGCAAUCUUAGGUUAUUUUUGUCUGUAUUGCAAAAUGUAUCAUAGGCUAUUUGCAAAAUGUAUCUACAUAGCUAAAAAUAAUUGUUUGAUUGAUGUUGUUGUUGGUUUCUUAAUUUCAAAUGGAUAAUCGAGAAGAUCCUACACCAAUUGAAUCAAAUCCUUCAAGUUCGGAACCCAAUUCUUUGCCUAUUCCAAUUCCAGUUCCAGUUGCUACUUCUAGUGCAAAUAGCAACACUAAAAGUGAAGGUAAUCCAGCCUCUAGAUCUAAUAAAAUAAAAAACAUCUUAAAUUUAGGAUCACUUUAAAACACUAGAUGGUAAUGUUAAGUCUCCUAGGACUACAUGUAUGUAUUGUGGAAAAGACUAUGCAUGUCAUACUAUACUUAAUGGGACUAGUAACAUGUGGAGUCAUCUAGGUGUAUGCAAAAAAUUUCUUUUUGUGAUUGACCAAAAACAAAAAACUUUAGUCUUAAAACCUAAGCCUAUAAUAAAGGGGGCUAAUAAUGGAGAGGAAAAUCUGGUGACUGUUAAGGCAGUGGGUUAUAGUUAUGAAGAGUGUAGGCAAGCCGUAGGAAAAAUGAUUAUACUUGAUGAGCUACCUUUUAACUUUGUUGAAAACCAAGGAUUUAAAUAAUUUUGUCAAGUAAUGCAACCUAGAUUUGAUGUUCCUUCUUGUUUGAUGAUUUGGAGAGAUUGUUUGAAAAUUUAUGUAGUUGAGAAGGAAAAAUUAAAGAAAGCUCUUAAGGAUCAACGUGUAUGUUUAACAACCGAUGCUUGGAUAUCAAUCCAAAAUAUUAAUUAUAUGUGUUUGACUGCCCAUUGGAUUGAUGAAGGUUGGAACUUGAAUAAAAGAAUUAUAAACUUUUGUCAAGUUUCUAAUCAUAAAGGUGAAACGAUUAGCUAAGCAAUUGAGAGUUGUUUGUUGGAAUGGGGAAUUGAUAACAUUUUAACAGUUACAGUAGACAAUGCAAGUUCAAAUAAUUUGACAAUAAAAUAUUUGAAGAGAGUAACAAGUAAUUGGGCAACUAAUAUAUUUUCAAAUGACUUCGUGCAUGUUAAAUGUUGUGCACAUAUUGUUAAUCUUAUUAUUUGUGUGGGAUUGAAAGAUAUCGAUGAUUCAGUUGUUAAGAUUAGGAAUGCAGUGAGGUUUGUUGGAUCUUCUCCUUCUAGACAACUAGUUUUUAACCAAUGUGCAGAGAAGUUGAAAAUUAGGAGUAAAAAAUCUAUUUGCUUGGAUGUUGCAACUAGAUGGAACUCUAUAUAUAUGAUGCUAGAUGCGACUAAUAAAUUUGAUGUUGUUUUUAUGAGGUUAGAAGAAACAGAUCCUAAGUAUUUGAGUUACUUUGAGAUUGAUUCAAAAGGAAAACAAAAAAACUUAGGUCCUCCUGCUUUAGAAGAUUGGGAAAAGGCUAGAUCUUUUGUCAAGUUCUUGAACUAUUUUACACGGUUACAUUGAAAUUUCAUGGCUCGUUGUAUGUAACAUCUAAUUCUUUCUUCCAUGAAUUGCUUUCCAUGCACACAAGCAUAUCUCAACUUUAUAGAAGUAAAGAUGUUUAUGUAAGUAAAAUGGCCAAGAAUAUGAUGGCAAAGUAUAAAAAAUAUUGGGGGGAUCAAGAUACACAAAACUUUUUGUUGUAUGUGGUUGUUGUGUUAGAUCCAUGUUUUAAAUUGAAGUAUGUGAGAUUUUGUUUUGGAAGAUUGUAUGAUGUUGAAGAGGCUGCUAAUUUUAUAAUUAAGGUUAAAGAUGCUUUACUAAGGUUGUUUGAGCAUUAUAUGAAUGUUGAUGAGAAUGUUGAGGUGGUUCAUAGUGUUGGAACUUGUAUAAAUAAAAAUGUUAAUGUUGAUUUAAUGGUGGUAAAUGAUGAUAUGUUGGAUGACUUGGCUUCUAAAUUCAAAAAACAUUUAAAGGAAGAAAGGGGUGUCCAAAGAAAAUGAGGUUGAGAGGUAUUUGAGUGAUGAUUGUGAGGAUCCUAAUGAUUUUAAAUUAGAUAUUUUGGGUUGGUGGAGGUGUAAUGCUACAAAAUAAAAGAUUCUUUCUAAGGUAGCACAACAUGUGUUAGCUAUUCCGAUAUCUGCAGUUGUUUCUGAAGCAGCUUUCAGUACUUGUGGUCAUAUUUUAGAUCCAUUUCGAAGCUUUUUAUCUCCUUCAACAGUGCGAGCAUUGGUUUGUUGUCAGAAUUGGUUGAGAUUAGCAUCAAUUCCAAUCAACAUCAGAAACUUCAUGGAUUAUAUUGAAAAUUCUGAGAUGAUUGAGUCAGGUAAUUUCUUUUACAAAUUUAAAUGUAGUUAUUUUAUAAUAUCAUUUAUUUACAUAUGUUUAAUCUAACAUUUUAAUUUAUGUUUUUGUAGAAUUUGGUGAAAGUUUAAAAAUCUCAGCUGAUUGUUUGUAAGUUGUAUUGAUGAUGUUGGUGCAAUCUUGGAAUAUAAUUGUUUUGGGUAAUUAAUUUACUUUGCCUUAUUAAUUCCUUUUAAAAUUUUGCAUUGCUAAUUUUUUUAAUUGUCGAACUGUAAUAUGUUGCUAAUUUGCUAGUGUUUUUUUAUAGCAAUAUCCUUGCUGAAUCUUUUGGCUUUUGCUGUUGCUGGAAGUUUUGGAAGCUGUUGUAGUGAUGGUGUCGGAUUUUUUUCUUCAACUUAUGCCGAAUGUUUAUGAUAAUUUAUUACUGGUUGGUAUUUGCUAAUGUAAACUUUCUUAGUGUGAACACCUCUUUUAAUUUGAGGUACCCAAAUUUGAUCAUGCAUCUUGCAUAUUGCAUUGAUUUGAAUUUUCAUAGCUUAUUUCUUUGCAUAUUAAAGAUAGUAAAGAUAGAACAUUUCAAAUUUAUUGUUAUUAUAAGCAAUUAAGCAUUUCAAAAAAAUUUCAAUAUUUUAAUUUCAUUAAAAAACGAAUAACAAAAUUAAUCAAAUUAUAACAUUUUAAAGAGUUUUAAUUAAAAAGCCUAUAAAUUUAGCCCAACAAGAAAAUUUAACAGCCCAAUUUAAUUUAAGCCCAUUAAAAAAAGGUAAAAAAACCCAUUAAUUUAAUGAUUAGGUUUCUCGGUUUUUUAGCUACAAAAACGGAUUCAACCGAACCAAACCGGUACAGUUUGAACCGGAAUCCGGUUCGGUUUGGUUUGAAUUUAAAAAAAUAUGAGCUUCUUGGUUAGGUUGGUUUUUAUGGUUGAAACCGAACCAAACCGAACCGUGAAUAAGCCUUGCCCACCCAAUCCUGACUAGAUAAGCACGUGGGAGUUUUUUUUUUUCCAGUUGAUUUGAAGUGUUGUUUUGAUAUAAAAAAAAUUUUAAGGAAGAGAUUUUUCCUUUAAUAUUAAGACCAAUUUGAUAUUUGUAGUUUAACUCAUUAAAUAUAUGAUUUUUGUUUAAUAAUUUUAUUUUUAGAAAACAUCUUUUAUUUGUUUAUAUAAUAGUUUAAAUAGAAACAAUAAAAACUAGAAGAAUUCAACAUUAAUUAAAUAUUGUGAUGUUUGAUUUCGAUUAUUAUAACUUUAUAAAUAUCGAAUUAAAAUAAAUUAGGAUGAUUAAUUUAAAAUCAAUUAAAUAUUAAAAGAGUUUUUAAUAAUAAAAUAAUAAUAUAUUAAAUCAACUUGAACUUUACGGUUUAAUUUGUAAAACCUAUAACUUGAAUCAUAAACUCCACUUGAAAAAAUAAAAAUAAAAAAUAACAUUGUUACGAUGAUUAAGAACAAACAACAAUAAUAAUUCAAGAUUUUACUGAAAGUAGAAUCUAUUAUACAUGUUGAUUAUUGAGUUAUAACCCGUCCUUAUAUGCAAAGGAAUGAAAUUAUGUUUUACAUUAUUGGAUAAAAAACGUUUUGGUUUAAAUAUUUUAACUUAAAAUGAUAGUAUAAUAUUUAUUCAAUAUAGGAUUUGAAGCUCUUUAAUAUAUAUACUCUAUGUUUACAAGAAAUAAAUUAUUUUUUUAAUGUAAGAUAAUUUUUUUUAAUUUAAAUAUUUUAACUUAAAAGAAUAAUAUAAUAUUUUUAAAUGUAGGACAAUUAUUUUUUAAAAUAUUCUAUUAAACUUUAUUAUUUGCAAUAUAUAUAGCCUAUAUUCCUAUAUAUAUUUUUUUUUUCUUAAGUUUUUCUUAUAAAAUAUUAAGAAUUUUAAUUUUUUUUACUCAAAUUAACCCAUAAAACUUAAAACUCAAUCUCUUAACCGAGCCAACUAACCGGUCGGAUUUGAUAAUCAUAUAAUUUAGUCCAAAGUAGCUACUAAAAAUAGUAACUGCUUUCUUUACCUUUAUAUCUAUAUAUAUAUAGGCCCAUGAGUAAUGAACUGGUCCAAAUUUCUGGCGUUACCGUGCGAUUACACGCGAGAAAUCUACCAAGCUCGAGCGGGCGGAAAACUUUUGAUACCAUCGUAGAUUGAUUACAGAUCUGAAUCCUCUGUAUAAAUUAACUGAUAUUGUGAAGAACCCUUGUCAUUGCAAACACAACUUUUCAAAAUUAUAAAAGCGUAUCUACUUUUCUGGCGCUGCUCUUCGACAACCAGCUUUUUUCAAGGAAACCAUGGUGAAAUCUAGGGUUAAGAUUAAAAAAAGAAGAUGCAAGGGAAGAUGAAGUACAGCAAUCAGAUUAGCGAGAAGAGCAAGCAUCAAAUUUCUGGAUGGAGAAUUAUCGUAUUGUAAUGAGAAGUUCCAGUUUUCCAGACUGCAGCUGUAGAAAUGACAAGGACACCUGCUAAGAAGACCAGUAAUCUGUCGUGAAUGAGGAAAUUCAUGGAUAGUGGCAGCGAGAUUUAGCAUGAAGCGUUUCAAGGUAUAUUCUCCCAUAUACUCAGGGGCGGAGCUAGAAUUAUUUGUUAGGGGCCAUAAUUAAUAUAAUAAAAUAUAAUAUUUAUUUUACUUUAUUGUACAUGAGUUAUAAAAAACUUGUAUAAUUUAGUGUUAUUCAAAUAACUUACUAUAAACAUAUAAUGAUCUUUGUAUGAGGUAAAAGGUUUGAAGAAAUAUCAAAUUGAGUCAAAGUAACGAAGUUAAUUUCAUUUUCAUAAUAUAUUCAUCACUUUAAUGUUGGUCUUUAUAUCUAUCAAAUAUAAACAUACAAAGUAUAUAAGAAACAUUAGCUAAAAUGAAGCAUUAUUUAUGUUUGAUAAACUUUGAAAUAAAGCAAAAAAUAAUAAAGAACUAUUCUCAAUAAUCAACGCGGGUUCUUUGUAAACUGAGGUGCAUUGGAGUUACUCAAUCAUAACUUUAACAUUACACAUUGGAGUUGGUUCACUAGGCUGUGAGUUAUCAAUAUUUUUUUUGAAAAAAAAAUCAAAUUCUUCUUAUUUUGUUCAUGGUUCAACCUAAAAUCAAAACAUAUAUCGUGAGAAAAAAUUGAUAAUUUUGGUGAUUCUACUAAAAACAAAACAUAAAAAAAUCAAAGUAUAAUCAAAACAAACCAAUGAAAUAUAUCUAAUUAAUUAAAAAAAACACUAUAACAAGAAUUCAAAAAACAAUUGGUAAAAUUAGCAGAUCUAAGAAAAAAAUAAAGCAAAAAUGGUAGAAUUAUAUAAAAAAAACCUCAUCAAAUUAUUAACAACACAUCUCAAAACAAAAUAAAAAUAGAUUUUAAAUUUAAGCUACCUUGUUUUGUUUAAUAAAAAAUAAAUUAAUUGAUGGCUCUACUUCAAUUUUUUCGUUGAAAAAUUUUACUUAUGAUUUAUAUUUUUAUUUUUAUUUUUGACCGGCUGCAAAAUUUAUUAUGCAAAGUAAUGAAUUUAUAUUUACAGGAUUUAUAUUAGGGUACAUAAAUUAAUUUUAAAAAAAAUCAAAUUGAAAAAUCACACUUAAUUACAGUAAAAAAACUUACUUUUGUAGAAUAAAAAAUCUCUUCCACACUUAAUUACCUAAUAUAUAUAUAUUCUCCUAAUCAGCCAGGUUGUAAUUGAUUUUGUAAUAAUAUGAAAUAUCGUUGUAGGAGUAAUCACAACCUCAGCAAAUGCGUGAUGCACUCACUACCUAUAAUUUAUUUAUUUUAUUUAUUUAUCGUCAAACAAUGAGUUUUUUUACCAAACAGAGUAGUAUUGACUAUCUUAAUACACACGCGCACACAGAGAAUUAAAUCUCUAAUAAAUAAGAGUUCGUGCUCUCUUUAGGGUUGAAUGGCCUUAUUAUUUUAACAAGAAUACCUCUCCGUAUAAUUCCCACAAGCUUAUAUAUAUUAUACAGGGGCUGAAUAUUUUAGGGGGGGCCCGGGCCCCUGCUUGCCCCCCCCCCUCCUUCCGCCCCUGCAUAUACUUAUGAUUCCAUCAGGAAGCUUGUUUUCUCUAUUGUAAUUCAUGUCGCUAGAGGCAAUAGAAUUGCACCUGCACCUGCACCUGCUGUUCUUGCCAGCAUUUACAGAGAUAUAUAUGACGUUGUUGGAAGGGAAAUCGCAGAGUCAACCUUGUUGGGGAUUCCAAUUGGAAAACAUGAUGGUUUAACAGUUAAGCUUUGGUCAUCAACGCAAUCAGUUCAGGCUGGGCUUUGGAAGAGGUUCAAUGAACUGCAGCCGAAGCCUAAUCUGAUGAAGAGUGGGUGCCCUAGGUUGGCUCAGUACUGGGACAAAUUGAAACAGAAAGUUGAGAGUGUUUCGUUGGUUUUAGACUCGGCAAAAGAGAGUUUUAUUUGGUGUCCGUAUGCUAUAGCUCUGGAAAGCUGGGAUUUCUUCAAGUUCCAUGGAGAAAAACAAAUGUGGCUUUAGACUGCUGGUUCUAGUUUGAAUGAAGAUUUAAUGGCAUUUGCUCGACGCGUCAGGGUUUCAAUGCUGCGUGCAGUUGACUUCUGUUCAGAACAUUAUUUACCGCAUACCUGAGACUGCAUGGGCUGGUUACAGAUCUGACUCAUGGCUUCUCUUCUUCUGUUGGCUCUGCUACUACCAUGGUAGUAGAGCUUUCGACUGUCAGGCAUGGCGUCACUAUCGCCAAAGAGAGGCUGCCCCCCCUUGAAGUUGAAUAUGACUCCUCGGAAGCUCUUCGAUGCCAGUCUUCACAUCUUAAUGUAUUCGCUUCUAAAUUGUUUGGGGUCUUUUCAGAAUGGAUCUUGAGAAUGUUCCUCCUCCUGUUCUUCGGUAUCUUUUGCAGCAGGUUCCUUCAUGGAUCAUAACUCCCACCAUUCACAACAGAUGGAGAAGAAGGUUAAAAGGAGAAAAGAAAUAAGUAUGCCAACCAUUGCAGCAGCAUGGCAUGAAGAGGUGUGCUAGGCGUUAUCUGUUCUGCCCACCAAUUCUGACAAGCCAAGCAGUCGAGAUUUUAUUCGAUUUUAUCCUGUUGAUUUGAAGUGUGCGAUUUGAUCGAGAAAAAAACUGAAAAGUAUAUUAAAAAAAUCGUAUGGGAUAGGGAUAAGGAAUCGCGGCGAUAAACAAACAGAGGAGGCAAGAUAAUAGAUAUGUAAAACCUUCCCCUUCAACCAACAGCCUUCUCGUGCAAACAGUCGAAAAUGUUAGAAAAGAGAAAGAAUAAAAGUGGAUUCAACCUCAGCCAAACUCGUACCUGAAGAUAGAAGAAAGUGAAUUAUGCAUGAGUAUACAGAAUACUAUUUGCUUCCGUAAUCUUGCUACCAUUGAAUCGAUUAAAUUAAUUAAAUUUUUUUAAAAAAUAAACCAGUCUACUAGGCGUUAUCUGUUCUGCCCACCAAUUCUGACAAGACAAGCACUUGAGGUUUAUUUGCUUUAUCUUUAUCAGUUUAAUAAUUUUAUUUUUUUAAUUAUUUAAUAAUAAAAAUAAAAAUUUAUUUGAUUAAAACUAAACAACUUUAUAAAAUAAUUCUUGAGUGGAUAAUCUUUAACAGCAAUAAUAAUUCAAGAUUUUUACUGAAACUAGGACCCGUUAUGCAUGUUGUUGGUUAUUAGGCUAGAUAUGCUCUGUCCAUAAGAAAUGAAUCUGAUCUAAAUAUUUAAAAGAAUUAUUAAAAAAAUUAAACCGUAUAUAUAUACAGAUAUAGGGGCCCAUCAGAGAUGGGCCUGGUUAGGUUUCUGGCGUUAUCGUGCGAUCACACGCGAAAUCUACAAAGCUCGAGCGGAAGACUGGAGAACUUCGUGGAUUGAUUAUAGAUCUGACUCCUCUUAUAAAUGAAGAGCACAAAUUCAUUGUAAACACAACCUUUCAAUUUCAAGAGAAAGGAAGUCAUUCAAUACGGGCGUCUGCAGCUAUGGAUUCGAUCAAGCCUUUAGCCCCGAGCCGCAGUGUUUCCAAGUCCAAACACAGGAAACGAUGGGUACGAACCAAAUCUAGUUAUAUUUCUAUGUUUUUCUUAAAAAAUAGAUUAUUCUUGAUGCUUGUUUCUUGACUUGUUGUUGCUAUAUUUCAUGUCAUUAUCCCCGGAAAUUAAAAAAUAAUUAUUAUUCUUAUACAUGUUAAGAAGAACAAAGAGAGGAGGGAAAAGAUGGAACGAUUGAAAACAGAUAUGGUAGAGAUCGGCGAGGGACAAAAACGCAUAAGAGAAGGGCAACGAGAAAUAAGACAAAAGUUUGAAGAGAUAGAAUCUGAAUGCCGCAGCCUCAAAGAGGAGACGAUGAACAUAACCAAGCAGAGUGAUUACAACCAAGUCAGGAUCAACCUAAUGCUUAGCAUCUUGAAAGCCCGUGAAGACAACAACUUUGCCCAUGCUGAUCACCUCACUGGGCUCCUCCGGUUGGUUAAAUUCCCUUCUCCAUUUCUUUUCUUAAUUCUUGGGAUAUCGGAUUCGAUAAUUAAUCUUGCUAAUGCUAGCUAUUACAAGGAGGGAAACAUAAGCUAACGAACUCAAAAUAAAAGAAUCAAAAUGCACUGUUGAUAAUUAUUUUUCUCUCAAUCAUUGUGUUUCCUAUUCGUUGUGUUGCCAGCGAG
rnacentral:lncRNA from 1 species